rnacentral:lncRNA from 1 species
UCCAUGGAAGUGCAUUGCGUUCUACACAGCACCAGAUCCUGGAGCAAACUUUUGCAGUAGCAAAAUCAUCCAUUUCACUCAUACGAGGCGAACCUUGCGGCUUACAUGAUGUGUUAUCAAGGUCUCAAAAUCCCUAGCCAAUGAAGAGGAAGAAGAAGCUCCAUUGCACUACCAGAGCUAGAUCUAGAGCUAGCUAGAAGAACACUCAGAAAAAGAAGAGAAAAGAAGAAAUUACAGCCCUAAUUCCCACAAGACAGCAGGUCCUAAAAAUUGCUGAGCUGCAGUAGAAAAUGCGGCGGAAUCCCCGUCCUGCCCUCCGCCAACCCCAUGUGACCUCCCUAUGUACAGCAUCCACGCAGGGGCAGAUCGGUCAGAGCGCAGCAGCUGGCAUUUUGCUCUGCUGGUUCACCGAUUUGCCUUUGCCAGGGGGCAAAUUUUCCAUCACGCCCUCCAUGGUAGCCGAACGAGGACGGUGAGACGGGGGAGAAGGGCUGGAAGGCCUCUAGUAGUAGAGCGCGGAGUCGUCGUCGUCGGUGGCCUGGGAGCCGGGGUCGGAGAGGCCGAGGAGGAGGCGGCGGAAGUCGGCGGCGGCGCAGGGGAUGCGGAGCGCGCCUGGGUGGCCGUAGCCGUACUCCUGCGCGGCGCGCCGGAGCAGGGCCUUGAACGCCGGCUGGCCCAGGAGCUCGGCCCGCACGGCGAAGCGCUCCUCGGGGCCGCCCUCCUCUCCGACGCACACCGGCACGUACCCCUCCGGCACCCGCGCGCCCUUGCCGAGCCUCCGCGCGCCGAAGAAUGAGGACGAGGGAGAGGAGACUGCGGAGGAGCCCUUCGCCGCAGCGUCGGGCCGAAGCGGCUGGUACGCGGCGGAUGCGCAGGCGUCGGCCGCGGCAACGCGGGAGAGCCGCCUGAGCAGGCGCUUCAUGUCGCUGCUGCUUCGGUUGACGCCGGAGACCUCGAGGCUUAGAAGCGGAGGCCGGGAGGCGACGGCGGCGGCGGGUUCUUGGCGAGGGAGGACACUAGAGGUGAGAGGACACAAGGCGUUUGUACUGAGGCGGCCAUGGUGGCUCCUUCUUAUAUAACGGCAGAGCUGCAAGUUGUGCGUUACACAGGCCCUCUUGUCAUUAUUUUUCUCGGUUGGCAUUUACAAAUCCUUUGCUUGGAAUGGAAUGUAUCACCUCUGUUCCGAUUACAAGACAUUUUAUAUAUUUUAAUACAUAAACUACAUACGAGGUAAAAUUAGAGAUUAAAGACAAUAAAACGCGUCUAUAUACAUCUGAUUCAAAAUUCUUUUAGAAUAUCUUAUACUAGUUCGAAACCAAGGGAGUAGAAUUUAUUUAGCCAGCCUUCUUCAGCUACAGGACGUUGCUUUCCUCAUUUCAAAAUUUGGACCCAUUUCAUACAAAAUCUAGACAACUUCGCAACAGCGAAACUAUAAUUGCUUAUGAAUAACGUCUUGUUCCAACUUAAAAUUAUGACAAAUAGUUGGGGAUACUUCAUUUUUCAAACAGGUGCACUCCCCCCGAUCCAUUUUACUUGCCGCAGUUCUAGUAUAACUUUAUCCAUAUUACUGUCGCAGCUUUAGUACAACUUUUGUACAAAAGUUGUACUAAACCGUCGUCAAGUAAUAUGGAUCAGAGGAGAGGGAGUGGUAUAUUUUCAUAUUUUUGGAGAAUACUUGGCACCCCACAACUAAGCUUGCAAUUUAGUAACAACAAAAUGGUGCUACUAAAUAAACUAAGCUGUUAUUUUUUUAGAACUAGAGUAUACACAUUAAAAAAAUAUGUGCCUCAAAAUGCACUUCCUCCGUCCGGGUUUAUCAAGCACCCUCGUAUCUGGCCCUGACCGCAUAUUUAAUUUUGUAAAAUAUUAGUGACAUGCCAAAAAAACAUAUUACCGUAUGCGGAUCGAAAUGAAUUGUCAGUGGCACUAUUUUAACUACAUACGUACUUUGUUACACAAAUGUAUGUCUAAACUUCAGUUUUAAAUGUGAGGGGGCCUAAUAAAAGCGAACGGAGGAAGCACGUGUUCAUUCAGUUACCAUGUGAGAGCUGGGAUGGAGUGUGUACCUAUACAUGUGUGCAUAGCCAGGCAGGGAUUUUCUUCUUCUUUGUCCAGUGACCAUGUGAGAGCUGGGGGCAUGGAGUGUGCACCUAUGCGUGUGCGCGUGGCCUGGCUGGGAUUUCUUUUUUCUUUUAAGGCAAGCAGAGAGAAUUGAAUGGGCUGGCGAGGUACAAGUGCGGGUACAGUUGGAGUACGCGACAGGUACAAGCGGCAAGAAGCCGGUGGGGUGGGCUCGGCAGCGCCUUAACCCGCACCCGGUUUUGCUCCGACCGAUCGGAUUGAUUCGGGCUCGCGCCGGGACCGGCCCGUCCGGCCUGUUCCGUAGUCCCUUUCGUACGGCGCGCGUGGAGGUGAGAGAGUGAGGAGGUGAGCGAGAUUUGGCUGUCGUCGUGGAGCCCACCUACUGACCUGGCACAUGGAGGAGAGAGAGAGAGACAAAGCAAGUGAUUAGUACUAGGACUAUAAUUUGAAGAGAAAGUGAGAAUCAAGUGAUUGCACUAGACUGUUGGAGUGCUCAACUGUUGUCAACCCGUAGCACUAGUAUUAUCUUUUCCCACUCGAAUUUUCUCAGUGAUAACACAAAAUGGUAGAGACUCUAGAAAUACUAUGUGCCAUCGUAUAUGAUUAAGAAAAAAGGACCAUGCUACCAGGCACUAGCAUGUUAGAGCAUCUCCAGCCGCGCCCCCAAAGGCCUUUUUUUCGCCGGUUCGGGCCGAAAUUGGCGCCGGCGGACCCAUGCCUAACCCGGCCCGCUGGGGGGCGCUUGGGGAGCCGGCCAAAUCUUUUUGGCGCGAAAAUAGGCGGGCCCUCCUUGACAGCAACCCGGCUCUUCUCGUCGCUCCGUCGUCCUCAUCGCAUCGGUUCCCGCGAGGGAAACAAUGCCAAAGCUGCCGCGCGCUGCUGCGCCGGUCAACCUCCUCCAUUGAUGCCUCACGGGUGGCGCAGUGAAGACGGGGCGACGCGCGUCCCUCACCCGCCACGCGUACACACGGCGGCCACGCGAGCGCCGCCUAUAUAAGCCGCCCCCUCCCGCACUGGUGAACCACGCACAGACCUCGCUCUCCACCGCCAACGCCCCCGUUCCUCCCUCUCUUCUCACCGUUUCCAGUUCACCCAAUGGCGGAGCGCUACCCAGGAGAUGGCGCGGCGGCGAACGGCUUCGGCCGCCGCCACCUUCACGAGGACGAAGCCCGGCUUCUCUAUGAGGCCGAGUACCCGGUCCCGCCGGACAUGCGGGUGCCCGGUGUUGGGGAACGUAGUAAUUUCAAAAAAAAAUCUACGCACACGCAAGAUCAUGGUGAUGCAUAGCAACGAGAGGGAGAGUGUUGUCCACAUACCCUCGUAGACCGUAAGCGGAAGCGUUAUGACAAUGCGGUUGAUGUAGUCGUACGUCUUCACGAUCGACCGAUCCUAGUACCGAACGUACGACACCUCCGCGAUCUGCACACGUUCAGCUAGGUGACGUCCCACGAACUCACGAUCCAGUAGAGCUUGGAGGGAGAGCUUCGUCAUCACGACGGCGUGAUGAUGGUGAUGAUGAAGCUACCGGCGCAGGGCUUCGCUAAACACUACGACGAUAUGACCGAGGUGGAUUAUGGAGGAGGGGGGCACCGCACACGGCUUGGAACAAUCAACUUGUGUGUCCUAGGGUGCCCCCUGCCCCCGUAUAUAAAGGAGCAAGGGGGGAGGCCGGCCGGCCCUUGGUGCGCCCAAGGAGAGGAGGAAUCCUCCUCCUAGUAGGAGUAGGAUUCAUCCUUUCCUAGUCCUAGUAGGAAGGGGGAAGGGGGAAGGAAGGAGAGGGAAAGAGGGGCCGCGCCCCCUUCCCCUAGUCCUAUUCGGACUCCCCUUGGGGGGGGGGAGGGUGCGCCACCUCCUGGGCUGCUGCCCUCUCUCUCCCCUAUGGCCCACUAAGGCCCAAUACUUCCCCGGGGGGUUCCGGUAACCCCUCCGGCACUCCAGUUUUCUCUGAAAUCACCCGAAACACUUCCGGUGUCCGAAUAUAGCCGUCCAAUAUAUCGAUAUUUAUGUCUCAACCAUUUCGAGACUCCUCGUCAUGUCCUUGAUCAUAUCCGGGACUCCGAACUACCCUCGGUACAUCAAAACACAUAAACUCAUAAUACCGAUCGUCACCGAACGUUAAGCGUGCGGACCCUACGGGUUCGAGAACUAUGUAGACAUGACCGAGGCUCAUCUCCGGUCAAUAAUCAAUAGCGGAACCUGGAUGCUCAUACUGGCUCCUACAUAUUCUACGAAGAUCUUUAUCGGUCAAACCGCAUAACAACAUACGUUGUUCCCUUUGUCAUCGGUAUGUUACUUGCCCGAGAUUCGAUCUUCGCUAUCUCAAUACCUAGUUCAAUCUCGUUACCAGCAAGUCUCUUUACUCCUUCUGUAAUGCAUCAUCCCGUAACUAACUCAUUAGUCAUAUUGCUUGCAAGGCUUAUAGUGAUGUGCAUUACCGAGAGGGCCCAGAGAUACCUCUCCGACAAUCAGAGUGACAAAUCCUAAUCUCGAUCUAUGCCAACUCAACAAGUACCAUAGGAGACACCUGUAGAGCACCUUUAUAAUCACCCAGUUACGUUGUGACGUUUGGUAGCACACAAAGUGUUUCUCUGGUAUUCGGGAGUUGCAUAAUCUCAUAGUCAUAGGAACAUGUAUAAGUCAUGAAGAAAGCAAUAACAACAUACUAAACGAUCAAGUGCUAAGCUAACAGAAUAGGUCAAGUCAAUCACAUCAUUCUCUAAUGAUGUGAACCCAUAAAUCAAAUGACAAUUCAUGUCUAUGGCUAGGAAACUUAACCAUCUUUGUUUCAACGAGCUAGUCAAGUAGAGGCAUACUAGUGACACUCUGUUUGUCUAUGUAUUCACACAUCUACUAAGUUUCCGGUUAAUACAAUUCUAGCAUGAAUAAUAAACAUUUAUCAUGAUAUAAGGAAAUAUAAAUAACAACUUUAUUAUUGCCUCUAGGGCAUAUUUCCUUCAGUCUCCCACUUGCACUAGAGUCAAUAAUCUAGAUUACAUAGUAAUGAUUCUAACACCCAUGGAGUCUUGGUGCUGAUCAUGUUUUGCUCGUGAGAGAGGCUUAGUCAACGGUUCUGCAACAUUCAGAUCCAUAUGUAUCUUGCAAAUCUCUAUGUCUUCCUCCUUGACUUGAUCGCAGAUGGAAUUGAAGCGUUUCUUGAUGUGCUUGGUUCUCUUGUGAAAUCUGGAUUCCUUUGCCAAGGCAAUUGCACCAGUAUUGUCACAAAAUAUUUUCAUUGGACCCGAUGCACUAGGUAUGACACCUAGAUCGGAUAUGAACUCCUUCAUCCCGACUCCUUCAUUUGCUACUUCCAAAGCAGCUAUGUACUCCACUUCACACGUAGACCCCGCUGUCGGUGUCAAAACCGGCGGAUCUCGGGUAGGGGGUCCCGAACUGUGCGUCUAAGGCGGAUGGUAACAGGAGGCGGGGGACAGAAUGUCUACCCAGGUUCGGGCCCUCUCGAUGGAGGUAAUACCCUACUUCCUGCUUGAUUGAUCUUGAUGAUAUGAGUAUUACAUGAGUUGAUCUACCACGAGAUCGUAGAGGCUAAACCCUAGAAGCUAGCCUAUGAUUAUGAUUGUUCUUGUCCUACGGACUAAACCCUCCGGUUUAUAUAGACACCGGAGGGUGCUAGGGUUACACAGAGUCAGUUACAAGGGAGGAGAUCUACAUAUCCGAAUCGCCAAGCUUGCCUUCCACGCAAAGGAGAAUCCCACCCGGACACGGGACAAAGUCUUCAAUCUUGUAUCUUCAUAGUCCAACAGUCCGCCCAAAGUAUAUAGUCCGGCUGUCCGAGGACCUCCUAAUCCAGGACUCCCUCAGUAGCCCCUGAACCAGGCUUCAAUGACGAUAAGUCCAGCGCGCAAAUUGUCUUCGACAUUGCAAGGCGGGUUCCUCCUCCGAAUACCCCAUAGGAGAUUUUGAACAUGAGGAUCGUGUCCGGCUCUGCAAAACAAAUUCCACAUACCACCGUAGAGAGUACAAUAUCCCACAAAUCUAAUCUGUUGACAAAUUUCAUAGCGUGAUAUCCUGACGUGGCCUUGUCAUUAUGAACCGUUUUUCCCUGCCUGCUACUGCACGUGUUGCGAGGCGGUUUUAUUGGCACGUCUUGUCGAAGCAGAGAUCGUGUUCCCCUUAUCACGGGAUUCUAAUCAAUACGGGUGGGGGUAAGCCAAUCGUGCUUGCUAGUAUGACUCCUCGAUUUUAGGCAAGUUCCAAACGGCCACGCGGGGGGCGCUUGAUAUUCGCCCCUUUUAUAAAGGGGCCAAGCCCUGUCCUUUUCUUCUCACACUCGAUCCUUCCCUUCCCCCACCUCGAGUUCCAACACCCAAGGCUCAGGCUAAGUGCUUCGGAACUUCAAUCAUGUCCGGAUCCAACCUUCAAGGCCGGUGGAUGGCCUCCUCUGUCACAGAGGAGGACAUCAAGAAGCUAAGAGAAGCCAGGUAUCUGACCGCCAAAAUCUCACACAGGCUGCCUGCUCAAGGGCAGGUCAUCCCCACUCCCAAACCCAACGAGAGUGUCGUAUUUGUUUCCCACUUCCUCCGAGGGCUAGGCUUUUGUCUUGAUCCCUUUGUUAGGGGGCUUAUGUUCUAUUACGGGCUCGAUUUCCAUGAUGUAGCUCCGGAUUCCAUCCUUCACAUCUCGUCAUUUAUCGUUGUGUGUGAGGCCUUCCUCCGCAUCACCCCAAACUUCGGCUUAUGGCUCAAGACCUUCAACGUGAAGCCGAAGAUGAUCGGUGGGCGACACGCAGAAUGCGGAGGUGCCAUAAUAAGCAAAGGCGCCGAUGCUCCAUGGACAAAGGGUUCCUUCCCGGAGAUGUCCAACUUAUGGCAGCGGGAGUGGUUUUACAUCACAGCUCCCCGAAGUACUAAGUGGGUAGCCGCCUCCGCCUUCCGUUCGGGCCCCCUGCCACAACUGGCGUCAUGGGUCAACAAGGGGCUGGACUGGGGGCCAGUUAAUGACGUGCUGACAUUGCAAAGUCGCAUCCGAGAUCUCGACAAGAGAGAUGUCAGUCUUGUCAAGGUAAUGCAAGUUAUGCUAGUUCGUCUGGUCCUGCCAUGCCAACGUCGAUCUCUCCGUAUGUGGGAGUUCAACCCAGAAGGACCGUGAACUAUUCAACAAUUCUUCGGCAUGACGCUCGAAGAGAUGUAUGGAUUGUUCUUCGGAUCACGAAUAGAGUGUCCGGACACCACCGAGGAUGCGGGUCUCAACUGCAAUCAUCCAGAUGCCCACGUAAGUAAUCCUGCGGCCGAACAUGCUGUCUUUUUAUUUGUCACAACAUCAUUCUGAAAAAAUCGCUCUUGGCCAGGACUGGAUAAAAAAGGCGAAGAUGAUCAGGUGUUCGGCCCCCCUUCCCGAAGGCUCACCGGAUCCUGUACUAGCCAGGAUGCUUGAGCACGCACCUUAUCAAGUGCCCUCAGGGGAAGAUAAAGGGAGGAAUAAAGAAGCCGAAAGCGGGCCUCACACAUUACUCAUCCAAACCGGGGGAAUUAGUGUCUCCACGAAGGAGGAUAAUCGGGGAGAAGAAUCUAGAAUCCCCUCUCCCCAAGGAAGGAAAAGGACCACCUCUGAAGACUUGGAAACGAGGGUUUCUCAACGAGGGAAGAAACCUUCGCCAGGGGGCCCUGCCCCGGAGGGCAUCCUUACCGCCAGGACUGGGCAUUCGGUUAGACCGAACCGGACGGUUCGGUGCUUCGGUUUGUCCUUAAAUUCGGUUUCCUAGAUUUACUAAAUGUUCGGUCCUUAAAAAAAGCAGUAACCGAGACCACGGUGCACCGACAAUUCGGUUCAGUAUUCGGUUAUAACCGAAGAGCACUGAAAUCAGGAUAAGCAUUGGUUACGAAGCACAAAUCGGGAUUCAAUCCAUCAGAAAAGAAAAAUAAAUCGGGAGUCAGAAAAAGAGCGAGAAACAACCGGACAUUGUGGUUGGAAUCCUCAGGUAUAACCGCUGGCUGUGAUGGUUGAAGCCAUGACGUCGUCGGUCGCUGUCGCUUGGGAGCCAGGGGCGCCGCGCCGCCGUCGUAUGGGAGCCAUGCGCACGGCCGCCGCCAUCUCGUGGGAGCUAGGGGCGCCGCGCCGCCGUCUCGUGGGAGCCACGGCCCAUGGCCGCCCCGCGCCGAGUGGGAGGCAUGUGCAUCUUCGGCUGCCGCUGUGUGGGAACAUGGCCGCUGCCGCCAGCCGCCGCCGUCGAGUGGGAGCCAUGGGUAGAGCAAGCAAAUGGAUGCGGCGGUGCUGUGUGAAGAUUAAAGCUCGUUUGGGGAUAAGGUGUGGGCGUGUGGCGUUGUGUUGCUUGGGUUGAGAAAAAGGCUAGAAAAGCUGCAUAUGGAUUGGGCUAUUGGGCUUUGUUAUGAUGGGCUUCAUACAAUAUUUCGAUCAGUUCGGGAAUUCGGUCAACCUGGUCCCACGACCGAAUGCACCGAAGUAAUUUCGGAUUUUGAAUUUUGCCAACCGAACAAACAAUCCCUGGUUCGGUCCUCGGGUUUUUCGGCUUCGGUCCAGGUUAUUUCGGCUCCGGUGUUCGGUCCUCGGUUUUUUGCCCACCCCUACUUACCGCACAGUGCCCGCAAGGGGAUGAGCCCUCCAUCGAGCUGUAAGUGAACAAGAGUACUUUUGGUAAGUAUAUCCUGCUUCAUCUCCGAGGACAAUAACCGAGUCGUAUGUCUUGCAGUCCGGAUCGUAGCCCUUCUCGACAGAGUUCGUCUUCGGGGGAUCUUCUUCCGGAGAUGACGGAGAGCGAAACGCCCCCCUGUCUCCUCUCCCUGCCUCAUGGGGCGGACGACCCUGAGGUGUCGUCACGGAGGAUUUCUCCUGAUCCGCCAAGGCCAAAAGGUAACCCUUCGGCCACCCGAAGUCCGGAGUAUUCGUCUCCUAAGGAGAGCAACAGAAAGAGUCCGGGACUGUCCGGUGCACAAUCGGACGCACUGAUGGGUCUUCUGGAGCAAGCGGCUAUCUCAGAGGCGCAUCGUACUUUAAUGGGUACGGUGGUUGAGAGGAUUUCAUCCGCCAAAAGUGGGUUGCAUGAAGCUUUUACGAGCCUGCUAAGAGGCUCUGAGGUACGCAAAGUAACAUAUAUAUUUUUUGACGGUACCGCACACGCUAGGUGUGCUCUAUACAGAUAGUAGCCCCUGAGACUCUGGUUGCUGUCCAAAGGCGGCAAACAGAGGAUCAUAGUCCCAGGAAUGAUCGCGCUGCUUACAUGUGCAGGCGGCUGAGGGUCUGGUGGCUGGCCGGACUGCUGAUUUUGCCGAACUGAAGCGGCAGGUUGACGCGGCAGAUGCCGACAUCGCGCUUGUGAACAAGCGGCUUGACAAGGCACAGGGUAUGUAUUUUCGGGUGGUCAACAAAUAUUAAGAGGAGCAUGAUGCUAGUAUCUAUAAUAUAUUGUGACUGCAGAUGGAGCUGCCGUCGUGGAGACCCUUCGGGCAGAACUUGCCCGAGCCAAGGAAGAAGCCAGGAGAAGUGAUGCGGCCGCCCUAAAGGCGGUCGAAGAGUUAAGAGCCGAACAGGCUGCUCAUCGCCAGAGCGAAGAUAAAAUAGCCAACAUGGCUGUUGAGCUGAAAGAUGCCGCCGGCCGAUAUGAGCUUCUUGAAAAGGAAAGCCAAGCGAAAGCGGCUGACCUGAAGAAAGCCAUGGAAGCAGCCAAGGAAACCCGCUCUAAAAUCAGAGCGGCGAAGGAGGAGCUCCGUCAAGCCGGAGAUAUCGCGGCUGGGAACCCCUUUUUGUUGCGGACGAAGUUCGGAGAUCCGAAGUAUGCCCCUCUUGGUCAAUUAUGGAGUGCUGCAGACGCGUACUUGGACUUGGCAAUGAGUGCUACUGAUGCGACUGAGUUUUUCAAAGAUCAGAAUGAUCAUGAAGUGGAAAGGUUGUUCUGGUCGCAGUUCAGUGCUCCAACGCGUCCGCUGCUGUUAAAUGAACAAAUGACCGAGUGGGCCGAGCUCCAUAGGUUGUCCGAACUUGCCAUGAGGUCUGUCGUGGAUCAUCUUUGACCGAAGGGACCAAGGCCGAAUAGUUAUUUUGGUUUAGUGCAACGAUUCCUUGGUGUUGUGCCGCAUAUCGACGCUGUAAAGAGGUUGGCGUGCAUAGAGGGUGUGCGGAUGGCUCUUGCCCGUGUUAAGACAUACUGGGCAGAGAUGGAGGCCACCGCUAUUGCAACCCGAGGUCCGGCCAUAGGCCAGGUCCCUGCUGAGCACUAUUUUGAAGAAGUCCUAGAAGGCUCUAGUUUAAUAGAGGCUCAGUGCUCGAAGAGUAUCAUGUUCGAGUGAUAUUUGUCCCAAUUGUAAAAACAAUGCUAUUUGGAUUAUAAAGGCUGUGUUUAUACUUUUGCCUGAAAGUAUUAUGAUGCCUCCUGUGAGGCCGUUUAUGUAUGUAGAUAACCUGAAAGUUUGUAGUCGUCGGCUUCAGCCACCACGCACAUGAUGCGGGGGUGUUCGGAAAAGCGCGUGUUCACACUUGAUCCAACGUCUUGGUCCAUUAAGGAGGUGAUAGCGCGGCGAACAAGGCAAUCGGACUAUAUAGCUUUAACACUUUCACUUAGACAUAGGAGUUUGACGGCGGGGCUACUAUAUAGCCCCUGGUACUUCCGCGCUCAUCCGAAUACGGUGCGCUUACAUACAUGACCGGGAAACCGGCCCUUCGUUAAUGCGGAGGAAUCGCAAAGAUUCCGCUGAGUCAUCGAGUGGUUGACCAGUCUCGCGCUUUAUCAUGAUAGUCAGUUUUCGGCUUUCUCUACUGAGGUGCUCAUCCAGAUGAACCAGGGCACAACCGCAGUAGUUCUCCCGGUGCCACCGUAGCCGAUAGAGCGGAACGUAAGGUAGCAAAACACGGGAGCCGGGCAAACCCAACUAUUGACCAAAGACAUGAUUCGGAGCUGAUGCAUAUAAGUCCAAACUCGCGACGCCGAACACUCCCUAAGGUAUUCGGACUUUACAACAUAUUCUGGGCUGAGUAACGCCCCCGAUAAUGAGCCCUGAUUUUCCAGGUACGUGCAUUAGUCUGAUGUGAUGAAAUGCCAAUAACGCCAGCAUCCCUCUCGGUUGUGUUGAUUAUUCGGAGGGUGUGAAGCAACAAGAGACAGUAAAAAUGUUUACACAGGGUCUUAAUCUAAAAAGAAACCUUUGAUCGGGGCCCUGCUACACGUCUGCGCCUGUGUCUCCGUUGUGCCGUAUCCUGGAAGGGUGUAGCACGAUGAUCAUCUGUAAAAGAGAAAAACCCAGGUGAAAUUCUUCGUGCGAAAAAUUGGUUAUUCUUAAUGAACCAUUAAAAUGCAAUCUAAAUAGGGUCAAGCCGAACGGUAGCCCUUUUUACAUGCGGGAAGCCCCUAGCACCACCUAUGGGGGUAUAUCCGCCGACCCAAUCUCAGGUUUAUCUGAGCUGUUACAGCUAGUGGUGCACCGGACUCGUCUAACCGUGUCCGCGGUCUUGACGACCGAUCAUUUAUUCUGGUUGGAGAGGCCGUUCAGUGUUCGGCUGCUAGAGCCGCCACACAUUCCUCCGUACUUAAGGAGCGCUCUGUGUUUCCGUUAACUAUGAUGAUGCCACGUGCACCGGGCAUCUUAAGCUUAAGAUAAGCGUAAUGCGGUACUGCAUUAAAACGAGCGAAGGUCGUUCUUCCGAGUAGUGCGUGAUAGCCGCUUCGGAAUGGAGCGAUGUCGAAGGUUAAUUCUUCGCUUCGGAAGUUGUCGGGAGAACCGAAUACAACCUAUAAUACUAGAGAGCCCGUGCAGCAGGCCUCUGGGCCUGGUAUUACUCCUUUAAAGGUAGUAUUGCUUUGGUGGAUUCUUGUCGGGUCUAUGCGCAUUUUGCGGACGGUGUCCUGAUAUAUCAGAUUAAGACUACUGCCGCCGUCCAUAAGGACUCGGGUGAGAUGGUAUCCGUCAAUUAUUGGGUCUAGCACCAAGGCAGCCGAUCCUCCGUGCCGGAUACUAGUCGGGUGAUUCCUGUGAUCAAAAGUGAUCGAGCAGGCCGACCAAGGGUUGAACUUGGGGGUGACGGGCUCCACGGCGUAUACGAUCAUGUUCACAGUUUUGACCUCUGGUGGGAACUUUUUCUGUCCCCCAGUGUUCGGCUGGCGAGGCUCAUCCUCGUCUUCACUUGGUGUCUCCCUCCCCUUGUGUUCGGCGUUUAGCUUGCCGGCCUGCUUGAAGACCCUACAUUCUCUAUUGGUGUGAUUUGCGGGUUUGUCGGAGGUGCCAUGAAUCUGACAUAAUCUGUCUAGAAUCUUGUUUAGGCUGGACGCUCCAUCUCUGCUGCCUUUAAAUGGCUUUUUCCGUUGACCGGGUCGAGAGCCCCUGAAUCCGGCGUUUACAGCCGUGUUGUCUGGGUUGUCCUCAUUGUUUUGACGCUUGCUUUUAUUGCGUCGCGGUUUCCCAUUGCCAUCCCUGACUUCGGAUGUGCCUGGGUUGUUGGUGCCGCUACGGGCCAGCCAACUGUCCAGCACCUCAUCGGUGAAGCAUAGGGGGUGCGUGGCACCCCUGUAUUUGGAUGUGUCAUGGCAUUCUGACGGUUGUAGUGUUCGGUUUUGAUUCCGAGCUGCUAUUCGGUCAGUAUAGUCGUUUGGGCGGCCAUGGUUCUGUGCGGGAGCGCGCUUCCUAGAUCCGUAGAUGGCCCUGGCCAAACCAGCUUUUUUGUGCAGGUCUUCACGUAAAUCGUGUGCGACAUCGUUAGCCGCCCUGUCACGGCCACGGGGUGGUCGAUCCGGCUGAUCGGCCGUUUUAUUUUUCGGCUGAAUGGGCUCUAAAGCCUCGUCGUCGAAUUCAGGCAGCAGCUUGCGCUUUGGAAAGCUCUUUGUGUGGCGACUGCCACCGUACUUUUCCUCAGUGUCAAGCACUUUGUUCCAUCUGCUAUUGAGCGUAUUCUACGCGGCCUUAAGCCUUUGCUUCUGCUUUUUCAGGCUCCUCGCGGUGGCAAUAAGCCUUCUAUGGAGCUUCUCUUGUUCCAAGUGCCUUUCCGGGAUGAUGUGUGCAUCGUCGUCCGGACUGUUCUCCUCUCCGGAGACAGGUUGAUGAGCUUUACCCUCGUCGUCGCCGCGAUCGGACAACGGUUCUGUACUAUGUUCGCCGUCCGCUGGCUCAUCCUGCUCCAUCGCUAGGUCCAUGUGGUCGUCGUUUCCUUUGGAGUUGACCGGGGCAUUAUUCUUUCUUGCGCUGUUAUCGCUAUUUUUGCUGAGGCGGGAUUUAGAGCGGCGCCUACGUCGUCGCUUUGGUUGCUUCUCGAGGGGAUUAUCUGUAACACCCUGAGGAUCAUGCUACAGUAACUCUCUGUGAUUAAGCUAAUCAUGUUGCUAAACAGGGCUUGAUCACAUUGGAAUCACACUUCUUUUCAAACUCCUAAUUCAAACUUCAAUUAAAAUUAAAGUGGAAAAAUAAAAGUUUUCAAAAAUUUAAACAAAAAUGUUCGGUGGGUGCCAAAUAAUACACUGGUAAUUAUGGUGGAGAAAACACAUUUUUAUAAAAUACCUAAAUACUUUUAAAUGAAAUAAAACAGAAAAGAAAAUAAACAAAUAAAAAGAAAAUGCAAAAGAACACAGAACAAAGAAUAAAGAAAAAAAAAGGAAAAGGAGANNNNNNNNNNNNNNNNNNNNNNNNNNNNNNNNNNNNNNNNNNNNNNNNNNNNNNNNNNNNNNNNNNNNNNNNNNNNNNNNNNNNNNNNNNNNNNNNNNNNNNNNNNNNNNNNNNNNNNNNNNNNNNNNNNNNNNNNNNNNNNNNNNNNNNNNNNNNNNNNNNNNNNNNNNNNNNNNNNNNNNNNNNNNNNNNNNNNNNNNNNNNNNNNNNNNNNCCUCUCCCACUCGCCCUCCCCUUCCCUGUUCCCCCGACCGGGGUCGGAACAGGGGCCGGUCCCCGCCGCACCACCUCGCCGGCGACGGGGAGGAUAAGGACGCCAGCACCCCCCGCCUCCUCGGGCCCCUCUCCCACUCACCCCCGCUCACCUCUCGGUCCCCGCGCCUCUCUCUUGGCCCCCGAUCCGCGCCGCUCUUUCCUUCCCCACGCCCGACGCGGUCGCCGCCGUUCUCCGUCGUUCACACGGCCACCGUGCCCACCUCGCCGCCCCACGGUGUCUCCAAGGACCGACGUCGCCCGCGGCUUCGUCUGGUGCAGCCCGUUGGAGACCGGAGCCCCUACAACGAGCACACCGAGCUCGUCUUCAACUUCGGACGCCGGCGACCCCCUUCUUCCCCGGCGCCGACCUGCUGCUCCUAAGCCUCUCACCGGCCUCCGUGAGCCGCGCGAUGAGCCUCUCCCCCCUCCUCCCCUGUCCUUUCUCUCUCGCGCGCCCCCUAGCUGCUUCCCCACGCGCGCCCGAACGCCGCGCCGCGGAGCUCGCCGCCGGCAAGGCUCCGGUGACCUUUUGGUCACGGGCUCAAGCCCGUUGCACUCCCCACCGCGCGUAGAUGCCCCCCAGCCCCUCCGCUUGCUCGAUAGCCCGCCGUAGCCUCAUUUCCGUCGGGCACCCGUGCGCGCCGCCGCCUCCGCCGCUCGCCGGCGCGGAUUCCGGCCAAGUCCGGCGAAGCCCCGGCCACCACUGGAUGCGGCGCUGCGAGCUCCUUCGAAUGGGCCUAGCCCCGCUCCCCCCCGAGCCCCGUAGCGCGAUUCCGGCCAACUCCGGCAAGGGGCCGCCGCUGUUUUGGUCGCCAGAGUCGCUCCGGCGCCGGCCGCCGACGUGGCUGGCCUGGGGCCACCCCAGGGCCACUGCCAGUGGGCCCCGUGGGUCCCAGUUGACUGGGUUGACCCAGUCAACUGCUGACUGGGCAGGCCCAGCCACUGACAUGCGGGCCCCGCCGCAAAAUUAAAAAAAAAAAGAAAAGAAAAAUGUUUUUUAUAAUUAAACUAAUUAAUUAAUCUAAUCACUCACUGACAGGUGGGCCCAGUAGUUAAUUAACUAAAAAUUAAUUAGUUUAAUCUUCUGUUAGCCCACUAUCUAUGACAGGUGGGGCCCACUGGUCAGUUUGACCUGGUCAGCCGCUCUGUUGACCUGCUGACAUCAGCAUUGCCUCAUGCUGACGUCAUAAUUCAUUUUUGCUUAGUUCAAAAAAAAUUCCAGAAAUUCAAAUAAACUUUGAAAAUUCAUAUCUUUUAAACCAUAACUCGGAUGAAAAUGUUUUCUAUAUGAAAGUUGCUCAGAACGACGAGACGAAUCCGAAUACGCAAUCCGUUUGUCCACCACACCUCCCUAACCUAUCGAACUAGCAACUUUCCCCCUCCGGUCCGUCUGUCCGAAAACGCGAAACAUCGGGAAUACCUCCCGGAUGUUCCCCCCCUUCACCGGUACCACCUACUGUCGCGUUAGGACACACCUAGCACCGCUCAUUGUCAUGUCACGCAUCGUCAUGCUUAUGUUUGCAUUGUAUUUACUGUUUCUUCCCCCCUCUUCUCUCCGGUAGACUACGAGACCGACACUGCUGCUGCCCAGUUCGACUACGGAGUUGACGACCCCUCCUACUUGCCAGAGCAACCAGGCAAGCCCCCCCCUUGAUCACCAGAUAUCGCCUAUUCUUCUCUAUACUGCUUGCAUUAGAGUAGUGUAGCAUGUUACUACUUUCCGAUAUCCUAUCCUGAUGCAUAUCCUAUCCUUGCUACUACUGUUGUUACCUUUACCUGCAAUCCGACAUGCUUAGUAUAGGAUGCUAGUUUUCCAUCAGUGGCUCUACAUUCUUGUCCGUCUGCUGUGCUAUACUAUCGGGCCGUGAUCACCUGGGCGGUGAUCACGGGUAUAUACUUAUAUACUAUAUACAUGGCACAUGAGAUGACUAAAGUCGGGUCGGCUCGUAGGAGUACCCGCGAGUGGAUCUUUGUGGCGGAGCGACAGGGCAGGUUGAGACUGCCUAGGUGAGAGGUGGGCCUGGCCCUGGUCGGCGUUCGCGGUUACUUAACACGCUUAACGAGAUCUUGGUAUUUGAUCUGAGUCUGGCCAUUUGGUCUAUACGCACUAACCAUCUACGUGGGAGUAGUUAUGGGUAUCCCGACGUCGUGGUAUCAGCCGAAGCUCUUUUGACGUCAGCAACUGAGUGGCGCGCGCCGCAUUGGACCGUAAGCUCGCGCUUGUAUUAAGGGGGCUAGGUCUGCUUCCGGCCGCGUACGCAACGUGCAGGUGUGCAUAGGCGAUGGGCCCAGACCCCUGCGCGCCUAGGUGGGGCUGCGACGUGUUGAUCUUACGAGGCCGGGCAUGACCCAAGAAAGUGUGUCCGGCCAAUUGGGAUCGAGCGUGUUGGGUUAUGUGGUGCACCCCUGCAGGGAAGUUUAUCUAUUCGAAUAGCCGUGUCCCUCGGUAAAAGGACGACCCGGAGUUGUACCUUGACCUUAUGACAACUAGAACUGGAUACUGAAUAAAAUACACCCCUUCCAAGUGCCAGAUACAACCCGGUGAUCGCUCUCUAACAGGGCGACGAGGAGGGGAUCGCCGGGUAGGAUUAUGCUAUGCGAUGCUACUUGGAGUACUUCAUUCUACUCUCUUCUACAUGCUGCAAGAUGGAGAUGACCAGAAGCGUAGUCUUCGACAGGACUAGCUAUCCCCCUUUUAUUCUGGCAUUCUGCAGUUCAGUCCACUGAUAUGCCCCUUUACACAUAUACCCAUGCAUUUGUAGUAUAGCUCCUUGCUUACGAGUACUUUGGAUGAGUACUCACGGUUGCUUCUCUCCCUCUUUCCCCCUUUCCUAUCUAUCUGGUUGUCGCAACCAGAUGUUGGAGUCCAGGAGCCAGACGCCACCGUCGAUGACGACACCUACGACACUGGAGGUGCCUACUACUACGCGCAGGCUGUUGACGACGACCAGGAGUAGUUAGGAGGAUCCCAGGCAGGAGGCCUCCGCCUCGUUCGAUCUGUACCCCCAGUUUGUGCUAGCCUUCUUAAGGCAAACUUGUUUAACUUAUGUCUGUACUCAGAUAUUGUUGCUUCCGCUGACUCGUCUGUGAUCGAGCACUUGUAUUCGAGCCCUCGAGGCCCCUGGCUUGUAUUAUGAUGCUUGUAUGACUUAUUUAUGUUUUAGAGUUGUGUUGUGAUAUCUUCCCGUGAGUCCCUGAUCUUGGUCGUACACAUUUGGGUGCAUGAUUAGUGUACGGUCAAAUCGGGGGCGUCACAAGUUGGUAUCAGAGCCGACUGCCUGUAGGAAUCCCCCUUUCCACACUCCUUGGCCGAAGUCGAGGCUAGACAUUACAAAACUUUUACUAACAUGGUUGUGUGUCUUACGUGCCCACGUCGCCAUUGGGUGGUACUAGUAUCUUUUACUCCUCGACCUUUACUCUGGGACUCUGAACUCUCUUCUACUCGGGUUAAACGAAAUUACUAACUUUAACACUAGGAUCCCGUGACCGCAUUCACCCCAAAGUUGGAUAAGCCAUAGUUGUUUCUUAGAAUAGUAUUUGGAACAAUUCACACACUGUCAUUUGACUCCUUUGAAACGUCUUUGCUUUCAGAUGGAACCCACGAGGCAGGUCGUUCGCCACACGACGGCCAUUGGUGCCUCAGGAUCACCUGCGGUGCUAGCUGAGAUGAUGACCUAUCUGGGUUAUCGCUGGCACCCUGAGUACACCGUCUACGAGGAGUACCAGGACUUUAACCAGGAGCAGUACCGUGCCAUCGUCCACCUCUACUCUCGGGAGUACGACUCCACUACUGUGCUGUACACCGCACAUGGUGUUGGUGUGACCAUCGAUAUGGCUGUCCACGAUGCUGCCUAUGCUGCUCUGACACGUCUUCGUGGAGAGUAUCAGGAUUUGGACACCUCCCCUUUCAGGCACAUUGCUAUCGCAUCUGAUGUUGGUGCGGAGGGAUACUAUACUGCUGCCUACUCCACUGUCACCCGAGAGCCCUUCUACCAUCAGCACCUGGUUCUGCAUGCUGAUGGGCUGGAUCGAGCUAACCGAGCUCUUCGCCACGAGAUGUACACCACCCGUCAGCACCUUUACCGUGCUCUGACGCUGCUGCACCCCUUUGUCCGAUCUGGACAGGUACCGCGUACUGCGAUCUACCCAGCCAGGACCGUGAUGCCCCACGGUGUCGGUUGGCCAGAGGUGGGAGGCUACUCUCCCGCACUUGGCCCUCUUCUGCCACCUGAGCGUCGGGCUCUACACCUGAGUAUCCGCGGCCCCCAGUCUACUGAUGUCGAGGGCUAUCCGUUGCCUCACUACCAGCUGCCGGGCUACGAUUACCUCCACAGUACCUCUUGGGACUGAUGUAGGCUUGCUUGUAGUAUUAGAUGCAGUCGCCGUGAGCCUGUGUGCCGCCUAUGAUGUUUUAGUCUAUGUACUGAACUCUAUGCAUGACCCCUUUUGUAAGUUAUGCCGACUACUAUGUAGUAGCUGUCGUGCUCCUUUCAUUAUGCAUGUUUCAUCAUGAAUGAUUCUUGUCAUUGCAAAUUUCUCAUUGCUGAACUACCCCUGUUAUAUAUUAGCAGGAUGGUUAGACCAGGUGGUCGUGGUCGUGGUGGCGAUGCCCCACCACCACCUGAGUACAUGGCUGGUAUGAUCCAACAGUUUGAACUGAACCGCCAGUUCAUGGAAAAUAUGAUGGCUCAGUUUCCUCGCCCCAAUAUGAACCAGCAGCCAGCCCAAGUGACUCUUCAAGAUUUCAUACGCCUCAACCCAACCAUCUACCGCAGCUCAACUCAGCCUCUGGAUGCUGAUGACUGGCUCCGUGACAUCACCUAUGAGAUGGAGUCUGCUGAUGUAGCCCCUGCCAGCUAUGUCACUUUUGCUUCCUUCUUCUUGAAGGGACCCGCAGCUCAAUGGUGGGACAGCCACAGGUGUACUCUGCCAGCUGGAACAAUCAUCACCUGGCCAGACUUCCAAGCAGCUUUCCGUGCCCGCUUCAUUCCUCAAGGAGUCAUGGACCGGAAGAAGCGUGAGUUCCGCAACCUCACCCAAGGCAACAAAACUGUUGAAGCUUAUCAGCGGGAGUUUCUAGACUUGUCCCGCUAUGCUGAAGAGGACAUUGCAACUGAUGCACGCAGACAGGAGAAAUUCCGUGAUGGCCUUCAAGCUGACAUCAAGCUCGCACUUCUAGUGCAUGACUUUGCUGAUUUCGCCACCUUGGUGAACAAGGCCAUCAAUGUCGAAACUGGUCUGCAGGAAUACCAGAGCUCUCACAGGCGCAACCGUGACACGGGCUCAUCUUCGGGCCCGCCCGCACAGAAGCGUAAGAUAUGGAUCCCGAACAGCAUGUACCGUCCAAAUGCAUCUGCCCCAAGGCAGACAUAUGCUGCACCUCGUCUGCCUCCUCCACCAUCUAGGCAGUCAAGACUUCCAGCUCCACCAUCCCAAGCUCCUGUUCCCACUCCCAAUAAUGGUCUGUGCUACAAGUGUGGACAACCAGGUCACCGUGCCAGGGACUGCCAUCAGAAUCAGAAUCAACUGGCCCUUCCAGCAACUGGCCGUGGUAACAAUCAGCCCCGCAACAACAAUGCUAAGUCUUAUGGUCGUGCUCAUGCCAACCACGUUGAUCUCAACGAAGCUCAAGACCAGCCUGCUACUGUGAUGGGUACACUCCUCGUAAAUUCAGUACCAGCAUCCGUUUUAUUUGAUUCAGGUGCAUCGCAUUCAUUCAUGUCAGAAGAUUUUGCAUACAAGCACGACGUUAAAUGUGAGGAGAUGAACACCUCUGUAUUGGUCAAAACCCCCGUGGGACAGUGUCAAACCUCCUUGGUUGGCAUCGAUGUCCCCGUGGAAAUCGAAGGGCUGGAAUUCUAUGCCUCUCCCAUUAUCCUGAAGACGUCUAACAUCGACCUCAUUUUGGGUAUGGAUUGGUUGAAAGCGCAUACUGCUUCUAUAGUUUGCGCCACUAAGACCGUCCAUCUGCUACACCCUUCAGAUGAAAUAGUUGCUUACCAAGCUCAUCUGGUGCAAAAUGCCGAGGCAAGGCUCUAUGCAUUAAAUGCAUUGAACGCUGCACCACUCGAGGGCAUUGAAAACAUUCCCGUCGUGCGUGAAUUCCUCGACGUCUUCCCUGAAGAACUUCCAGGGAUUCCCCCUGCUAGAGCUGUCGAAUUCAUCAUCGACUUGAAACCAGGCACCACUCCUAUAGCCAAGUGACCCUACAAAAUGCCGCCGCAUGAACUCCUUGAGCUUAAGGAGGAAAUCGACAAAUCUCUUCGCAAAGGAUUCAUUCGCCCAAGUUGCUCUCCUUGGGGAGCACCUUCUCUCUUUGUCAAGAAGAAGGAUGGGACAAACCAGUUAGUUCAAGACUACCGUCCUAUAAACCAAGCUACCAUUCAGAAUAAAUACCCUCUUCCUCGGAUCAAUGAUCUGUAUGAUCAACUGGCGGGUUCGUCAGUGUUCUCUAAGCUCGACUUGAGGUUGGGCUACCACCAGAUCCGUGUUCGCGAAGAGGAUAUCCCAAAGACCGCCUUCGUGACUCGCUAUGGUUCAUACGAGUACACCGUCAUGUCUUUCGGUUUAACCAAUGCUCCAGCCACCUUCUCUCGUCUGAUGAACUAUAUAUUCAUGGAUUACCUCGACAAGUUCGUCGUGGUUUAUCUGGAUGAUAUCCUGGUAUUUUCCAAGAACGAAGAAGAACAUGCUGAACAUCUUCGACUUGUGCUGGAAAAGCUACGAGAGCAUCAACUAUAUGCCAAGUUCUCCAAAUGUGAAUUCUGGCUACCAGAAGUAACCUAUCUUGGGCAUGUCAUCUCUAAGGAUGGUAUUGCCGUCAACCCCGAGCGAGUUCAGGCUAUUCUUGAUUGGACUCCUCCCAAGAACGUUAAGCAAGUCAGAAGUUUUCUCGGUCUCGCCAGCUAUUGCCGUCGAUUUGUCGAGAACUUCUCCAAGAUCGCCAGGCCGCUGACUAACCUGUUACAUAAGGGCGUCAAGUUCCAAUGGACAGACAAAUGUCAGGAAAGUUUCCAGGCACUCAAAGACAAGUUGACUUCUGCUCCAGUUCUAGCUCCACCUGAUACUAAGAAGGACUUUGUCAUUUACUGCGACGCUUCCCGUCAAGGAUUAGGCUGUGUCCUAAUGCAAGACCGCAAAGUGAUUCCUUAUGCCUCUCGGCAAUUGCGCCCUCACGAAGAGAACUACCCAGUUCACGACCUCGAACUUGCUGCUGUCAUUCAUGCGCUGAAGCAGUGGCGACAUUACCUUCUCGGUAAUCGUUGCGAGAUCUUCACUGACCACCAAAGUCUGAAGUAUCUGUUUACUCAGCCAGAUCUGAACCUCCGUCAGCAGAGAUGGAUGGAGCUUGUUGCAGACUUUGACUUGGGUAUUUCCUAUACGCCAGGCAAGGCUAAUGUAAUGGCUGAUGCCUUGAGCCGCAAGUCUUACUGCAACCACCUCCAGGUUCAUAAAGUUCAGCCCUCGCUUGUUGAAGAAUUCAGGAAGCUGAACCUCCAUAUUGUUCCUCCGGGUGCACUCGCUCCCCCUCCUAAGGAGUUUGGCAAGGUGAACCUCCACGUUGUUACCCAGGGUUCCCUCAAUACCCUAGUUGCUAAACCAGAUCUUGUGGAUAGCAUCAAAAGGCUACAGAAGUAUGACUCUGAAGCCCACAAGAUUAAGCGCUACCUCGCAGAAGGAAAGCCCUCAUUCUUCACCAUUGCUGAAGAUGGCACCUUAUACUUCAAGGGCCGCCUAGUGGUGCCAUGUGCAGAGAAAAAACCUGGAUAUGACACAGGAAGUUAUGAAAGAAGCUCAUGAUACGCCUCUAUGUAUCCAUCCUGGUAGUACAAAGAUGUACCAAGACAUCCGUCAGAGAUUCUGGUGGUCUAAUAUGAAGCAAGCCAUUUCUCGUUAUGUUGCUGAGUGUGACGUUUGCCGUCGUAUCAAAGCAGAACAUCAAAGGCCUGCUGGAACUCUGCAACCUAUCUCUAUUCCUGAAUGGAAAUGGGACCAUGUUGAGAUGGACUUCGUCACUGGAUUUCCCAAAUCACAGAAAGGUAAUGAUGCUAUUCUUGUCGUCAUUGACCGGCUUUCCAAAGUUGCACAUUUCCUGGCAGUCAAAGAAACGAUCACUGCUAGCCAGUUGGCAACGCUCUAUAUGUCCAGGAUUGUUUCACUCCAUGGUACUCCAUUGGUUAUCAGCUCAGACCGUGGCAGCUUAUUCACUUCAAGAUUCUGGGCAAGUUUCCAGGAAGCUAUGGGAACUCAUCUGUCAUUCAGUACUGCGUUUCACCCUCAAUCGCAAGGGCAAGUUGAACGCGUCAACCAAGUUCUCGAAGACAUGCUUCGAGCUUGCGUUAUUUCCUUCGGCAAGAAAUGGGAGGAAUCUCUCCCGUAUGCUGAGUUCUCUUAUAAUAAUAGCUAUCAAGCUAGUCUGAAGAUGGCCCCCUUCGAAGUGUUAUAUGGACGAAAGUGCCGAACCCCUCUGAACUGGUCAGAAACUGGGGAACGUCCACUCUUCGGUCCGGAUAUUAUCCAAGAUGCCGAAGAACAAGUCCGCAUUAUUCGCGAGAAUCUCAAGACUGCUCAGUCACGUCAUAAGAGUCAGUAUGACCGUCAUCAUAAGGACAUGGUCUAUCAACCUGGCGAAAAGGCUUAUCUUCGAGUCACACCUAUGAAGGGUGCUCACCGCUUCGGGAUCAAGGGCAAACUAGCUCCUCGCUAUAUUGGCCCGUUCACUAUUCUCGAAAGGCGUGGAGAAGUGGCAUACCAACUGGAGCUACCGCCGAACCUUUCUCAGGUUCACGAUGUGUUCCAUGUGUCACAGCUCCGCCGUUGCUUCAAAGGAUCCAAUCCGAGCUGUGGAUCAUGAAGUGCUCGAAUUGCAGCAAGACCUCUCCUAUAAGGAGCAUCCGGUCCGCAUUCUCGACCAAGCUGAACGCCGCACACGUCAGAAGGCGAUCAAGUUUCUCAAAGUCCAGUGGUCGCACCAUUCUGAAGAUGAGGCCACUUGGGAACGAGAGGAUCGUCUGCGCGAAGAAUACCCCGCACUGUUUCCUUCUACCUCCUAAAUCUCGGGACGAGAUUUCUUGUAGUGGAGGAGAUUUGUAACACCCUGAGGAUCAAGCUACAGUAACUCUCUGUGAUUAAGCUAAUCAUGUUGCUAAACAGGGCUUGAUCACAUUGGAAUCACACUUCUUUUCAAACUCCUAAUUCAAACUUCAAUUAAAAUUAAAGUGGAAAAUAAAAGUUUUCAAAAAUUUAAACAAAAAUGUUCGGUGGGUGCCAAAUAAUACACUGGUAAUUAUGGUGGAGAAAACACAUUUUUAUAAAAUACCUAAAUACUUUUAAAUGAAAUAAAACAGAAAAGAAAAUAAACAAAUAAAAAGAAAAUGCAAAAGAACACAGACAANNNNNNNNNNNNNNNNNNNNNNNNNNNNNNNNNNNNNNNNNNNNNNNNNNNNNNNNNNNNNNNNNNNNNNNNNNNNNNNNNNNNNNNNNNNNNNNNNNNNNNNNNNNNNNNNNNNNNNNNNNNNNNNNNNNNNNNNNNNNNNNNNNNNNNNNNNNNNNNNNNNNNNNNNNNNNNNNNNNNNNNNNNNNNNNNNNNNNNNNNNNNNNNNNNNNNNNNNNNNNNNNNNNNNNNNNNNNNNNNNNNNNNNNNNNNNNNNNNNNNNNNNNNNNNNNNNNNNNNNNNNNNNNNNNNNNNNNNNNNNNNNNNNNNNNNNNNNNNNNNNNNNNNNNNNNNNNNNNNNNNNNNNNNNNNNNNNNNNNNNNNNNNNNNNNNNNNNNNNNNNNNNNNNNNNNNNNNNNNNNNNNNNNNNNNNNNNNNNNNNNNNNNNNNNNNNNNNNNNNNNNNNNNNNNNNNNNNNNNNNNNNNNNNNNNNNNNNNNNNNNNNNNNNNNNNNNNNNNNNNNNNNNNNNNNNNNNNNNNNNNNNNNNNNNNNNNNNNNNNNNNNNNNNNNNNNNNNNNNNNNNNNNNNNNNNNNNNNNNNNNNNNNNNNNNNNNNNNNNNNNNNNNNNNNNNNNNNNNNNNNNNNNNNNNNNNNNNNNNNNNNNNNNNNNNNNNNNNNNNNNNNNNNNNNNNNNNNNNNNNNNNNNNNNNNNNNNNNNNNNNNNNNNNNNNNNNNNNNNNNNNNNNNNNNNNNNNNNNNNNNNNNNNNNNNNNNNNNNNNNNNNNNNNNNNNNNNNNNNNNNNNNNNNNNNNNNNNNNNNNNNNNNNNNNNNNNNNNNNNNNNNNNNNNNNNNNNNNNNNNNNNNNNNNNNNNNNNNNNNGGUCGCCGCCGUUCUCCGUCGUUCACACGGCCACCGUGCCCACCUCGCCGCCCCACGGUGUCUCCAAGGACCGACGUCGCCCGCUGCUUCGUCUGGUGCAGCCCGUUGAAGACCGGAGCCCCUACAACGAGCACACCGAGCUCGUCUUCAACUUCGGACGCCGGCGACCCCCUUCUUCCCCGGCGCCGACCUGCUGCUCCUAAGCCUCUCACCGGCCUCCGUGAGCCGCGCGGUGAGCCUCUCCCCCUCCUCCCCUGUCCUUUCUCUCUCGCGCGCCCCCUAGCUGCUUCCCCACGCGCGCCGCGGAGCUCGCCGCCGGCAAGGCUCUGGUGACCUUUUGGUCACGGGCUCAAGCCCGUUGCACUCCCCACCGCGCGUAGAUGCCCCCCAGCCCCUCCGCUUGCUCGAUAGCCCGCCGUAGCCUCGUUUCCGUCGGGCACCCGUGCACGACGCCGCCUCCGCCGCUCGCCGGCGCGGAUUCCGGCCAAGUCCGGCGAAGCCCCGGCCACCACUGGAUGCGGCGCUGCGAGCUCCUUCGAAUGGGCCUGGCCCCGCUCCUCCCCGAGCCCCGUAGCGCGAUUCCGGCCAACUCCGGCGAGGGGCCGCCGCUGUUUUGGUCGCCGGAGUCGCUCCGGCGCCGGCCGCCGAUGUGGCUGGCCUGGGGCCACCCCAGGGCCACUGCCAGUGGGCCCCGUGGGUCCCAGUUGACUGGGUUGACCCAGUCAACUGCUGACUAGGCAGGCCCAGCCACUGACAUGCGGGCCCCGCCGCAAAAUUAAAAAAAAAAGAGAAAAUAAAAAUGUUUUUUAUAAUUAAACUAAUUAAUUAAUCUAAUCACUCACUGACAGGUGGGCCCAGUAGUUAAUUAACUAAAAAUUAAUUAGUUUAAUCUUCUGUUAGCCCACUGUCUAUGACAGGUGGGGCCCACUGGUCAGUUUGACCUGGUCAGCCGCUCUGUUGACCUGCUGACGUCAGCAUUGCCUCAUGCUGACGUCAUAAUUCAUUUUUGCUUAGUUCAAUUUUUUUUCCAGAAAUUCAAAUAAACUUUGAAAAUUCAUAUCUUUUAAACCAUAACUCGGAUGAAAAUGUUUUCUAUAUGAAAGUUGCUCAGAACGACGAGACGAAUCCGAAUACGCAGUCCGCUCGUCCACCACACCUCCCUAACCUAUCGAACUAGCAACUUUCCCCCUCCGGUCCGUCUGUCCGAAAACGCGAAACAUCGGGAAUACCUCCCGGAUGUUCCCCCCCUUCACCGGUACCACCUACUGUCGCGUUAGGACACACCUAGCACCGCUCAUUGUCAUGUCACGCAUCGUCAUGCUUAUGUUUGCAUUGUAUUUACUGUUUCUUCCCCCCUCUUCUCUCCGGUAGACUACAAGACCGACACUGCUGCUGCCCAGUUCGACUACGGAGUUGACGACCCCUCCUACUUGCCAGAGCAACCAGGCAAGCCCCCCCCCCCUUGAUCACCAGAUAUCGCCUAUUCUUCUCUAUACUGCUUGCAUUAGAGUAGUGUAGCAUGUUACUGCUUUCCGAUAUCCUAUCCUGAUGCAUAGCCUAUCCUUGCUACUACUGUUGUUACCUUUACCUGCAAUCCUACAUGCUUAGUAUAGGAUGCUAGUUUUCCAUCAGUGGCCCUACAUUCUUGUCCGUCUGCUGUGCUGUACUAUCGGGCCGUGAUCACCUGGGCGGUGAUCAUGGGUAUAUACUUAUAUACUAUAUACAUGGCACAUGAGAUGACUAAAGUCGGGUCGGCUCGUAGGAGUACCCGCGAGUGGAUCUUUGUGGCGGAGCGACAGGGCAGGUUGAGACUGCCUAGGUGAGAGGUGGGCCUGGCCCUGGUCGGCGUUCGCGGUUACUUAACACGCUUAACGAGAUCUUGGUAUUUGAUCUGAGUCUGGCCAUUUGGUCUAUACGCACUAACCAUCUACGUGGGAGUAGUUAUGGGUAUCCCGACGUCGUGGUAUCAGCCGAAGCUCUUUUGACGUCAGCAACUGAGUGGCGCGCGCCGCAUUGGACCGUAAGCUCGCGCUUGUAUUAAGGGGGCUAGGUCUGCUUCCGGCCGCGUACGCAACGUGCAGGUGUGCAUAGGGCGAUGGGCCCAGACCCCUGCGCGCAUAGGUUUAGACCGGCUUGCUGACCUCUCUGUUGAGCCUAGGUGGGGCUGCAACGUGUUGAUCUUACGUGGCCGGGCAUGACCCAGGAAAGUGUGUCCGGCCAAUUGGGAUCGAGCGUGUUGGGUUAUGUGGUGCACCCCUGCAGGGAAGUUUAUCUAUUCGAAUAGCCGUGUCCCUCGGUAAAAGGACGACCCGGAGUUGUACCUUGACCUUAUGACAACUAGAACUGGAUACUGAAUAAAAUACACCCCUUCCAAGUGCCAGAUACAACCCGGUGAUCGCUCUCUAACAGGGCGACGAGGAGGGGAUCGCCGGGUAGGAUUAUGCUAUGCGAUGCUACUUGGAGUACUUCAUUCUACUCUCUUCUACAUGCUGCAAGAUGGAGAUGACCAGAAGCGUAGUCUUCGACAGGACUAGCUAUCCCCCUUUUAUUCUGGCAUUCUGCAGUUCAGUCCACUGAUAUGCCCCUUUUACACAUAUACCCAUGCAUUUGUAGUAUAGCUCCUUGCUUGCGAGUACUUUGGAUGAGUACUCAUGGUUGCUUCUCUCCCUCUUUCCCCCUUUCCUAUCUAUCUGGUUGUCGCAACCAGAUGUUGGAGUCCAGGAGCCAGACGCCACCGUCGAUGACGACACCUACGACACUGGAGGUGCCUACUACUACGUGCAGGCCGCUGACGACGACCAGGAGUAGUUAGGAGGAUCCCAGGCAGGAGGCCUGCACCUCGUUCGAUCUGUACCCCCAGUUUGUGCUAGCCUUCUUAAGGCAAACUUGUUUAACUUAUGUCUGUACUCAGAUAUUGUUGCUUCCGCUGACUCGUCUGUGAUCGAGCACUUGUAUUCGAGCCCUCGAGGCCCCUGGCUUGUAUUAUGAUGCUUGUAUGACUUAUUUAUGUUUUAGAGUUGUGUUGUGAUAUCUUCCCGUGAGUCCCUGAUCUUGGUCGUACACAUUUGCGUGCAUGAUUAGUGUACGGUCAAAUUGGGGGCGUCACAUUAUCCUUCGCUACAUCCUUCCAUUCCUCGUCGUUGUUUUCUUUGGGUGUAUCCACCAUCUAUAUAUCGUAUGAUGAAGUGGCUGUCCAGCGCCCUGUGGGCGGUGGUUCCUGUUCCCCUCCUGCAUCGUCGUCCAUACCGUCGAUGUCUUCGGAGUCGAAAUCAAGCAUAUCGGUUAAGUCGUCGACAGUGGCUAUUAAAUGGGUGGUGGGCGGGGAACGAAUUUCUUCGUCGUCCGCUUCCCACUCGAGCCGGACAUAGUUCGGCCGAGGGUCUCCUGAUGAGGAGAGUGACCUCAAUGAAUCUAGCACGUCACCCAGGGGCAAGUGCUGAAAGAUAUCCGCGGAGGUAAACUCCAUGACCGGUGCCCAAUCAGACUUGAUAGGCACGGACGCAGGCGGUUCGGAGCCUGUGACCGGGGACGAAUCCAAGGGUCCGGCAACACAGGUCUCAUAGGAGGUGAAGUCAGUAUUCAGCUCUAUCGCCGCUGAGUGUGCGGCCUCCGUGGCGGGGUCCAUCCACCCGUCCUCGGACGGCAUGAUCUGCUCCGGACUGAGGGCCGGAGUAGCCACAGGUGUGAUCUCCCGAACACCAUCCGACAGCAGAGCUAAGUCAUGCUCGUCGUGGCUGUGCGGCGCACCUGACAUGGGCUCGAAUCCGUCGAAGAUCAAGUCUCCGCAGAUGUCGGCAGUAUAGUUUAAGCUUCCCAACCUGACCUGAUGGCCAGGGGCGUAGCUCUCGAUCUGCUCCAGAUGGCCAAGCGAGUUGGCCCGCAGUACGAAGCCGCCAAAUACGAAAAUCUGUCCGGGGAGAAAAACCUCACCCUGGAUCGCAUCGUUGCCGAUGAUCUAAGGAGCCAUCAAGCCUUUACAUGACGGCACAGUGGAACUCUCAAUGAAAGCACCAAUGUCGGUGUCAAAACCGGCGGAUCUCGGGUAGGGGGUCCCGAACUGUGCGUCUAAGGCGGAUGGUAACAUGAGGCGGGGGACAGAAUGUUUACCCAGGUUCGGGCCCUCUCGAUGGAGGUAAUACCCUACUUCCUGCUUGAUUGAUCUUGAUGAUAUGAGUAUUACAAGAGUUGAUCUACCACGAGAUCGUAGAGGCUAAACCCAAGAAGCUAGCCUAUGAUUAUGAUUGUUCUUGUCCUACGGACUAAACCCUCCGGUUUAUAUAGACACCGGAGGGCGCUAGGGUUACACAGAGUCGGUUACAAGGGAGGAGAUCUACAUAUCCGAAUCGCCAAGCUUGCCUUCCACGCAAAGGAGAGUCCCACCCGGACACGGGACGAAGUCUUCAAUCUUGUAUCUUCAUAGGCCAACAGUCCGGCCAAAGUAUAUAGUCCGACCGUCCGAGGAACCCCUAAUCCAGGACUCCCUCACCCGCCACGACGCUUUGCUUAGAACUGCACCAACUGACAGCCCACCGUUCAAUAUAAACACGUAUCCGGUUUGUGACGUAGAAUCAUCCGGAUCAGUGUCAAAGCUUGCAUCGACGUAACCAUUUACGACGAGCUCUUUGCCACCUCCAUAAACGAGAAACAUAUCCGUAGUCUUUUUCAGGUAUUUCAGGAUGUUCUUGACCACUGUCCAGUGAUCCACUCCUGGAUUACUUUGGUACCUCCCUGCUAAACUAAUAGCAAGGCACACAUCAGGUCUGGUACAACAUUGAAUACAUGAUAGAGCCUAUGGCUGAAGCAUAGGGAACACCUUUCAUUUUCUCUCUAUCUUUUGCAGUGGUCGGGCAUUGAGUCUGACUCAACUUCACACCUUGUAAUACCGGCAAGAACCCUUUCUUUGCUUGAUCCAUUUUAAACUUUUUCAAAACUUUAUCAAGGUAUGUGCUUUGUGAAAGUCCAAUUAAGCAUCUCGAUCUAUCUCUAUAGAUCUUAAUGCCCAAUAUAUAAGCAGUUUCACCGAGGUCUUUCAUUGAAAAAACUCGUAUUCAAGUAUCCUUUUAUGCUAUCCAGAAAUUAUAUAUCAUUUCCAAUCAACAAUAUGUAAUCUACAUAUAAUAUUAGAAAUGCUACAGAGCUCCCACUCACUUUCUUGUAAAUACAUGCUUCUCCAAAAGUCUGUAUAAAACCAUAUGCUUUGAUCACACUAUCAAAAUGUUUAUUCCAACUCGGAGAUGCUUGCACCAGUCCAAAAAUGGAUAGCUGGAGCUUGCACACUUCGUUAGCAUCCUUUGGAUCGAUAAAACCUUCAGGUUGCAUCAUAUACAACUCUUCUUCCAGAAAUCCAUUCAGGAAUGCAGUCUUUACAUCCAUUUGCGAGAUUUCAUGAUCAUAAAAUGCGGCAAUUGCUAACAUGAUUCGGACGGACUUAAGCAUCGCUACGGGUGAGAAGGUCUCAUCGUAGUCAACUCCUUGAACUUGUCGAAAACCUUCCGCAACAAGUCGAGCUUUGUAGACAGGAACAUUAACGUCAGUGUCUGUCUUCUUCUUGAAGAUCCAUUUAUUCUCGAUGGUUUGCUGAUCAUCGGGCAAGUCAACCAAACUCCACACUUUGUUCUCAUACAUGGAUCCCAUCUCAGAUUUCAUGGUCUGAAGCCAUUUUGCGGAAUCUGGGCUCAUCAUCGCUUCCUCAUAGCUCGUAGGUUCGUCAUGGUCAAGUAACAUGACCUCCAGAACAGGAUUACCGUACCACUCUGGUGCGGAUCUUACUCUAGUUGACCUACGAGGUUCAGUAGUAACUUGAUCUGAAGUUACAUGACCAUCAUCAUUAGCUUCCUCACUAAUUGGUGUAGGAGUCACAGGAACAGAUUUCUGUGAUGAACUACUUUCCAAUAAGGGAGCAGGUACAGGUACCUCAUCAAGUUCUACUUUCCUCCCACUCACUUCUUUCGAGAGAAACUCCUUCUAUAGAAAGGAUCCAUUCUUAGCAACGAAUGUCUUGCCUUCGGAUCUAUGAUAGAAGGUGUACCCAAUAGUCUCCUUUGGGUAUCCUAUGAAGAAACAUUUCUCCGAUUUGGUUCGAGCUUAUCAGGUUGAAGCAUUUUCACAUAAGCAUCGCAGCCCCAAACUUUAAGGAACGACAACUUUGGUUUCUUGCCAAACCAUAGUUCAUAAGGCGUCGUCUCAAUGGAUUUAGAUGGUGCCCUAUUUAACGUGAAUGCAACCGUCUCUAAAGCAUAACCCCAAAACGAUAGCGGUAAAUCAGUAAGAGACAUCAUAGAUCGCACCAUAUCCAGUAAAGUACGAUUACGAAGUUCGGACACACCAUUACGCUGUGGUGUUCCGAGUGGCGUGAGUUGCGAAACUAUUCCACAUUGUUUCAAAUGAAGACCAAACUCAUAACUCAAAUAUUCUCCUCCACGAUCAGAUCGUAGAAACUUUAUUUUCUUGUUACGAUGAUUUUCCACUUCACUCUGAAAUUCUCUGAACUUUUUAAAUGUUUCAGACUUAUGUUUCAUCAAGUAGAUAUACCCAUAUCUGCUCAAAUCAUCUGUGAAGGUGAGAAAAUAACGAUACCCGCCGCGAGCCUCAACAUUCAUUGGACCACAUAUAUCAGUAUGUAUGAUUUCCAACAAAUCUGUUGCACGCUCCAUUGUUCCGGAGAACAGAGUUUUAGUCAUCUUACCCAUGAGGCAUGGUUCGCAAGUACCAAGUGAUUCAUAAUCAAGUGAUUCCAAAAGUCCAUCAAAAUGGAGUUUCUUCAUGCGCUCUACACCAAUAUGACCUAAACGGCAGUGCCACAAAUAAGUUGCACUAUCAUUAUCAACUCUGCAUCUUUUGGCUUCAAUAUUAUGAAUAUGUGUAUCACUACUAUCGAGAUUCAAUAUAAAUAGACCACUCUUAAAGGGUGCAUGACCAUAAAAGAUAUUACUCAUAUAAAUAGAAAAACCAUUAUUCUCUGAUUUAAAUGAAUAACCGUCUCGCAUCAAACAAGAUCCAGAUAUAAUGUUCAUGCUCAACGCUGGCACCAAAUAACAAUUAUUCAGGUCUAAAACUAAUCCCAAAGGUAGAUGUAGAGGUAGCGGGCCGACCGCGAUCACAUCGACUUUGGAACCAUUUCCCACGCGCAUCGUCACCUCGUCCUUAGCCAAUCUUCGCUUAAUCCGUAGUCCCUAUUUCGAGUUACAAAUAUUAGCAACAGAACCAGUAUCAAAUACCCAGGUGCUACUGCGAGCAUUAGUAAGGUACACAUCAAUAACAUGUAUAUCACGUAUACCUUCACUAGUAGAAAACAGGGCUUUGGUCACAGGGCAAUAUUCACAUUAGUCCCGGUUCAGUCACGAACCGGGACUAAUGUGAGCAUUGGUCCCGGUUCGUGCGGCUAAGGCAUUAGUCCCGGUUCACCUGGGCCCUUUAGUCCCCGUUGGUGCCACCAACCGGUACUAAUGGGCUUUGAGGCAUUAGUACCGGUUCAUGGCAUGAACCGGUACUAAAGGUCCCAUUUUCAAACUCUACACCCCCCUGUGGACCGCCUUUUCAGUUUUAGAAAAAACAAAAGAAAAUGAUGAAAAUGUCAAAAAAAUAAAAUAACACAAGUUUUCCAUGUGAUAUGUGGUCUAUUUGUUGGGAAAAUUUACAAAUAUGAAUUUCGACUUUAUUUGCAAAAUCUCUCUGGAAUUUGUAAAAUGGGCAUAACUUUUGCAUACGAACUCGGAUUAAAAAGUUUUUUAUAUGAAAAAUCAUCUACUCGAAAAGUUACUUCCGAAUUUAAACGGGGGAACCCCGUUAAACAUUUUCAAAAUCCUCAAAAACCUAACAGAAAAAAAGUUACGGGGCUUUCAAGAUCUAGAGGCAAAAAAAUUGAAAAAAAUUCAAACUUACUAGUGGGAAACUUACUAGUAACAGAAAAAAAAAUAUAGUUUCAAAUUUUAUAUUUGGAAAAAAUGUGGUCAGGUCUGGUCAAAUCUGGUCAAACUGUGGUUAAACAAUGGUCAAACUAAUUAUUCUAGAAUAUUAGUGUUACUAAAUAAUUAUUUCAGUUUUUUUGAAUUUGGGUCAACUAUGGUCAAACAGUGACCAAACUGUGGUCAAACUGUGGUCAAACUAAUUAUUCAAGAAAUAUUAGUUUUACUAAAUAAUUAUUGCUUUUUAAAACAAUAGUUUCAAACUCAAACAGUGAAAUGUGUCACUUCAUGCUGAAGCUAAAUUCCUGAGGGUUAAUAGGAUUGACGUCUUACUAUUGUCAGGAAAACAACAAGUGCAGACUUGGAAACGAGGGAGAAUAGAACCCGGAAGUUAAGCGUGCUCAGGCUGGGGGAGUGGGAGGAUGGGUGACCGUUCGGGAAGUUAGAUGAUUUGGAAUGAUGAGGGGUGAUUAGAGAUUAGAGGAUAAAUUGAGCAGUGAUGAGGGGUGGUGAUUAGAGAUUAGAGGUAAAAAUAAUUCAGAAAUUUGAAAAUAAAAAAAAUCAAAAAAAAAAUCAUAAAAUUUCCUUUAGUCCCGGUUGGUGUUACCAACCGGGACUAAAGGUGGAGCUCCACGUGGCCGCGGCCUUUAGUCCCGGUUCGUGUAAGAACCGGGACUAAAGGGGGGAGGCAUUAGUAACGGCCUUUAGUCCCGGUUCGUGUAAGCCCCUUUUUCUACUAGUGCUUUGUUCACCUUGCCAUCCUUCUUAUCCGCCAAGUACUUGGGGCAGUUCCGCUUCCAGUGACCAGUACCUUUGCAGUAGAAGUAAUCAGUCUCAGACUUAGGUCCAGACUUGGGCUUUUUCACUUGAGCAGCAACUUGCUUGCCGUUCUUCUUGAAGUUUCCCUUCUUCCCUUUACCCUUUUUCUUGAAAUUGGUGGUCUUGUUGACCAUCAAUACUUGAUGCUCCUUCUUGAUUUCUACCUCCGCAGCAUUUAGCAUCGCGAAGAGCUUGGGAAUUGUCUUAUCCAUCCCUUACAUGUUAUAGUUCAUCACGAAGCUCUUGUAGCUUGGUGGCAGUGAUUGAAGAAUUAUGUCAAUGACACUAUCAUCCGGAAGAUUAACUCCCAGUUGAAUCAAGUGAUUGUUAUACUCAGACAUUUUGAGUAUAUGCUCACUGACAGAACUAUUCUCCUCCAUCUUGCAGCUGUAGAACUUAUUGGACACUUCAUAUCUCUCAAUCCGUCCAUUUGCUUGAAAUAUUAACUUCAACUCCUGAAACAUCUCAUAUGCUCCAUGACGUUCAAAACGUCGUUGACGUCCUGGUUCUAUGCCUUAAAGCAAGGCACACUGAACUAUCGAGUAGUCAUCAGCUUCGCUCUGCCAGACGUUCGUAACAUCUGGUAUUGCUCCUGCAGCGGGUUUGGCACUGAUACGUCUCCAAUGUAUGUAUAAUUUAUGAAGUAUCCAUGCUAUUAUAUUAUGCAUCUUGGAUGUUUAAUGGGCUUUACUAUGCACUUCUAUAUUACUUUUGAGACUAACCUAUUGACCCAGAGCCCAGUGCCAGUUUCUGUUUUUUUCCUUGUUUCAGUGUUUCACGGAAAAGGAAUAUCAAACGGAGUCCAAACGGAAUGAAACCUUCGGAAAAGUUAUUUUUGGAAAGAAAGCAAUACAGGAGACUUGGAGUGCACGUCAGGAGAUCAACGAGGAGAGCACAAGGCAGGGGGGCGCGCCCUCCACCCUCGUGGGCCCCUCGUGGCCCCCCUUACCGACUUCUUUCGCCUAUAUAUCUCCAUAUACCCUAAACCAUCGGGGAGCAGAGAGAUCGGGAGUUCCGCCGCCGCAAGCCUCUGUAGCCACCAAAAACCAAUCGAGACCCUGUUCUGGCACCCUGCCGGAGGGGGGGACCCUCACCAGUGGCCAUCUUCAUCAUCCCGGCGUUCUCCAUGACGAGGAGGGAGUAGUUCACCCUCGGGGCUGAGGGUAUGUACUAGUAGCUAUAUGUUUGAUCUCACUCUCUCUCGUGUUCUUGAGAUGAUCUAUUGUAGUUGUAGAUGUAUCGCGAGCUUUGCUAUUGUAGUUGGAUCUUAUGAUGUUUCUCCCCCUCUACUCUCUUGUAAUGGAUUGAGUUUUCCCUUUGAAGUUAUCUUAUCGGAUUGAGUCUUUAAUGAUUUGAGAACACUUGAUGUAUGUCUUGCGUGGGAUAACCGUGGUGACAAUGGGUUAUUCUAUUGAUUCACUUGAUGUAUGUUUUGGUGAUCAACUUGCGGGUUCCGCCCAUGAACCUAUGCAUAGGGGUUGGCACACGUUUUCGUCUUGACUCUCCGGAAGAAACUUUGGGGCACUCUUUGAGGUUCUAUGUGUUGGUUGAAUAGAUGAAUAUGAGAUUGUGUGAUGCAUAUCGUAUAAUCAUACCCACGGAUACUUGAGGUGACAUUGGAGUAUCUAGGUGACAUUAGGGUUUUGGUUGAUGUGUGUCUUAAGGUGUUAUUAUACUACGAACUCUAGGGCUGUUUGUGACACUUAUAGGAAUAGCCCAAUGGAUUGAUCGGAAAGAAUAACUUUGAGGUGGUUUCGUACCCUACCAUAAUCUCUUCGUUUGUUCUCCGCUAUUAGUGACUUUGGAGUGACUCUUUGUUGUAUGUUGAGGGAUAGUUAUAUGAUCCAAUUAUGUUAUUAUUGUUGAGAGAACUUGCACUAGUGAAAGUAUGAACCCUAGGCCUUGUUUCCUAGCAUUGCAAUACCGUUUAUGCUCACUUUUAUCAAUAGUUACCUUGCUGUUUUUAUAUUUUCAGAUUACAAAAACCUAUAUCUACCAUCCAUAUUGCACUUGUAUCACCAUCUCUUCACCGAACUAGUGCACCUAUUCAAUUUACCAUUGUAUUGGGUGUGUUGGGGACACAAGAGACUCUUUGUUAUUUGGUUGCAGGGUUGCUUGAGAGAGACCAUCUUCAUCCUACGCCUCCCACGGAUUGAUAAACCUUAGGUCAUCCACUUGAGGGGAAUUUGCAACUGUCCUACAAACCUCUGCACUUGGAGGCCCAACAACGUCUACAAGAAGAAGGUUAUGUAGUAGACAUAAAGCUCUUUUCUGGCGCCGUUGCCGGGGAGGCUAGGUAAGCGGCACUCACACCCCAUCAACUAAGCAGUUUCUGGCGCCGUUGCCGGGGAGGUGAGUGCUUGAAGUUAUAUCUUUAGAUCUUGCAAUCGGAUCUUUUUGUUUCUUGUUUUAUCACUAGUUUAGUUUAUAAAAGAAAAUUACAAAAAAAUGGAAUUGAGUUUGCCUCAUACGCUUCAUCUUUUUAAUAUAUUUCGUGAGUAUGAUGGAAAGGAAAAUUGUGCCAAAAUAUUAGAGGAAGAAUGCAUUAGAAUGUUUGGCACUAAAUCUUUGAAUGAUGAGCAUGAUUGCAAUGUUGUUGGUAUGAACUCCUUGAAUAUCCAUAGUACUAAUGAUGAUUGCACUAGUCAUGAUGAAAAUGUCUCCUAUAAACAUGUCAAUUUUUGUGGAGUGCAUUGGGUUUGCAAGUACACACCAAAUAGGGAUGAUAGAUAUUGCAAGAGGCAUAAGCAUUUAGAAACUAAAUUGUUGCAAGAAAGGCUAGAUGUUUGCGCUGAAAAUUGAUUUUUUCUUAGCCGUACUUGUGAACUUUGCAAUGAACAUGAUCAUUUCAGUACCCAAUGCAAAUUGUUUCAUGAUCGUAUCGUGUCCAAAAAUUGUGAUGACUUGAUUUCCCUUGCACAUCAUAAUGAACUUAGUUUGCUCUUGGGUUAUGAAGAAAUGAAACGUAUAACUAAGGUCAUUCCAGAAUUUGCCCUUGAUAGAGUCCUUCAUUUUGAUCUAGAGGAAAUUUAUAUGUAUUAUGCAGUGAAUUUCAUUGAAAAUCCUUAUAUUGCCAAUUACAUAAAGAAAAGAAAGCAAACAGAAGAUGAAGAGAACACUAAUGUAAGGGAAGAGACUUCCCAAUAUCCUCCUAUUAUUUGUUAUGAUGAAUCAGGUAACGAGGAGGAGCUUUCUAUUCAACCAAUCUCAUCAAUAAGGAGCUCAAAAAACAGGGAUAAACCGACACAUGAUGUGAAGAAGAAAAAGAAAAAACGGAGAAGCAAAGGUAAAAAGGUAUCCCUCCCAAAUAAUGUUGCUCCUAUUAUUGUUGUGCCUCAUGAAAAUGAAUCAAAAAUAAUUGUGGAAGAUGAUGCACUUGAUGAUGAUCUAGUUAUGCCUAUUGCUUGAUGUGAUGAUUAUGAUUGGGAAGAUAAUGAUACUUCUUAUGAUCUUGAAAAUCUUUUUGGCACUUGUUUGGAAUAUGACAAUUGCUAUACUAUUGGUGCUAUCCAUACUAUUAAUGAUGAGAGUGAUUAUGCUUAUGAUAUGAAAAGGCCCAAGCUUGGGGAUGCUAUGUUUGAAGAAGAUGAUGUUUGUGAGAAUAUAUUUGCUGCAAUUAAUGUUUGUCCCAAGCUUGGGGAUGCUAUGUUUAAUAAUGAUGAUAUUUUUAGCCUCUCAAGUUUCGAUAUGCAAAUUUAUAAUGAUGAUAGCAUGCCUCCUACUUAUGAUGAUUAUAUUGAUGAAAGUGGGUUUGGAAGAGUGUCAACUUUAGGAAGUAAUGAUCCCACUAUUUUGGAGGAUGUUGAAUCUUAUAAUAUUUAUGAAAGUGGAUUUGGAGAGGUCAUGACUUUGUUUAGUGAUGUAUCCACUAUUUCGGAAGAGGUUUCAAUUGAUUAUGAUGCGAACAAAGUUUCUACUUAUGAUGAUUAUUGUGAUGAAACUUAUGCUAUAAAAAGUAGUGAUGAUUAUAUUUAUAAAACUUGUCAUGAUUACGAUUACCCUUUUUCUGAACAUUACUCUUUUAAUGUGGAAACAAUUUAUAGUAUUCAAGUCUCUCAUGAUACUCCCACUAUUCCGAAUGAGAAGAAUUUUGCUUGUGUGGAGAGUAGUAAAUUUUCUAUGCUUGUAGAGCAUGAAAAGAAUGCUUUAGGUGCUGGUUAUAUUGUUGAAUUCAUUCAUGAUGCUACUGAAAAUUAUUAUGAGGGAGGAAUAUAUGCUUGUAGGAAUUGCAAUAAUAUGAAGUUUCCUCUCUAUGUGCUUAAAGUUUUGAAGUUAUGCUUGUUUUACCUUCCUUUGCAAGUUGAUUCUUGUUCCCAUAGGUUGUUUGCUCACAAAAUCCCUAUGCAUAGGAAGUGGGUUAGACUUAAAUGUGCUAGUCAUAUUCUUCAUGAUGCUCUAUUUAUGUUUCAAUUCUUAUCUUUUAUGUGAGCAUCAUUGAAAUCAUCAUGCCUAGCUAGGGGCGUUAAACGAUAGCGCUUGUUGGGAGGUAACCCAAUUUUAUUUUAGUGUCUUGAUUUUUGGUUCUGUUUAGGAAUAAAUAAUCCAUCUAGAUUCUGUUUAGAUGUGGUUUUGUGUUUUAAUUAGUGUUUGUGCCAAGUAGAACCUUUGGGAAGACUUGGGUGAAGUCUUUAUGAUCAUGCUGUAAAAAACAGAAACUUUAGCGCUCACGAGAUUAGCUAAAACUUUUUACUGGAGAGUGAUAUUUAGUUGAUUCUUUUUGCAGAUGAUUACUAGACAAAUUACUCAGGUCCACCAAUUUAUUUUAGAAUUUUUGGAGUUCCAGAAGUUUGCGUUAGUUACAGAUUACUUCAGACUGUUCUGUUUUUGACAGAUUCUGUUUUUCGUGUGUUGUUUGCUUAUUUUGAUGACUCUAUGGCUAGUAAAAUAGUUUAUAAACCAUAGAGAAGUUGGAAUGCAGUAUGUUUAACACCAAUAUAAAUAAAAAUGAGUUCAGUACGGUACGAAGUGGUAUUUUGCUUUCUUUCGCUAACGGAGCUCACGAGAUUUUCUGUUAAGUUUUGUGUUGUGAAGUUUUCAAGUUUUGGGUAAAGAUUCGAUGGACUAUGGAAUAAGGAGUGGCAAGAGCCUAAGCUUGGGGAUGCCCAAGGCACCCCAAGGUAAUAUUCCAGGACAACCAAGAGCCUAAGCUUGGGGAUGCCCCGGAUGGCAUCCCCUCUUUCGUCCUCAUCCAUCGGUAACUUUACUUGGAGCUAUAUUUUUAUUCACCAAAUGAUAUGUGUUUUGCUUGGAGCUUCAUUUUAUUUUCUUUAGCUUUGCUUGUUGUAUGAAUAAAAUACCAAGAUCUUAAAUUAUUAAAUGGGAGAGUCUUCACAUAGCUAAAUAAUUAUUCAACUACCCAUUGAUCUUCACUUAUAUCUUUUUGGAGUAGUUUGUUAUUUACUCGUGUGCUUCACUUAUAUCCUAUGAGUAAAUGGUUGAAUGAUUUGAAUGUCAUAAAUCUGAAAUUAUAUAUGUUUCAUAUGCUUUUUCCAUGGGGAGUAAUGCCUUUACAUAUAAGAAGUAGAGGUGGUAAAUUUAUUGAAGGUUAGCAAACAUUGUAUUGGUCACUUGCACAAUUCAUGAAAGAAUAUUGAAGGAAGAGAGAUUUCACAUAUAAAUAUACUAUCUUGGACAUCAUCUAUGAUUGUGAGCCCAUUAAUUAUUUUCAAACCUGAGCAAAUUUAGUUGAAGUUGGACAAGGAAGACAACAUACUGAGUUAUGUUUGGGUAUAUUUGGAUAGAAGUUAUAUUGUUAUGGAUCCUCUAACAUGUGGUGCUUGCUAUUUAGAAUCCUUUGCUAGCCAAAAUAUCUGUACUAAUCGGGAAUACUGCUUGUGCAUCCAAACUCCUUGAACCAAGUUUCUUCCAUGAAUGUCCACCACAUCUACCUAUAUGCGGUAUUUACCUGCCGUUCCAAGUAAAUUUGCACGUGCCAAACUCUAAACCUUCAAAUAAUAAUCUGUUUUGUAUGCCCGAAUUGCUCAUGUAGUGACUAGGGGCUAGCAGUAUCUUCCAUGCUAGGUGGGUUAUUCUCACGAUGAGUGGACUCCGCUCAUCAGUCACGAGAAAAUGGCUGGUAACUUGGAUGCCCAGUCCUAUGAUCAAAAGAUCAAAAACAAAUUCGCAAAUAAUUUAAACAAAACUCCCCCAGGAUUGUUGAAAGUUGGACGGCACCCGUUGUUUCGGACAAGCCAUGGAGUGUGAUCGUUGGUGGAGGGGGAGUAAAAUCUUUACCUUUCUGCAUGGGAACCGCCUAUGAUGUAUCUAGUAUGGAAGAUAUUGGGAACUCUUGGUCGUUAUGUUGACAAUGAAAGCAUACUCCUCAAAAUUAUUUUCAUCUUUGUUUUUGCUUCGAGCUCUGGCACCUCUGCAAAUCCCUGCUUCCCUCUGCGAAGGGCCUAUCUUUUACUUUUAUGCAAGAGUCAGUAGUAUUCCUUCUCAUUCCAACCUAUUCUUUAGUUGGCAAGCAUCAUGUGAUGGAAAGAUCUGAGCAAAUAUGGCCAUUCAAAUAUAUUUGAUCAUGAAUUAUUAUUGUUGACAAUUAUCUAUAUCAUAAAUAAGUUGGGAGGCGAAACAUUAAGCCCCUAUCUUUCUCUGUGUUCGAUCGAUGCUAUUUGUUCUAAAAAUAUGCUUUGAGUGGUAGCAAUCAUGGAAGACUAUAUGGUAGUUGAGUAUGUGGAGUUUGCUAAAUCAAAGCUCUCACAUAGACUCUUCCUGAAAAUAAGAUGAAUUGCAAUUAUUUGAUGACUGAGAACUGUUUGUUAGUUUUCAAGAAAGUUUAUGAUCUAUACUUUAACAUGUGAAUAGUUUGUUACUUCAUCAUGAAAAGUUUUAUGAGAUGAGCUACUGUUAUGUUAUAUAAUGAUGCUAGAAAAGGUGAUUGAAAUUAUCAUUGAUCAAACUUAUGCACCUGCUAGCAUUCACACUUCAUAAAUUCUUUCUUUUAUCAUUUACCUACUCGAGGACGAGCAGGAAUUAAGCUUGGGGAUGCUGAUACGUCUCCAACGUAUCCAUAAUUUAUGAAGUAUUCAUACUAUUAUAUUAUCCAUCUUGGAUGUUUAAUGGGAUUUACUAUGCACUUGUAUAUUACUUUUGGGACUAACCUAUUGACCCAUAGCGCAGUGCCAGUUUCUGUUUUUUCCUUGUUUCAGUGUUUCGCGGAAAAGGAAUAUCAAACGGAGUCCAAACGGAAUGAAACCUUCGGAAAAGUUAUUUUUGGAAAGAAAGCAAUACAAGAGACUUGGAGUGCACGUCAGGAGAUCAAAGAGGAGAGCACGAGGCAGGGGGCGCGCCCACCCCCCCUGGGCGUGCCCUCCACCCUCGUGGGCCCCUCGUGGCCCCCCUUACCGACUUCUUUCGCCUAUAUAUCUCCAUAUACCCUAAAACCAUCGGGGAGCAGAGAGAUCGGGAGCUUCGCCGCCGCAAGCCUCUGUAGCCACCAAAAACCAAUCGGGACCCUGUUCCGGCACCCUGCCAGAGGGGGGAUCCCUCACCGGUGGCCAUCUUCAUCAUCCCGGCGCUCUCCAUGACGAGGAGGGAGUAGUUCACCCUCGGGGCUGAGGGUAUGUACCAGUAGCUAUGUGUUUGAUCUCUCUUUCUCUCUCUCUCUCUCUCGUGUUCUUGAGGUGAUACGAUCUUGAUGUAUCGCGAGCUUUGCAAUUGUAGUUGGAUAUUAUGAUGUUUCUCCCCCUCUACUCUCUUGUAAUGGAUUGAGUUUUCCCUUUGAAGUUAUCUUAUCGGAUUGAGUCUUUAAUGAUUUGAGAACACCUGAUGUAUGUCUUGCGUGGGAUAACCGUGGUGGCAAUGGGUUAUUCUAUUGAUUCACUUGAUGUAUGUUUUGGUGAUCAACUUGCGGGUUCCGCCCAUGAACCUAUGCAUAGGGGUUGGCACACGUUUUUGUCUUGACUCUCCGGUAGAAACUUUGGGGCACUCUUUGAGGUUCUAUAUGUUGGUUGAAUAGAUGAAUCUGAGAUUGUGUGAUGGAUAUCGUAUAAUCAUACCCACGGAUACUUGAGGUGACAUUGGAGUAUCUAGGUGACAUUAGUGUCUUGGUUGAUGUGUGUCUUAAGGUGUUAUUUUAGUACGAACUCUAGGGCUGUUUGUGACACUUAUAGGAAUAGCACAAUGGAUUGAUUAGAAAGAAUAACUUUGAGGUGGUUUCGUACCCUACCAUAAUCUCUUCGUUUGUUCUCCGCUAUUAGUGACUUUGGAGUGACUCUUUGUUGCAUGUUGAGGGAUAGUUAUAUGAUCCAAUUAUGUUAUUAUUGUUGAGAGAACUUGCACUAGUGAAAGUAUGAACCCUAGGCCUUGUUUCCUAGCAUUGCAAUACCGUUUAUGCUCACUUUUAUCAUUAGUUACCUUCCUGUUUUUAUAUUUUCAGAUUACAAAAACCUAUAUCUACCAUCCAUAUUGCACUUGUAUCACCAUCUCUUCGCCGAACUAGUGCACCUAUACAAUUUACCAUUGUAUUGGGUGUGUUGGGGACACAAGAGACUCUUUGUUAUUUGGUUGCAGGGUUGCUUGAGAGAGACCAUCUUCAUCCUACGCCUCCAACGGAUUGAUAAACCUUAGGUCAUCCACUUGAGGGAAAUUUGCUACUGUCCUACAAACCUCUGCACUUGGAGGCCCAACAACGUCUACAAGAAGAAGGUUGUGUACUAGACAUCAGCACCUAGCGGUGCUUCCAGGACGUAAUUCUUCUGUGCAGCAAUGAGGAUAAUCCUCAAGUUACGGACCCAAUCCGUGUAGUUGCUACCAUCAUCUUUCAACUUAUCUUUCUCCAGGAACGCAUUAAAAUUCAACGGAACAACAGCACGAGCCAUCUAUCUACAACAACAUAGACAUGCAAAAUACUAUCAGGUACUAAGUUCAUGAUAAAUUAAAGUUCAAUUAAUCAUAUUACUAAAGAACUCCCACUUAGAUAGACAUCUCUCUAAUCAUCUAAGUGAUCACGUGAUCCAAAUCAACUAAACCAUGUCCGAUCAUCACGUGAGAUGGAGUAGUUUUCAAUGGUGAACAUCACCAUGUUGAUCAUAUCUACUAUAUGAUUCACGCUCGACCUUUCGGUCUCAGUGUUCCGAGGUCAUAUCUGCAUAUGCUAGGCUCGUCAAGUUUAACCCCAGUAUUCUGCGUGUGUAAAAUUGGCUUGCACCCAUUGUAUGUGAACGUAGAGCUUAUCACACCCGAUCAUCACGUGGUGUCUCGGCACGACGAACUUUCGCAACGGUGCAUACUCAGGGAGAACACUUGUACCUUGAAAUUUAGUGAGAGAUCAUCUUAUAAUGCAAUCGCCGUACUAACCAAAAUAAGAUGCAUAAAAUAUAAACAUCACAUGCAAUCAAUAUAAGUGAUACGAUAUGGCCAUUAUCAUCUUAUGCCUUUGAUCUCCAUCUCCAUAGCACUGUCAUGAUCACCAUCGUCACCGGCGCGACACCUUGAUCUCCAUCAUAGCAUCGUUGUCGUCUCGCCAACUAUUGCUUCUACGACUAUCGCUACCGCUUAGUGAUAAAGUAAAGCAAUUACAUGGCGCUUGCAUUUCAUACAAUAAAGCGACAACCAUAUGGCUCCUGCCAGUUGCCGAUAACUUCGUUACAAAACAUGAUCAUCUCAUACAAUAAAAUUUAGCAUCAUGUCUUGACCAUAUCACAUCAGAACAUGCCCUGCUAAAACAAGUUAGACGUCCUCUACUUUGUUGUUGCAAGUUUUACGUGGCUGCUACGGGCUGAGCAAGAACCAUUCUUACCUACGCAUCAAAACCACAACGAUAUUUUGUCAAGUAUGUGAUGUUUUAACCUUCACAAGGACCGGACGUAGCCACACUCGAUUCAACUAAAGUUGGAGAAACUGACACCCGCCAGCCACCUGUGUGCAAAGCACGUUGGUAGAACCAGUCUCGCGUAAGCGUACGCGUAAUGUCGGUCCGGGCCGCUUCAUCCAACAAUACCGCCGAAUCAAAGUAUGACAUGUUGGUAAGCAGUAUGACUAGUAUCGCCCACAACUCACGUGUGUUCUACUCGUGCAUAUAACAUCUACGCAUAAACCUGGCUCGGAUGCUACUGUUAGGGAACGUAGUAAUUUAAAAAAAAAUCUACGCACACGCAAGAUCAUGGUGAUGCAUAGCAAUGAGAGGGAGAGUGUUGUCCACGUACCCUCGUAGACCGUAAGCGGAAGCGUUAUGACAACGCGGUUGAUGUAGUCGUACGUCUUCACGAUCGACCGGUCCUAGUACCGACUGUACGGCACCUUCGCGAUUUGCACACGUUCAGCUCGGUGACGUCCCACGAACUCACGAUCCAGUAGAGCUUCGUCAGCAUGACGGCGUGAUGAUGGUGAUGAUGAAGCUACCGGCGCAGGGCUUCGCCUAAGCACUACGACGAUAUGACCGAGGUGGAUUAUGGUGGAGGGGCCCACCGCACACGGCUUGGAACAAUCAACUUGUGUGUCCUAGGGUGCCCCCUGCCCCCGUAUAUAAAGGAGUAAGGAGGGAGGCCAGCCUGCCCUUGGUGUGCCCAAGGAGAGGAGGAAUCCUCCUCCUAGUACGAGUAGGAUGCAUCCUUUCCUAGUCCUACUAAGAAGGGGGAAUGGGGAAGGAAGGAGAGGGAGAGGGAGAGGGAAAGAGGGGCCGCGCCCCCUUCCCCUAGUCCUAUUCGGACUCCCCUUGGGGGGGGGGUGCCACCUCCUGGGCUGCUGCCCUCUCUUUCCGCUAAGGCCCAAUACUUCCCCCGGGGGGUUCCGGUAACCCCUCCGGUACUCCGGUUUUUUCCGAAAUCACCCGGAACACUUCCGGUGUCUGAAUAUAGCCAUCCAAUAUAUCGAUCUUUAUGUCUCGACCAUUUUGAGACUCCUCAUCAUGUCCGUGACCAUAUCCGGGACUCUGAACUACCUUCGGUACAUCAAAACACAUAAACUCAUAAUACCGAUCGUCACCGAACGUUAAGCGUGCGGACCCUACGGGUCGAGAACUAUGUAGACAUGACCGAGACUCAUCUCCGGUCAAUAACCAAUAGCGGAACCUGGAUGCUCAUAUUGGCUCUUACAUAUUCUAGGAAGAUCUUGAUACGUCUCCAACGUAUCUAUAAUUUUUGAUUGUUCCAUGCUAUUAUAUUAUCUGGUUUGGAUGUUUAUGGGCUUUAUUAAAAACUUUUAUAUUAUUUUUGGGACUAACCUAUUAAACCAGAGCCCAAUGCCAGUUUCUGUUUUUCUCCUUGUUUCAGUGUUUCGCAGAAAAGGAAUAUCAAACGGAGUCCAAACGGAAUGAAACCUUCCGGAGAGUUAUUUUUGGAACGGAAGCAAUCCAGGGGACUUGGAGUGCACGUAAGGGGAGCAACGAGGAAGGCACGAGGCAGGGGGUGCGCCCACCCCCCUGGCGCGCCCUCCACCCUUGUGGGCCCCUCGUGGCUCCCCUGACCGACUUCUUUUGCCUAUAUAUCUCCAUAUACCCUAAAAGCAUCGGGGAACGGAAUAGAUCGGGAGCUCUGCCGCCGCAAGCCUCUGUAGCCACCAAAAACCAAUCGGGGCCCUGUUCCGGCACCCUGCCUGAGGGGGGAUCCCUCACCGGUGGCCAUCUCCAUCAUCCCGGUGCUCUCCACGACGAGGAGGGAGUAGUUCACCCUCGGGGCUGAGGGUAUGUACCAGUAGCUAUGUGUUUGAUCUCCCUCUCUCUCGUGUUCUUGAGGUGAUACGAUCUUGAUGUAUCGCGAGCUUUGCUAUUAUAGUUGGAUCUUAUGAUGUUUCUCCCCUUCUACUCUCUUGUAAUGGAUUGAGUUUUCCCUUUGAAGUUAUCUUAUCGGAUUGAGUCUUUAAGGAUUUGAGAACACUUGAUGUAUGUCUUGCCGUGCUUACCUGUGGUGACAAUGGGAUAUCACGUGAUUCACUUGCACUACAAAAAAAUACACUUCCGUGAUGAUACGUGUUUGUCACAGUAGGUCGCGUUUUUUGUCAUGCAUGUACAUCCAUGACGAUUUUAUGACAGAAUCAAGAUAGUCAUACCUGUGCUGUCGUAGAAGUGUUCAAUGACAUUACCAAAAUUAUCAUCACGGAAGUGUCCACUUCCAUGAUGAUAAAUCGUGCGUCACAGAAGUGCUUUCGUCAAGGGUGACCGACACGUGGCAUCCACCGUAACGGAACGCCGUUAAGCUAUCGGGUCAGGUUUUGGAUCCGAUAACCCGUUAACAGCCCCGACCAAUGGGAAAUUUCCACGUGUAAAAUUCCUAUUGGCCGGACGAAACACGUGUCAGCUCGUUAGUGGGUCAGAUAGUCGCCUAUGAUAUGUCAACAUGUGCCACGGCCCACCACUGGCCCAUUUAGCUUACAAAGCCGGCCCGUUUGACUUGGUCAAAAGAUAACGGGCUGGCCCAUGAAAAGCCUGUUAACGGUCUCUUCGCAAAUAGCCCAUUUUACGGCCCGUUAACUCACGGCCCGUUAGGCCCUAAAGGAAAUUGGCCCAACAACGUCAUGUGGGCCGUCGAAUAUAACACCAGCCCAUUUCACUUUCGGCCCAUGUAUGGCCCACGACGUCUUUCGGCGCAUAUGAGGCCUUCGUAUCUUUCGGCCCUUUACAGGCCCACGGUGACUCUAGCCCAUAAUGAACAGUAAUUUUCCUUAUACCCGUUAACGGCCCGUGAUUUACAUGGGCCGUUUCCAGCCCGUGUUAGCUUUCGGCCUAUUGACGACCCAUACGUUCUUGGGCUCCUUUUCGGCCCUCGAUUACUUCCGCCCCGUUACUGGCCUGUUCCUCUAAUGGGCCAAAUUCGGCCCAUGGCAAGAGUCGGCCCGUUACUGGCCUGUUCCCCUAAUGGGCCAAAUUCGGCCCAUGGCAAGAGUCGGCCCGUAACUGGCCUGUUACCCUAAUGGGCCAAAUUCGGCCCAUGGCAAGAGUUGGCCCGUUUCUGGCCUGUUAACCUGUUGCGCCGUUUCCAGCCCGUCCUAUAUUCUGGCCCAUUAACGACCCAUUAUGCCUGUGACAGAAUUAAGCCUUUGCUAUCCUACGGCCUGUUACCAUGCUGGGCCGAUACCAAUUACGCCCGAUUACGGCCCAUGUAGACCCAUUUAUCCGACGGCCCGAGGCCCACCGAUUACAGGCCCAUUUAUCGAUGGCCCGUAGGAGACCCAUGGAUCCUACAGCCCGUAUAUGGCCCAUGGUAGUCGCGGCCAGUAGCAAACCAGGGAAAAAGAAGACUAGGAAAUAAAUAAGGCCGAAACUAACGCUAGGCUAUUAAGGCGAUUGCACAGAUUACAUCCACUCGGCAUCAAAGAUCGCCACCAGUGCAAACAUAGGGAACACCCUACACUAUACAAAAAUGGCUUGCUGUUUUCUUCAGCCGGUGGCUGCACGUUAAGAAUAAAUUUUGUAUCGCACCAAAACAAAUUACAACUAUGUAAUAAAAGGAAGGUUGGCAUAAAACUUAACAGUCUAGCAGAUAAAUGCACCACCAGAAGUUCAGAAGCUCAGUUCAUUUGACCUGACUGUUAUGUUUUCAUGCUGUAUUGUCCGAUGGAGCACCAUAACCCUCGCCUUCAUUUCCCCAAGGCUCUUGAACAACAUAGCAAAUGUCUGAUAGUCUGGUUUCAAAACCAUGCAUAUCUUGACGACAUUGAGCAAUGUUUCUCCUUGUUUCACAAAGGGUCACUGUUAGGGAAUGGACUUGUGUCUGGAGCGCAGAUACAACAUUGCUUUGAGCUUGCAUAUCUUGAUCAUGAGGCAGUUUGGACGAUAUUGCCUUAACAACCAACCCAGUAUUACGCAGGAACGUGCUUUUGGCACUGUUAGUGGACAGGUACUGGCCCACUGCAGCAAGAGCUGACAUUGCGGUUAUAGUUGCCUCGCCACCUUCAGAAGGUGGCGGUUCCACCAUUUUUUCCAUAGCUCGCUGAAAAAUUGAGGUUUUACAUUAGUAGUACCAGAACAGAAGAUAUUAAGGAGGUAGCAAAACCAAACAAAAUAGCUUUGGUCUAUAUACAGAACUUAUUCUGGUGAACCCAUGUAAAAUAUUAGUUGUAUUUUAUUGCAAAGUACAUAAUAAAACCAGGUUCCAACCAUAUGACCAUGUACCAUCGCUAAUGUAUUGUCUAUUUCUUCACAUUGUAUUGAGGGCUAAGGAUAAAGAGACGAAGUUUAUAAUAUGGUAACCAUAGUAUGACAUCAUUCAUAUCACAAAACAACUGAGAACAGACAAACAGGCAAUUGUAACGUUGUGUGGGCAAGUCCAGCACGGAACUAGAUUACGGGUCAAGAUCAAAGGAACAUCACUCCUCUCUUUUAAACGUUGUAAGGUGCAAUGAUACGCUAAGACAAUUGUGUAUAAAAUUGAAAAGAGUAAUAGACAUUGGCUGCAAACCAUGCAGUUCAAGGCACAAGUCAGAGUAAGUAGUAGUUAAAAGGCAUGAGGAUUAAGGACUUACAACAGCGGCUUUGACUGGUGUAGUGAUGCCCUUCUUCUUGCUGGUGUGACAGUCCUUGAAGAUUUCCACAUCAUUUGGUUCAGGUACUUUUUGGUCCUCGCGGGCUUUCCUCUGCAUUUCGAACAAGUCAAUAUAGAUCUGAUAAUAUGGUACAGCGAAAAGAGUGAAACAGCAGCUAAUUACAAGAGCCUCGCAGUGUGCAAUAUAGCUACGAGAUCCUGUCGUCUGUUGGAAUUUCACUUUCGUACGGUUGGCCUUGUUCUUUGAACAGUUCACCUACAAGAAGAUAGAUUUGUGUGGCACAUGCGUAAAUAGGACUUCAACAUGUGAUCUGAUCACAUAUAUAUAAUGUACCUGAUACUUCGGAUCAGACCAGUGUUUAACAAGGCCCCUCCAGUCUUCAUCCGAUAUAUUUUCCACUGGAGAUGUUUGGGAAAGUUCACUAUUAGCCUUGCCUUCAAAGUGAGUUUUCCUCAAGUUAUACCGAUACUGUCGUAGAGCAGACUUGAAAACAUGGGUGCAAGCUUGUCUGGUUGCAUCAUCUUGGCUAUCCAACUUGAACCUCAUCUGUUGAAAAUUAUGGGAGUCUCAUUAUCAGCAACCUAGAAAGUAUGGGACAGAGCAAGUCGAUAUUACUAGUUUCCAUACAUAACCAUACUUACAGAUAAAUGGUCGUGGAAGGUGUUGAACUGGGUUUCGUCUUUGUCAUUCCUGUACUGAAUCCAUGUUGGGAGGAUACGUACAUGACACCUAACGGCAACCGCUGCCUCUGAUACUAACUUGGCUGACUCUGUAGCAUCACGUGGCCUUUUUAAACCUGCCUCAAAACGGAUCUCCAUUCUUCCUCUAGAUUUAGUUAACCUAUCGAGCAUUAUCCCUGAUGUUUGUUUCCUCUUGCGCCUAGGUGCUAGUCCAACAACGAACAUAGGAAGUGUUAGUGUACAUCAAACUGUGAGACUACAUAUAAAGAAGCAUGCAACUGUAACUUGACUCCAGCAACUACCUUCUUGCUUUUGAAGCUCACAAGGUUCAUCUGAUAUUGCCAACUCGUCUUGUGUCAAGAGUGCUUGGAAGUAGUGUCAGGUGGCAAGGGAGCUUGGGAACGUGCUGCUAGCUCAGUUGACGCACGAGUAAGUCGUGCAGCUGGUAGUACUGUGGUAGGUGUUGCAAGAACUAGGGUUGUCUCUGCUUGUUUGGUGGCAGCUAUUUGUUUCUGUUUGGCUUUUUUUGCAACUCGUGUAGCAUGGGAUGCCAUGUUAUUAUUAUAUUUCUUUUUUCAUGGUAAUUGUCUAUUAUUCAUGCUAUAAUUGUAUUGUCCGGAAAUCGUAAUACAUGUGUGAAUACAUAGACCACAACCUGUCCCUAGUAAGCCUCUAGUUGACUAGCUCGUUGAUCAACAGAUAGUCAUGGUUUCCUGACUAUGGACAUUGGAUGUCAUUGAUAAUGGGAUCACAUCAUUAGGAGAAUGAUGUGAUGGACAAGACCCAAUCCUAAGCAUAGCAUAAAAGAUCGUGUAGUUUCGUUUGCUAGAGCUUUUCCAAUGUCAAGUAUCUUUUCCUUAGACCAUGAGAUCGUGCAACUCCCGGAUACCGUAGGAGUGCUUUGGGUGUGCCAAACGUCACAACGUAACUGGGUGACUAUAAAGGUGCACUACGGGUAUCUCCGAAAGUGUCUGUUGGGUUGGCACGGAUCGAGACUGGGAUUUGUCACUCCGUGUGACGGAGAGGUAUCUCUGGGCCCACUCGGUAAUGCAUCAUCAUAAUGAGCUCAAUGUGACUAAGGCGUUAGUCACGGGAUCAUGCAUUGCGGUACGAGUAAAGAGACUUGCCGGUAACGAGAUUGAACAAGGUAUUGGGAUACCGACGAUCGAAUCUCGGGCAAGUAACAUACCGAUUGACAAAGGGAAUUGCAUACGGAUUGAUUGAAUCCUCGACACCGUGGUUCAUCCGAUGAGAUCAUCGUGGAACAUGUGGGAGCCAACAUGGGUAUCCAGAUCCCGCUGUUGGUUAUUGACCGAAGAGGCGUCUCGGUCAUGUCUGCAUGUCUCCCGAACCCGUAGGGUCUACACACUUAAGGUCCGGUGACGCUAGGGUUGUAGAGAUAUAUGUAUGCGGAAACCCAAAAGUUGUUCGGAGUCCCGGAUGAGAUCCCGGACGUCACGAGAGGUUCCGGAAUGGUCCGGAGGUGAAGAAUUAUAUAUAGGAAGUCAAGUUUCGGCCACCGGGAAAGUUUCGGGGGUUACCGGUAUUGUACCGGGACCACCGGAAGGGUCCCCGGGGUCCACCGGGUGGGGCCACCUAUCCCAGAGGGCCCCGUGGGCUGAAAGUGGAAGGGAACCAGCCCUUAGUGGGCUGGGGCGCCCCCCUGGGCCUUUCCCCAUGCGCCUAGGGUUGGGAACACUAGGGGGGAGCUUCCCCCUUGCCUUGGGGGGCAAGGCACCCCUUCCCCCCCACUUGGCCGCCGCCCCCCUUGGAGAUCUGAUCUCCCAAGGGCUGGCGCCCCCCCACAGGGGUCCUAUAAAUAGUGGGGGGGAGGGAGGGCAGCAAACUACAGCCUUGGGCGCCUCCCUCCUCCCCUGCAACACCUCUCUCUCUCUCGCAGAAGCUUGGCGAAGCCCUGCCGGAGACCCGCUACAUCCACCACCACGCCGUCGUGCUGCUGGAUCUCCAUCAACCUCUCCUUCCCCCUUGCUGGAUCAAGAAGGAGGAGACGUCGCUGCACCGUACGUGUGUUGAACGCGGAGGUGCCGUCCUUUCGGCACUCGGUCAUCGGUGAUUUGGAUCACGGCGAGUACGACUCCGUCAUCCACGUUCAUUGGAACGCUUCCGCUCGCGAUCUACAAGGGUAUGUAGAUGCACUCCUUUCCCCUCGUUGCUAGUAGACUCCAUAGAUGCAUCUUGGUGAGCGUAGGAAAAUUUUAAAUUAUGCUACGAUUCCCAACAGUGGCAUCAUGAGCCAGGUCUAUGUGUAGUUACUAUGCACGAGUAGAACACAAAGCAGUUGUGGGCGUUGAGUUUGCCAAUUCUUCUUGCCGCUACUAGUCUUUUCUUGUUUCGGCGGCAUUGUAGGAUGAAGCGGCCCGGACCGACCUUACACGUACUCUUACGUGAGACAGGUUCCACCGACUAACAUGCACUAGAUGCAUAAGGUGGCUAGCGGGUGUCUGUCUCCCCUACUUUAGUCGGAACGGAUUCGAUGAAAAGGGUCCUUAUGAAGGGUAAAUAGAAAUUGGCAAAUCACGUUGUGGUCAUACGUAGGUAAGAAAACGUUCUUGCUAGAAACCUACAAACCACGUAAAAACUUGCAACAACAAUUAGAGGACGUCUAACUUGUUUUUGCAGCAAGUGCUAUGUGAUGUGAUAUGGCCAGAAGAUGUGAUGAAUGAUAUAUGUGAUGUAUGAAGAUUGAUCAUAUUCUUGUAAUAGGAAUCACGACUUGCAUGUCGAUGAGUAUGACAACCGGCAGGAGCCAUAGGAGUUGUCUUUAUUAUUUUGCAUGACCUGCGUGUCAUUGAAUAACGCCAUGUAAAUUACUUUACUUUGUUGCUAAACGCGUUAGCCAUAGAAGUAGAAGUAAUCGUUGGCGUGACGACUUCAUGAAGACACAAUGAUGGAGAUCAUGAUGAUGGAGAUCAUGGUGUCAUGCCGGUGACAAAGAUGAUCAUGGUGCCCCGAAGAUGGAGAUCAAAGGAGCAUGAUGAUAUUGGCCAUAUCAUGUCACUAUUUGAUUGCAUGUGAUGUUUAUCAUGUUUUUGCAUCUUAUUUGCUUAGAACGACGGUAGCAAGUAGGAUGAUCCCUUAUAAUAAUUUCAAGAAAGUCUUCACCCUAACUGUGCACCGUUGUGAAGGUUCGUUGUUUCGAAGCACCACGUGAUGAUCGGGUGUGAUAGAUUCUAACGUUCGAAUACAACGGGUGUUGACGAGCCUAGCAUGUACAGACAUGGCCUCGGAACACACGCAAUACACUUAGGUUGACUUGACGAGCCUAGCAUGUACAGACAUGGCCUCGGAACACGGAGGACCGAAAGGUCGAGCAUGAGUCGUAUAGAAGAUACGAUCAACAUGGAGAUGUUCACCGAUCUUGACUAGUCCGUCUCACGUGAUGAUUGGACACGGCCUAGUUAAACUCGGAUCAUGUUUCACUUAGAUGACUAGAGGGAUGUCUAUCUGAGUGGGAGUUGAUAAUCAGAUGAACUUCAUUAUCAUGAACAUAGUCAAAUAGGUAUUUGCAAAUUAUGUCAUAGCUUGCGCUUUAGUUCUACUGGUUAAGAUAUGUUCCUAGAGAAAAUUUAGUUGAAAGUUGGUAGUAGCAAUUAUGCGGACUGGGUCCGUAAACUGAGGAUUGUCCUCAUUGCUGCAUACAAGGCUUAUGUCCUUAAUGCACCGCUCGGUGUGCUAAACCUCAGCGUCGUCUGUAGAUGUUACGAAACAUCUGACAUACACGUUUUGAUGACUACGUGAUAGUUCAGUGCGGUUUAGAAUUGUGGCACCAAAGACAUUUUUGAAACGUCGCAGAACAUGUGAGAUGUUCCGAAGACUGAAAUUGGGAUUUCAGACAAGUUCCCACGUCAAGAGGUAUGAGACCUCUGACAAGUUUCUUAAGCCUGCAAACUAAGGGAGAAAAGCUCAAUCGUUGAGCGUGUGCUCAGAUUGUCUGAGUGCCACAAUCGCUUGAAUCGAGUGGGAGUUAAUCUCCCAGAUGAGAUAGUGAUAGUUCUCCAUAGUCACUGCCACCAAGCUAGUAGAGCUUCGUGAUGAACUAUAACAUAUCAAGGAUAAUUAUGAUGAUCCUUGAGCUAUUCACGAUGUUUGACACCGCGAGAGUAGAAAUCAAGAAGGAGCAUCAAUUCUUGAUGGUUAGUAAAACCACUAGUUUAAGAAGGGCAAGGGCAAAAGGGAUACUUCGUGAAACAGCAAGUCGUUUGCUGCUCUAGUGAAGAAUCCCAAGGUUGAACCCAAACCCGAGACUAAGUGCUUCUGUAAUGAGGGAACGGUCACUGAAGCAGUACUACCCUAGAUACUUGGUAGAUGAGAAGGCAGGCAAGGUCGACAGAACUAUAUUGGAUAUACGUUAUAUGAAUGUGUACUAGUACUCCUAGCAGCACCAGGGUAUUAGAUACUGGUUCGGUUGCAAAGUGUUAGUAACUCGAAAUAAAAGCUGCGGAAUAAAUGGAGACUAGCUAAAGGUGAGAUGACGAUAUGUGUUGGAAGUGUUUCCAAGGUUGAUGUGAUCAAGCAUCGCAUGCUCCCUAUACCAUCGAGAUUUGGUGUUUGCGUUGAACAUGAUUGGAUUAUGUUUACCGCAAAAUGGUUAUUCAUUUAAGGAGAAUAAUGGUUACUCUGUUUAUUUGAAUAAUACCUUCAAUGGUCUUGCACCUAAAAUGAAUCUUGAUCGUAGUGAUACACAUGUUCAUGCCAAAAAGAUAUAAGAUAGUAAUGAUAGUACCACAUACUUGUGGCACUGCCACUUGAGUCAUAUUGGUGUAGAACGCAUGAAGAAGCUCCAUGUAGGUGGAUCUUUGGACUCACUCAUUUUUGAAAAGAUUGAGACAUGCGAACCAUGUCUAUUGGUAUAUAUGCAUGAAGAAACUCCAUACAGAUGGAUCAUUUGGACUCACUUGAUUAUGAAUCACUUGAGACAUGCAAAUCAUACCACAUGGGCAAAAUGACUGAAAGUCCUCGUUUUCAGUGAGAUGGAACAAGAGAGCAACUUAUUGGCAGUAAUACAUUUUGAUGUACGCAGUCCAAUGAGUGCUGAGGCAUGCAGUGGAUAUCGUUAUGUUCUUACUUCAUAGAUGAUUUGAGUAGAUGCUGAGUGUAUUUACUUGAUGAAACACUAGUCUGAAUUAUUGAAAGGUUCAAGUAAUUUCAGAGUGAAGUUGAAGAUCGUCGUGACAAGAGGAUAAAAUUUCUGUGAUAUGAUCAUAGAGAUGAGUAUCUGAGAUACGAGUUUGGCACACAAUUGAGACAUUGUGGAAGAUGUUUCACAAUUAAUACCGCCUGGAACACCAUAGUGUGAUGGUGUGUCCGAACAUCAUAACUGCACCCUAUUGGAUAUGGUGCAUAUCAUGAUGUUUCUUAUCAAAUUACCACUAUCGUUUAUGGGUUAGGCAUUAGAGACAACCGCAUUCACUUUAAAAGGGGCACCACGCAAUUCCGUUGAGACGACACCGUUUAUAGAAACCUAAGUUGUCGUUUCUUAAAAGUUUGGGGCUGCGAUGCUUAUGUGAAAAAGUUUCAGGCUGAUAAGCUCGAACCCAAAGCGGAUAAAUGCAUCUUCAUAGAAUACCCAAAACAGUUGGGUAUACCUCCUAUUUCAGAUCUAGAAGCAAAAGCAAUUGCUUCUAGAAACGAGUCCUUUCUCGAGGAAAAGUUUCUCUCGAAAGAAUUGAGUCGGAGGAUGGUGGUGACUUGAUAAGGUUAUUGAACCGACGCUUCAACUAGUAUGUAGCAGGGCACAGGAAGUUGUUCCUGUGGCACCUACACCUAUUGAAGUGGAAGCUUAUGAUAGUGAUCAUGAAACUUCGAAUCAAGUCACUACCAAACCUCGUAGGACGACGAGGAUGCGCACUACUUCAGAGUAAUGCGUGAUCCUGUCUUGGAAGUCAUGUUGCUAUUCAACAAUGAACCUACGAGCUGUGGAGAAGCGAUGGUGGGCCAAUAUUCCGACGAAUGGCUCGAGGCCAUGAAAUCCGAGAUAGAAUCCAUGUAUCAGAACAAAGCAUGGACUUUGGUGAACUUGCCCGAUGAUUGGCAAGCCAUUGAGAUAAAUGGAUCUUUAAGAAGAAGACGGACAUGGACGGUAAUGUUACCAUCUAUGAAGCUCGACUUGUGGCAAAGAGUAUUUUCACAAGUUCAAGGAGUUGACUACGAUGAGUUUUUCUCAUCUGUAGCGAUGCUUAGGUCCGUCGGAAUCAUGUUAGCAUUAGCUACAUUUAUGAAAUCUGGCAGAUGGAUGUCAAAACAAGUUUCCUUACCAGUUUUCGUAAGGAAAGGUUGUAUGUGAUACAAUCAGAAAGGUUUUGUCGAUCCUGAGGAUGCUAAAAGGUAUGCUAGCUCCAGCGAUCCUUCCAUGGAUUAGAGCAAGCAUCUCGGAGUCAGAAUAUACGCUUUGAUGGAGUGAUCAAAGUUUUUGGGUUUAUACAAAGUUUGUUAGAAACUUGUAUUUACAACAAAGUGAGUGGGAGCGCUACAACAUUUCUGAUAAGUAUAUGUGAAUGACAUAUUGUUGAUCCGAAAUGAUGUAAAAUUUCUGGAAAGCAUAAAGGGUUGUUUGAAAGGAGUUUUUCAAAGGAAGACGUGGAUAAAGCUGCUUACAUAUUGGGCAUCAAGAUCCAUAGAGAUAGAUCAAGACGCCUGAUGAUACUUUCAAAAGACAGCACACCUUGACAUGAUUUUGAAAGAGUUCAAAAUAGAUCAGCAAAGAAGGAGUUCUUGGCUGUGUUACAAGGUGUGAGUAUUGAGUGAGACUCAAGACCUGACCACAGCAGAAGAUAGAGAAAGGACGAAGGUCGUCCCCUAUGCUUUAGACGUAGGCUCUAUAGUAUGCUAUGCUGUGUACCGCACAUGUAGUUUGCCUUGCCAUGAGUUGGUCAAGAGGGUACAAUGGUGAUCCGGGAAAGGAUCUCAUGACAGCGGUCGAACUUAUCCUUAGUACCUAGUGGAUUAAGGAAUUUUCUCGAUUAUGGAGGUGGAAAGGAGUUCGUCGUAAAGGGUUACGUCGAUGCGAACUUUGACACUAAUCCGGAUGACUCUGAGUAGUAAACCGGAUUCGUAUAGUAGAGCAAUUAUUUGAAAUGGCUCCAAAUAGCGCGUGGUAGCAUCCACAAGAUGACAUAGAUAUUCGUAAAGCACACGGUUCUGAAAGGUUCAGACCCGUUGACUAAUAACCUCUCUCACAAGCAUAACAUGACCAAACCAGAACACAUUGAGUGAUAAUCACAUAGUGAUGUGAACUAGAUUGUUGACUCUAGUAAACUCUUUAGAUGUUGGUCACAUGGUGAUGUGACCAGUGAGUGUUAAUCACAUGGUGAUGUGAACUAGAUUAUUGACUCUAGUGCAAGUGGGAGACUGUUGGAAAUAUGCCCUAGAGGCAAUAAUAAAUGGUUAUUAUUAUAUUUCUUUGUUCAUGUAAUAUUUCUAUUAUUCAUGCUAUAAUUGUAUUGUCCAGAAAUCGUAAUACAUGUGUGAAUACAUAGACCACAACCUGUCCCUAGUAAGCCUCUAGUUGACUAGCUCGUUGAUCAACAGAUAGUCAUGGUUUCCUGACUAUGGACAUUGGAUGUCAUUGAUAACGGGAUCACAUCAUUAGGAGAAUGAUGUGAUGGACAAGACCCAAUCCUAAGCAUAGCAUAAAAGAUCGUGUAGUUUCGUUUGCUAGAGCUUUUCCAAUGUCAAGUAUCUUUUCCUUAGACCAUGAGAUCGUGCAACUCCCGGAUACCGUAGGAGUGCUUUGGGUGUGCCAAACGUCACAACGUAACUGGGUGACUAUAAAGGUGCACUACGGGUAUCUCCGAAAGUGUCUGUUGGGUUGGCACGGAUCGAGACUGGGAUUUGUCACUCCGUGUGACGGAGAGGUAUCUCUGGGCCCACUCGGUAAUGCAUCAUCAUAAUGAGCUCAAUAUGACUAAGGCGUUAGUCACGGGAUCAUGCAUUGCGGUACGAGUAAAGAGACUUGCCGGUAACGAGAUUGAACAAGGUAUUGGGAUACCGACGAUCGAAUCUCGGGCAAGUAACAUACCGAUUGACAAAGGGAAUUGCAUACGGAUUGAUUGAAUCCUCGACACCGUGGUUCAUCCGAUGAGAUCAUCGUGGAACAUGUGGGAGCCAACAUGGGUAUCCAGAUCCCGCUGUUGGUUAUUGACCGGAGAGGCGUCUCGGUCAUGUCUGCAUGUCUCCCGAACCCGUAGGGUCUACACACUUAAGGUCCGGUGACGCUAGGGUUGUAGAGAUAUAUGUAUGCGGAAACCCGAAAGUUGUUCGGAGUCCCGGAUGAGAUCCCGGACAUCACGAGAGGUUCCGGAAUGGUCCGGAGGUGAAGAAUUAUAUAUAGGAAGUCAAGUUUCGGCCACCGGGAAAGUUUCGGGGGUUACCGGUAUUGUACCGGGACCACCGGAAGGGUCCCCGGGGUCCACCGGGUGGGGCCACCUAUCCCGGAGGGCCCCGUGGGCUGAAAGUGGAAGGGAACCAGCCCUUAGUGGGCUGGGGCGCCCCCCUUGGGCCUUUCCCCAUGCGCCUAGGGUUGGGAACACUAGGGGGAGCUUCCCCCUUGCCUUGGGGGGCAAGGCACCCCUUCCCCCCCCACUUGGCCGCCGCCCCCCUUGGAGAUCUGAUCUCCCAAGGGCUGGCGCCCCCCCCCCAGGGGUCCUAUAAAUAGUGGGGGGGAGGGAGGGCAGCAAACUACAGCCUUGGGCGCCUCCCUCCUCCCCUGCAACACCUCUCUCUCUCUCGCAGAAGCUUGGCGAAGCCCUGCCGGAGACCCGCUACAUCCACCACCACGCCGUCGUGCUGCUGGAUCUCCAUCAACCUCUCCUUCCCCCUUGCUGGAUCAAGAAGGAGGAGACGUCGCUGCACCGUACGUGUGUUGAACACGGAGGUGCCGUCCGUUCGGCACUCGGUCAUCGGUGAUUUGGAUCACGGCGAGUACGACUCCGUCAUCCACGUUCAUUGGAACGCUUCCGCUCGCGAUCUACAAGGGUAUGUAGAUGCACUCCUUUCCCCUCGUUGCUAGUAGACUCCAUAGAUGCAUCUUGGUGAGCGUAGGAAAAUUUUAAAUUAUGCUACGAUUCCCAACACGGAGAAGGGUAUCAACUGGGUUGUGCGGGACCCAUGGCCCGUCUAGCCCAGGCUUUUAUUUCAUAUGUUUAGCACAUGACCAGCCCAGUUUGUUUUUUUCCUUUCUGAAAAUGGCUAGCCAGCUAUUUUGUUUUUUGCAGAAUAAACAACGUAGGCCUACUUGCUUUUCUACGCCCUGCUGGGCCGGAAAUCUUUCAAGACGAGGAGGGAUGCAUUUUGCCCAGAAAAUGGGCUAUAAGUAAUAAGAAAUGGGCUAUAAGUAAUAAUAAAUGGGCUGUAAAAUGAAAAAAUACAGCAAACAGGCAAUUAGUUCCAAAAUAUUGUUUUCUUUCGGAUUUUGAUAUUUUAAAUUUCAUUGUUUUUGUGCGGGUAAAAUUUCUUUUAAUUUAAGUUAAGGUAUAUUUAGAUUUAAAAUUAAUUUGAAUCUGGCUAGAAACUUCGGGCUGUAUGCUGUUUGGGACAGAUUUGGAGGCUGACUUGUCGGUCUACUAGGUUGACGUGUACUUUGGCUUUGUCAACUUAGUCCACAAACGAUUCUAGCAGCAGUGACCGUUGGAUGUUAAUCCAACGGCCGUGCUGCUUCUUCAAUAUCUGAUCUUCUUGCUCCAGCCGCCCAAACCAGCUCCGGUGGGACUGCCUGCUCCCGUCUCCCGUGGCCAGCUGUGCUGCCGCACAGGUCGCACCGCCCCACCCUACUUCAUUGCUGGCCAGGCCAUUCCUCUACUCACCCACACCUCCUGUUAUUUUCCGGCGAUGGCAGCCAGACCAGUAAACCCUCGUACUCCCCACCGCGUGGGCAACCAUUGCUGAGUCUUCCCCGGCUCCGUGUCGUUCCCUUCCUAGGCCUCGCCGUCGUCCACCGCCAUGGUGCUCUCGGCGCGGCCUGGUCAACAUGGUCAACGAACGACAUCCAUCGGUCGUGGACUGUACGCGCAAAAUAAUGAUUCCUCCACCUGACAGCUGGGACCCACCGGAAGGGCCUCUGUAUUUCGUGAAAUAAACAUUCCCCCCCCCGCUGACAUGUCGGACCCACCAGCGAUAUCUUCGCACGCAAGGAAGUGCCUCCUUAUUACACACACAAAAAUGAAUACCCCCCUGCUAGCUGGGACCCACCAUAGUGGGAGGAUGACUUUUGGGCCAACUAAGUUGACGGGGACGGAGGACUAUGUCAACUUAGUCAAUAUGAACGAUUCUAGCUCCAGUGACCGUACGAUGUCCAUCCAACGGCCAUAGUGCUUCUUCAACCUCUGGUCUUCUUGCUCCAGCCGCCCAAAGCAGCGCCGGUCGUGCCGCAUGCUCCUGCCUCCCGUGGCCAACUGUGCUGCCACGGAGGCCUCAUCGCCCCCUACUAUUCCCACCGCUAGCCAGGCCCUGCGGCGACGGCAGCCUCACACCGCAGCCGAACCAGUGAACCCUCGUACUCCUCUCCGCGCGGGCUUCCACUGUCGCGUCUUCCCCAGCUCCGCGUCGUCCCCUUCCUAGGCCUCGCCGUCGUCCACCGCCGUGGUGCUCUCGGCGCGGCCUGGUCAACGUGGUCAAGGAACGACUUCCAUCGGACGUGGACUGUACGUGGAGAGGCUGACAGCUGGGUCCACGGCCGCAUCAAGGAAGUGCCUCCUUAUUACGCGAAAAAUAAUGAUUCCUCCACCUGAUAGCUGGGACCCACCGGACGGGCCACUGUAUUUCACGGAAAAAAACGUUUCCCCCUGACUGCUGGGACCCACCAGCUUCAUCUUCGCACGCAAGGAAGUGCGUCCGGGCAAAAGGAACGAUUCGCCCCCUGACUGCGGGGACCCACCAGCUACACCUUCGCACGCAAGGAAGUGCGUCCGAGCAAAAAAACGAUUCGCCCCCCUGACUGCUGGGACCCACCGGCUACAUCUUCGCACACAAGGAAGUGCGUCCGAGCAAAAAAAACGAUUCGCCCCCCUGACUGCUGGGACCCACCAUCUACAUCUUCGCAGGCAAGGAAGUGCCUGACAAUCGGGACCCACCUGGUCGAAGCGUACGUAGCGUUGUCAUUCUGGUCGCGAACGUGUAUGUACAUACUGGUCGAUGUAGAGACGCGGACGUGUCGUAGUAGAGGCGCUCACGUGUCGUAAUAGAGGCGCGCACGUAGCAUGUACACGUACGUACAGCGGCCAGGGUGCAAGAAAGAAAAUACGGCCACAUAUGUGUACAUACGGGCGGGGUCUCGAACGCCUACUCGCGCAUACGUACGGCCAGGGCUCGUGUACAUGGCUGGGUCGGAAAGGAGAAACAGCGUCGUCGUCGUGUUCAUGGUGAGGCAACGGAAUGCGUCGUGUUUAUGGGGAGGCAACGGAAUGCGUCGUGUUCAUGGGGAGGCAACGGAAUGCGUCGUGUUCAUCGGGAGGCAACGGAACGCGUGGGAGCCAACCGGCUGGGUCGGAACGGAAUGCGUGGUAAUGUUCAUCGGGAGGGCUUGGACGGAACAGGCGAUGGAAACGAGGCCUGGCGUACCACAAAACGGAGGAAACGGACCUCCUAUGUUCGGAACGGGGUCCUGUUGAUCGGGAGGGGUGUGGCGUAUCGCAAAACGGAGGAAACUGACCUCCUACGGUCGAAACGGGGGUCCUGUUGAUCGAGAGGGGUGUGACGUACCGCAAAACGGACGAAACGGACCUCCUACGGUCGAAACGGGAGUCAUGUUGAUCGGGAGGGGUGUGGCGUACCGCAAAACGGACCUCCUACGGUCGAAACGGGGGUCCUGUUGAUCGGNNNNNNNNNNNNNNNNNNNNNNNNNNNNNNNNNNNNNNNNNNNNNNNNNNNNNNNNNNNNNNNNNNNNNNNNNNNNNNNNNNNNNNNNNNNNNNNNNNNNNNNNNNNNNNNNNNNNNNNNNNNNNNNNNNNNNNNNNNNNNNNNNNNNNNNNNNNNNNNNNNNNNNNNNNNNNNNNNNNNNNNNNNNNNNNNNNNNNNNNNNNNNNNNNNNNNNNNNNNNNNNNNNNNNNNNNNNNNNNNNNNNNNNNNNNNNNNNNNNNNNNNNNNNNNNNNNNNNNNNNNNNNNNNNNNNNNNNNNNNNNNNNNNNNNNNNNNNNNNNNNNNNNNNNNNNNNNNNNNNNNNNNNNNNNNNNNNNNNNNNNNNNNNNNNNNNNNNNNNNNNNNNNNNNNNNNNNNNNNNNNNNNNNNNNNNNNNNNNNNNNNNNNNNNNNNNNNNNNNNNNNNNNNNNNNNNNNNNNNNNNNNNNNNNNNNNNNNNNNNNNNNNNNNNNNNNNNNNNNNNNNNNNNNNNNNNNNNNNNNNNNNNNNNNNNNNNNNNNNNNNNNNNNNNNNNNNNNNNNNNNNNNNNNNNNNNNNNNNNNNNNNNNNNNNNNNNNNNNNNNNNNNNNNNNNNNNNNNNNNNNNNNNNNNNNNNNNNNNNNNNNNNNNNNNNNNNNNNNNNNNNNNNNNNNNNNNNNNNNNNNNNNNNNNNNNNNNNNNNNNNNNNNNNNNNNNNNNNNNNNNNNNNNNNNNNNNNNNNNNNNNNNNNNNNNNNNNNNNNNNNNNNNNNNNNNNNNNNNNNNNNNNNNNNNNNNNNNNNNNNNNNNNNNNNNNNNNNNNNNNNNNNNNNNNNNNNNNNNNNNNNNNNNNNNNNNNNNNNNNNNNNNNNNNNNNNNNNNNNNNNNNNNNNNNNNNNNNNNNNNNNNNNNNNNNNNNNNNNNNNNNNNNNNNNNNNNNNNNNNNNNNNNNNNNNNNNNNNNNNNNNNNNNNNNNNNNNNNNUGGGUUGGCACGAAUCGAGACUGGGAUUUGUCACUCCGUGUAAACGGAGAGGUAUCUCUGGGCCCACUCGGUAGGACAUCAUCAUUAUGUGCACAAUGUGACCAAGGAGUUGAUCACGGGAUGAUGUGAGUUACGGAACGAGUAAAGAGACUUGCCGGUAACGAGAUUGAACAAGGUAUAGGGAUACCGACGAUCGAAUCUCGGGCAAGUAACAUACCGAUGGACAAAGGGAAUUGAAUACGGGAUUGAUUGAAUCCCCGACGUCGUGGUUCAUCCGAUGAGAUCAUCGUGGAACAUGCGGGAGCCAACAUGGGUAUCCAGAUCCCGCUGUUGGUUAUUGACCGGAGAACGUCUCGGUCAUGUCUGCAUGGUUCCCGAACCCGUAGGGUCUACACGCUUAAGGUUCGAUGACGCUAGGGUUAUAGGGAAAACAUGUACGUGGUUACCGAAUGUUGUUCGGAGUCCCGGAUGAGAUCCCGGACGUCACGAGGAGUUCCGGAAUGGUCCGGAGGUAAAGAUUUAUAUAUGGGAAGUCCUGUUUUGGUCACCGGAAAAGUUUCGGGUGAAAUCGGUAAUGUACCGGGACCACCGGGAGGGUCCCGGGGGUCCACCAAGUGGGGCCACCAGCCCCAGAAGGCUGCGUGGGCGAAGUGUGGGAGGGGACCAGCCCCAGGUGGGCUGGUGCGCCCCCCCACCAAGGCCCAAGGCGCAUGGGAGAGUGGGAGGGGGCAAACCCUAGGUCCAGAUGGGCCUUAGGGCCCAUCUAGUGGGGCGCCUCCCCCUCUCCUCCCCUUGGCCGCCCCCCUUGAUGGGAUCUAGGGCUGGCCGCCUCCUCUUGGGGGUGGAAACCCUAAGGGGGGGCGCAGCCCCCUUCCCCCCUAUAUAUACUUGAGGUUUGGGCUGCCAUACACACACGAGAAAGUCUCCUUUUGGUGCAGCCCUACCCCUCUCCCUCCUCCUCCUCUCCCGCGGUGCUUGGCGAAGCCCUGCGGGAUUGCCACGCUCCUCCAUCACCACCAUGCCGUCGUGUUGCUGCUGGAUGGAGUCUUCCCCAACCUCUCCCUCUCUCCUUGCUGGAUCAAGGCGUGGGAGACGUCACNNNNNNNNNNNNNNNNNNNNNNNNNNNNNNNNNNNNNNNNNNNNNNNNNNNNNNNNNNNNNNNNNNNNNNNNNNNNNNNNNNNNNNNNNNNNNNNNNNNNNNNNNNNNNNNAUCACGACUUGCAUGUCGAUGAGUAUGACAACCGGCAGGAGCCAUAGGAGUUGUCUUUAUUUUUUGUAUGACCUGCGUGUCAUUGAAUAACGCCAUGUAAAUUACUUUACUUUAUUGCUAAGCGCGUUAGCCAUAGAAGUAGAAGUAAUCGUUGGCGUGACGACUUCAUGAAGACACAAUGAUGGAGAUCAUGAUGAUGGAGAUCAUGGUGUCAUGCCGGUGACAAAGAUGAUCAUGGUGCCCCGAAGAUGGAGAUCAAAGGAGCAUGAUGAUAUUGGCCAUAUCAUGUCACUAUUUGAUUGCAUAUGAUGUUUAUCAUGUUUUGCAUCUUAUUUGCUUAGAACGACGGUAGCAAGUAGGAUGAUCCCUUAUAAUAAUUUCAAGAAAGUGUUCACCCUAACUGUGCACCGUUGCGAAGGUUCGUCGUUUCGAAGCACCACGUGAUGAUCGGGUGUGAUAGAUUCUUACGUUCAAAUACAACGGGUGUUGACGAGCCUAGCAUGUACAGACAUGGCCUCGGAACACACGCAAUACACUUAGGUUGACUUGAUGAGCCUAGCAUGUACAGACAUGGCCUCGGAACACGGAGGACCGAAAGGUCGAGCAUGAGUCGUAUAGAAGAUACGAUCAACACGGAGAUGUUCACCGAUCUUGACUAGUCCGUCUCACGUGAUGAUCGGACACGGCCUAGUUAAACUCGGAUCAUGUUUCACUUAGAUGACUAGAGGGAUGUCUAUCUGAGUGGGAGUUCAUUAAUCAGACGAACUUCAUUAUCAUGAACAUAGUCAAAAGGUCUUUGCGAAUUAUGUCUUGCGCUUUAAGUUCUAUUGGUUUAGAUAUGUUCCUAGAGAAAAUUUAGUUGAAAGUUGGUAGUAGCAAUUAUGCGGACUGGGUCCGUAAACUGAGGAUUGUCCUCAUUGCUGCACAGAAGGCUUAUGUCCUUAAUGCACCGCUCGGUGUGCUGAACCUCAGCGUCGUUUGUAGAUGUUACGAAACAUCUGACAUACACGUCUUGAUGACUACGUGAUAGUUCAAUGCGUAAUGCUAACGGUUUAGAAUUGUGGCACAAGAGGCGUUUUUUGAAACAUCGCAGAACAUAUGAGAUGUUCCGAAGACUGAAAUUGGGAUUUCAGACUAGUGCCCAUGUCAAAAGGUAUGAGACCUCUGACAAGUUUCUUAAGCCUGCAAACUAAGGGAGAAAAGCUCAAUCGUUGAGCGUGUGCUCAGAUUGUCUGAGUGCCACAAUCACUUGAAUCGAGUGGGAGUUAAUCUCCCAGAUGAGAUAGUGAUAGUUCUCCAUAGUCACUGCCACUAAGCUAGUAGAGCUUCGUAAUGAACUAUAACAUAUCAAGGAUAGUUAUGAUGAUCCUUGAGCUAUUCGCGAUGUCUGACACCGCGAGAGUAGAAAUCAAGAAGGAGCAUCAAUUGUUGAUGGUUAGUAAUACCACUAGUUUAAGAAGGGCAAGGGCAAAAGGGAUACUUCAUGAAACAACAAGUCGUUUGCUGCUCUAGUGAAGAAUCCCAAGGAUGAACCCAAACCCGAGACUAAGUGCUUCUGUAAUGAGAGGAACGGUCACUGCAGCAGUACUACCCUAGAUACUUGGUAGAUGAGAAGGCAGGCAAGGUCGACAGAAGUAUAUUGGAUAUACAUUGUAUGAAUGUGUACUUUACCAGUACUCCUAGCAGCACCAGGGUAUUAGAUACCGGUUCGGUUGCUAAGUGUUAGUAACUCGAAAUAAAAGCUGCGGAAUAAAUGGAGACUAGCUAAAGGUGAGAUGACGAUAUGUAUUGGAAGUGUUUCCAAGGUUGAUGUGAUCAAGCAUCGCAUGCUCCCUCUACUAUCAAGAUUUGGUGUUUGCGUUGAGCAUGAUUGGAUUAUGUUUAUCGCAAUACGGUUAUUCAUUUAAGGAGAAUAAUGGUUACUCUGUUUAUUUGAAUAAUACCUUCAAUGGUCUUGCACCUAAAAUGAAUCUCGAUCGUAGUGAUACACAUGUUCGUGCCAAAAGAUAUAAAAUAGUAAUGAUAGUUCCACAUACUUGUGGCACUGCCAUUUGAGUCAUAUUGGUAUAGAACGCAUGAAGAAGCUCCAUGUGGAUGGAUCUUUGGACUCACUCAUUUUUGAAAAGAUUGAGACAUGCGAACCAUGUCUAUUGGUAUAUAUGCAUGAAGAAACUCCAUACAGAUGGAUCGUUUAGACUCACUUGAUUAUGAAUCACUUGAGACAUGCAAAUCAUACCACAUGGGCAAGAUGACUGAAAGUCCUCGUUUUCAAUAAGAUGGAACAAAAGAGCAACUUAUUGGAAGUAAUACAUUUUGAUGUAUGCAGUCCAAUGAGUUCUGAGGCAUGCAGUGGAUAUCAUUAUGUUCUUACUUCACAGAUAAUUUGAGUAGAUGCUGAGAAUAUUUACUUAAUGAAACACAAGUCUGAAUUAUUGAAAGGUUCAAGUAAUUUCAGAGUGAAGUCGAAGAUUGUCGUGACAAGAGGAUAAAAUGUCUAUGAUAUGAUCAUAGAGAUAUCUGAGUUACGAGUUUGGCACACAAUUAAGACAUUGUGGAAAGUGUUUCACAAUUAAUACCGCCUGGAACACCAUAGUGUGAUGGUGUGUCCGAACAUCAUAACUGCACCCUAUUGGAUAUGGUGCAUACCAUGAUGUUUCUUAUCAAAUUACCACUAUCGUUUAUGGGUUAGGCAUUAGAGACAACCGCAUUCACUUUAAAAGGGGCACCACGCAAUUCCGUUGAGACGACACCGUUUAGAGAAACCUAAGUUGUCGUUUCUUAAAAGUUUGGGGCUGCGCAGCUUAUGUGAAAAAGUUUCAAGCUGAUAAGCUCAAACCCAAAGCGGAUAAAUGCAUCUUCAUAGAAUACCCAAAACAGUUGGGUAUACCUCCUAUUUCAGAUCUGGAAGCAAAAGUAACUGCUUCUAGAAAUGAGUCCUUUCUUGAGGAAAAGUUUCUCUCGAAAGAAUUGAGUGGGAGGAUGGUGGAGACUUGAUAAGGUUAUAGAACCGUCACUUCAACUAGUGUGUAGCAGGGCACAGGAAGUUGUUCCUGUGGCACCUACACCAAUUGAAGUGGAAGCUUAUGAUGGUGAUCAUGAAACUUCGGAUCAAGUCACUACCAAACCUCGUAGGACGACGAGGAUGCGUGCUACUUCAGAGUGGUACGUGAUCCUGUCUGAGAUAUCAUGUUGUUGGACAAAACUGAACCUACGAGCUAUGGAGAAGCGAUGGUGGGCCCAUAUUCCGACAAAUGGUUAAGAGCCAUGAAAUCCGAGAUAAAUGGAUCUUUGAGAAGAAGACGGACGUGGACGGUAAUGUUACCGUCUAUGAAGCUCGACUUGUGGCAAAGAGUAUUUCCACAAGUUCAAGGAGUUGACUACGAUGAGAUUUUCUCAUCCGUAGCAGUGCUUAAGUCUGUCGGAAUCAUGUUAGCAUUAUCUGCAUUUGUGAAAUCUAGCAGAUGGAUGUCAAAACAAGUUUCCUUACCAGUUUUCGUAAGGAAAGGUUGUAUGUGAUACAAUCAGAAAGUUUUUGUCGAUCCUAAGGAUGCUAAAAGGUAUGCUAGCUCCAGUGAUCCUUCCAUGGAUUAGAGCAAGCAUCUCGGAGUCAGAAUAUACACUUUGAUGGAGUGAUCAAAGUUUUUGGGUUUAUACAAAGUUUGUUAGAAACUUGUAUUUACAAUAAAGUGAGUGGGAGCGCUACAACAUUUCUGAUAAGUAUAUGUGAAUGACAUAUUGUUGAUCCGAAAUGAUGUAAAAUUUCUGGAAAGCAUAAAGGGUUGUUUGAAAGGAGUUUUUCAAAGGAAGACCUGGAUAAAGCUGCUUACACAUUGGGCAUCAAGAUCUAUAGAGAUAGAUCAAGACGCUUGAUGAUACUUUCAAAGAACGCACACCUUGACAUGAUUUUGAAAGAGUUCAAAUAGAUCAGCAAAGAAGGAGUUCUUGGCUGUGUUACAAGGUGUGAGUAUUGAGUGAGACUCAAGACCUGACCACAGCAGAAGAGAGAGAAAGGACGAAGGUCGUCCCCUAUGCUUUAGACGUAGGCUCUACAGUAUGCUAUGCUGUGUACCACACAUGAAGUGUGCCUUGCCAUGACUUGGUCAAGGGGUACAAUAGUGAUCCGGGAAUGGAUCACAUGACAGCGGUCGAACAUAUCCUUAGUACCUAGUGGACUAAGGAAUUUUCUCGAUUAUGGAGGUGGAAAGGAGUUCGUCGUAAAGGGUUACGUCGAUGCGAACUUUGACACUAAUCCGGAUGACUCUGAGUAGUAAACCGGAUUCGUAUAGUAGAGCAAUUAUUUGAAAUGGCUCCAAAUAACGCGUGGUAGCAUCCACAAAGAUGACAUAGAUAUUCGUAAAGCACACACGAAUCUGAAAGGUUCAGACCCGUUGACUAAUAACCUCUCUCACAAGCAUAACAUGAUCAAACCAGAACUCAUUGAGUGUUAAUCACAUAGAGAUGUGAACUAGAUUGUUGACUCUAGUAAACUCUUGGGUGUUGGUCACAUGGUGAUGUGACCUGUCAGUGUUAAUCACAUGGUGAUGUGAACUAGAUUAUUGACUCUAGUGCAAGUGGGAGACUGUUGGAAAUAUGCCCUAGAGGCAAUAAUAAAUAGGUUAUUAUUAUAUUUCCUUGUUCAUGAUAAUCGUUUAUUAUCCAUGCUAGAAUUGUAUUGAUAGGAAACUCAGAUACAUGUGUGGAUACAUAGACAACACCAUGUCCCUAGUAAGCCUCUAGGAGACUAGCUCGUUGAUCAAUAGAUGGUUACGGUUUCCUGACCAUGGACAUUGGAUGUCGUUGAUAACGGGAUCACAUCAUUAGGAGAAUGAUGUGAUGGACAAGACCCAAUCCUAAGCCUAGCACAAGAUCGUGUAGUUCGUUUUCUCAGAGCUUUUCUAAUGUCAAGUAUCACUUCCUUAGACCAUGAGAUUGUGCAACUCCCGGAUACCGUAGGAAUGCUUUGGGUGUGCCAAACGUCACAACGUAACUGGGUGGCUAUAAAGGUGCACUACGGGUAUCUCCGAAAGUGUCUGUUGGGUUGGCACGAAUCGAGACUGGGAUUUGUCACUCCGUGUAAACGGAGAGGUAUCUCUGGGCCCACUCGGUAGGACAUCAUCAUUAUGUGCACAAUGUGACCAAGGAGUUGAUCACGGGAUGAUGUGAGUUACGGAACGAGUAAAGAGACUUGCCGGUAACGAGAUUGAACAAGGUAUAGGGAUACCGACGAUCGAAUCUCGGGCAAGUAACAUACCGAUGGACAAAGGGAAUUGAAUACGGGAUUGAUUGAAUCCCCGACGUCGUGGUUCAUCCGAUGAGAUCAUCGUGGAACAUGCGGGAGCCAACAUGGGUAUCCAGAUCCCGCUGUUGGUUAUUGACCGGAGAACGUCUCGGUCAUGUCUGCAUGGUUCCCGAACCCGUAGGGUCUACACGCUUAAGGUUCGAUGACGCUAGGGUUAUAGGGAAAACAUGUACGUGGUUACCGAAUGUUGUUCGGAGUCCCGGAUGAGAUCCCGGACGUCACGAGGAGUUCCGGAAUGGUCCGGAGGUAAAGAUUUAUAUAUGGGAAGUCCUGUUUUGGUCACCGGAAAAGUUUCGGGUGAAAUCGGUAAUGUACCGGGACCACCGGGAGGGUCCCGGGGGUCCACCAAGUGGGGCCACCAGCCCCAGAAGGCUGCGUGGGCGAAGUGUGGGAGGGGACCAGCCCCAGGUGGGCUGGUGCGCCCCCCCACCAAGGCCCAAGGCGCAUGGGAGAGUGGGAGGGGGCAAACCCUAGGUCCAGAUGGGCCUUAGGGCCCAUCUAGUGGGGCGCCUCCCCCUCUCCUCCCCUUGGCCGCCCCCCUUGAUGGGAUCUAGGGCUGGCCGCCUCCUCUUGGGGGUGGAAACCCUAAGGGGGGGCGCAGCCCCCUUCCCCCCUAUAUAUACUUGAGGUUUGGGCUGCCAUACACACACGAGAAAGUCUCCUUUUGGUGCAGCCCUACCCCUCUCCCUCCUCCUCCUCUCCCGCGGUGCUUGGCGAAGCCCUGCGGGAUUGCCACGCUCCUCCAUCACCACCAUGCCGUCGUGUUGCUGCUGGAUGGAGUCUUCCCCAACCUCUCCCUCUCUCCUUGCUGGAUCAAGGCGUGGGAGACGUCACAGGGCUGCACGUGUGUUGAACGCGGAGGCACCGUACUUUCGGUGCUUAGAUCGGAAUCAACCGCGAUCUGAAUCGCUACGAGUACGACUCCCUCAUCCGCGUUCUUGCAACGCUUCCGCAUCGCGAUCUACAAGGGUAUGUAGAUGCACUCCCCUUCCCUUCGUUGCUAGUAAACUCCAUAGAUUGAUCUUGGUGAUGCGUAAAAAAAUUUGAAUUUCUGCUACGUUCCCCAACACAACGCUCACUGUUCAUCCAAUCGAUCGGCUUCAGUUAGCACCAGUAGCGAAGGAAUCACUCGAUCAGGUUUAGUUAAUGGCCAUCGAUCGAUCGCUCGGGUUCAGUAACGCGUAGCCUGCAGUGCAAUCGCUCGGGUUCAGUUAGAGCCCAACGCCUCGCUCGGGUUCAGUUAGAGCCAACGCCUCGCACACACACGCGUACGUGUACGAGAGAAACGUGCAUCGCUCGGCCCCCGACCUCCCACCGUAACCGGGAACUCCCCAAAAUUUUCCUCCCCCUCGCUUCUACCACGGUUUUUUCCGUCAUGGACGGCCCAAAGAAUGUUAUGCAGCUGCGUCUCCGGCCCGCCCAGGACGAAAAGCCCAUUUUCUGUCAUGAUUUUUUGUCAUAGAAGUAGGAGCCCACCACAUCUAUGAUGAUACCGGGUUUUGUCACAAUUAUCGUCAUAGAAGUGUCAUAUGUAUGACAGAAAAAAAAUCGUUCGGCCCAAAAGGUCACGGAUGUUUCUUUUUUUUGUAGUGUUGAUGUAUUUUUUGGUGAUCAACUUGCGGGUUCCGCCCAUGAACCUAUGCAUAGGGGUUGGCACACGCUUUCGUCUUGACUCUCCGGUAGAAACUUUGGGGCACUCUUUGAAGUACUUUGUGUUGGUUUGAAUAGAUGAAUCUGAGAUUGUGUGAUGCAUAUCGUAUAAUCAAACCCACGGAAACUUGAGGCGACAAUGGAGUAUCUAGGUGACAUUAGGGUUUUGGUUGAUUUGUGUCUUAAGGUGUUAUUCUAGUACGAACUCUAUGAUAGAUUGAACGGAAAGAAUAGCUUCGUGUUAUUUUACUACGGACUCUUGAAUAGAUUGAGCAGAAAGAAUAACUUUGAGGUGGUUUCGUACCCUACCAUAAUCUCUUCGUUUGUUCUCCUCUAUUAGUGACUUUGGAGUGACUCUUUGUUGCAUCUUGAGGGAUAAUUAUGUGAUCUAAUUAUGUUAUUAUUGUUGAGAGAACUUGCACUAGUGAAAGUAUGAACCCUAGGCCUUGUUUCCUAGCAUUGCAAUACCGUUUACGCUCACUUUUAUCAUUAGUUACCUUGCUGUUUUUAUGUUUUCAGAUUACAAAAACCUAUAUCUACCAUCCAUAUUGCACUUGUAUCACCAUCUCUUCGCCGAACUAGUGCACCCAUACAAUUCACCAUUGUAUUGGGUGUGUUGGGGACACAAGAGACUCUUUGUUAUUUGGUUGCAGGGUUGCUUGAGAGAGACCAUCUUCAUCCUACGCCUCCCACGGAUUGAUAAACCUUAGGUCAUCCACUUGAGGGAAAUUUGCUACUGUCCUACAAACCUCUGCACUUGGAGGCCCAACAACGUCUACAAGAAGAAGGUUGCGUAGUAGACAUCAAGCUCUUUUCUGGCGCCUUUGCCGGGGAGGUGAGUGCUUGAAGGUAUAUCUUUAGAUCUUGCAAUCGAAUCUUUUAGUUUCUUGUUUAUCACUAGUUUAGUUUAUAAAAUAAAACUACAAAAAAAUGGAAUUAAGGGUGCCUCAUAUGCUUCAUCUUUUUUAUGUCUUUCGUGAAAAUGAUGGGAAGAAAAAUUGUGCUCAAGUACUAGCAGAAGAAUUACAUAGAAUGCUUGGCAUAAAAUAUGUGAAUGAUGAGCAUGAUUGCAAUGUUGUUAGUAUUAAUUCUUUGAAUACCCAUGAUGCUAAUGAUAUGCAAAGCCACAAGCUUGGGGAUGCUAUGUUUGAUGAAGAUGAUAUGUUUAGUCCCCCAAGUUUUGAUGAGCAAAUUUAUUAUGAUGAAAGCAUGCCUUCUAUUUAUGAUGAUUAUUGUGAUGACACGUAUGCUAUGAAGAAUAAAGAUAACCAUGAAACUUGUCAUCAUGAUUUUAAUUUUCAAUUGGAUUAUGCUUCACAUGAUAGUUAUUUUGUUGAGUUUGCUCCCACUACUAUUGAUGAGAAUAAAUUUCUUAUGUGGAGAGUAGUAAAAUUUCUAUGCACGUAGAUCAUAAAAAGAAUGCUUUAUGUGCUGGUUAUAUGGUUGCAUUCAUUCAUGAUGCUACUGAAAAUUAUUACGAGAGAGGAUCAUAUGCUUCUACAUAUUGCAAUAAUAUCAAGUUUCCUCUCUAUGUGCUUAAAAUCUUGAAGUUAUGCUUGUUUUGCCUUCCCAUGCUAGUUGAUUAUUGUUCCCAUAAGUUGUUUGCUCACAAAAUCCCUAUGCAUAGGAAGUGGGUUAGACUUAAAUGUGCUAGUCAUAUUAUUCAUGAUGCUCUCUUUAUGUUUCAAUUCUUAUCUUUUAUGUGAGCAUCAUUGAAAUCAUCAUGCCAAGCUAGGAGCGUUAAACGUUAGCGCUUGUUGGGAGGCAACCCAAUUUUAUUUUAGUUUCUUGCUUUUUGGUUCUAUUUAGGAAUAAAUAAUCCAUCUAGCUUCUGUUUAGAUGUGGUUUUGUGUUUUAAUUAGUGUUUGUGCCAAGUAGAACCUUUGGGAAGACUUGGGUGAAGUCUUUAUGAUCGUGCUGUAAAAAACAGAAACUUUAGCGCUCACGAGAUUAGCUAAAACUUUUUACUGGAGUGAGAUAUUUAGUUGAUUCUUUUUGCAGAUGAUUACUUAACAAAUUCCUCAGGUCUACCAAUUUAUUUUAGAAUUUUUGGAGUUCCAGAAGUAUACGUUUGAUACAGAUUACUACAGACUGUUCUGUUUUUGACAUAUUUUGUUUUCAUUGUGUUGUUUACUUGUUUUGAUGAAUCUAUGAGUAGUAUCGGAGGGUAUGAACCAUAGAGAAGUUGUAAUACAGUAUAUAUUACACCAAUAUGAAUUUAGAAUGAGUUCACAACAGUACCUACGUGGUGAUUUAUUUUCUUAUACUAACGGAGCUUACGAGAUUUUCUGUUAAGUUUUGUGUUGUGAAGUUUUCAAGUUUUGGGUAAAGAUUCGAUGGACUAUGGAAUAAGGAGUGGUAAGAGCCUAAGCUUGGGGAUGCCCAAGGCAGCCCAAGGUAAUAUUCAAGGACAACCAAGAUCCUAAGCUUGGGGAUGCCCCGGAUGGCAUCCCCUCUUUCGUCGUCGUUCAUCGGUAACUCUACUUGGAGCUAUAUUUUUAUUCACCACAUGAUAUGUGUUUUGAUUGGAGCAUCAUUUUAUUUUAUUUAGUUUUGCUUGCUGUUUCAAUAAAUUACCAAGAUCUGAAAUUCUUAAAGUUUAGAGAGUCUUCACAUAGUUGCAUAAUUAUUAAACUACUCAUUGAUCUUCACUUAUAUCUUUCGGAGUAGUUUGUUGUUUGCUCUAGUGCUUCACUUAUAUCUUUUAGAGCACGGCGGUAGUUUUAUUUUGAAGAAAUAGAUGAACUCUCAUGCUUCACUUAUAUUAUUUUGAGAGUCUUUAAAACAGCAUGGUAAUUUGCUUUGGUUAUGAAUUUAGUCCUAAUAUGAUGGGCAUCCAAGAGGGAUAUAAUAAAAACUUUCAUAUAAAGUGCAUUGAAUACUAUGAGAAGUUUGAUACUUGAUGAUUGUUUUGAGAUAUGAAGAUGGUGAUAUUAGAUUCAUGCUAGUUGAGUAGUUGUGAAGUUGAGAAAUGCUUGUGUUAAAGUUUGUGAUUCCCGUAGCAUGCACGUAUGGUGAACCGUUAUGUGAUGAAGUCGGAGCAUGAUUUAUUUAUUGAUUGUCCUCCUUAUGAGUGGCGGUCGGGGACGAGCGAUGGUCUUUUCCUACCAAUCUAUCCCCCUAGGAGCAUGCGCGUAGUACUUCGUUUUGAUAACUAAUAAAUUUUUGCAAUAAGUAUGUGAGUUCUUUAUGACUAAUGUUGAGUCCAUGGAUUAUACGCACUCUCAUCCUUCCACCAUUGCUAGCCUCUCUAAUACCGCGCACCCUUCGCCGAUAUCAUACACCCACCAUAUAUCUUCCUCAAAACAGCCACCAUACCUACCUAUUAUGGCAUUUCCAUAGCCAUUCCGAGAUAUAUUGCCAUUCAACUUUCCACCGUUCCGUUUAUUAUGACACGCUCCAUCAUUGUCAUAUUGCUUUGCAUGAUCAUGUAGUUGACAUUGUAUUUAUGGCAAAGCCACCGUUCAUAAUUCUUUCAUACAUGUCACUCAUGAGUCAUUGCACAUCCCGGUACACCGCCGGAGGCAUUCAUAUAAAGUCAUAUUUAAUAAUCGAGUUGUAAUUCUUGAGUUGUAAGUAAAUAAAAGUGUGAUGAUCAUCAUUAUUAGAGCAUUGUCCCAGUGAGGAAAGGAUGAUGGAGACUAUGAUUCCCCCACAAGUCGGGAUGAGACUCCGGACGAAAAAUAAAAAAAUAAAAGAAAAAAGAGGCCAUAAAAAAAGAGAGAAAAAGGCCCAAACAAAAAAAUAAAAAAUAAAAAAAUGAGAGAAAAAGAGAGAAGGGGCAAUGCUACUAUCCUUUUACCACACUUGUGCUUCAAAGUAGCACCAUGAUCUUCAUGAUAGAGAGUCUCCUAUGUUGUCACUUUCAUAUACUAGUGAGAAUUUUCAUUUUAGAACUUGGCUUGUAUAUUCCAAUGAUGGGCUUCCUCGAAAUGCCCUAGGUCUUCGUGAGCAAGCGAGUUGGAUGCACACCCACUUAUUUUUUUUGAGCUUUCAUACACUUAUAGCUCUAGUGCAUCUGUUGCAUGGCAAUCCCUACUCACUCACAUUGAUAUCUAUUGAUGGGCAUCUCCAUAGCUCGUUACUACGUGAUGUGAGAUUAUCUUCUCCUUUUUUGUCUUCUCCACAACCACCAUUCUAUUGCACCUAUCGUGCUAUGUCCAUGGCUCACGCUCAUGUAUUGCGUGAAGAUUGAAAAAGUUUGAGAACAUCAAAAGUAUGAAACAUUUGCUUAGCUUGUCAUCGGGGUUGUGCAUGAUUUAAAUAUUUUGUGUGGUGGAGAUAGAGCAUAGCCAGACUAUAUGAUUUUGUAGGGAUAGCUUUCUUUGGCCAUGUUAUUUUGAGAAGACAUGAUUACUUUGUUAGUAUGCUUGAAGUAUUAUUGUUCUCAUGUCAAUAUUAAACUUUUGUCUUGAAUCUUAUGGAUCUGAAUAUUCUUGCCACAAUAAAGAGAAUUACAUUGAUAAAUAUGUUAGGUAGCAUUCCACAUCAAAAAUUCUGUUUUUAUCAUUUACCUACUCGAGGACAAGCAGGAAUUAAGCUUGGGGAUGCUGAUACGUCUCCAACGUAUCUAUAAUUUUUUAUUGUUCAAUGCUAUUAUAUUAUCUGUUUUGGAUGUUUAUGGGCUUUAUUAAACACUUUUAUAUUAUUUUUGGGACUAAUCUAUUAACCCAGAGCCCAGUGCCAGUUUUUGUUUUUCUCCUUGUUUCAGUGUUUCGCAGAAAAGGAAUAUCAAAUGGAGUCCAAACGGAAUGAAACCUUCGGGAGAGUUAUUUUUGGAACGGAAGCAAUCCAGGGGACUUGGAGUGCACGUAAGGGGAGCAACGAGGAAGGAACGAGGCAGGAGGGCGUGCCCACCCCCCUGGGCGCGCCCUCCACCCUCGUGGGCCCCUCGUGGCUCCCCUGACCGACUUCUUUUGCCUAUAUAUCUCCAUGUACCCUAAAACCAUCGGGGAACAGAAUAGAUCGGGAGCUUCGCCGCCGCAAGCCUCUGUAGCCACCAAAAACCAAUCGGGACCCUGUUCCGGCACCCUGCCAGAGGGGGGAUCCCUCACCGGUGGCCAUCUUCAUCAUCCCGGCGCUCUCCAUGACGAGGAGGGAGUAGUUCACCCUCGGGGCUGAGGGUAUGUACCAGUAGCUAUGUGUUUGAUAUCUCUCUCUCUCUCUCGUGUUCUUGAGGUGAUACGAUCUUGAUGUAUCGCGAGCUUUGCUAUUAUAGUUGGAUCUUAUGAUGUUUCUCCCCCUCUACUCUCUUGUAAUGGAUUGAGUUUUCCCUUUGAAGUUAUCUUAUCGGAUUGAGUCUUUAAGGAUUUGAGAACACUUGAUGUAUGUCUUGCCGUGCUUAUCUGUGGUGACAAUGGGAUAUCACGUGAUUCAAUUGAUGCAUGUUUUGGUGAUCAACUUGCGGGUUCCGCCCAUGAACCUAUGCAUAGGGGUUGGCACAAGUUUUCGUCUUGACUCUCCGGUAGAAACUUUGGGGCACUCUUUGAAGUACUUUGUGUUGGUUUGAAUAGAUGAAUCUGAGAUUGUGUGAUGCAUAUCGUAUAAUCAUACCCACGGAUACUUGAGGUGACAAUGGAGUAUCUAGGUGACAUUAGGGUUUUGGUUGAUUUGUGUCUUAAGGUGUUAUUCUAGUACGAACUCUAUGAUAGAUUGAACAGAAAGAAUAGCUUCGUGUUAUUUUACUACGAACUCUUGAAUAGAUUGAGCAGAAAGAAUAACUUUGAGGUGGUUUCGUACCCUACCAUAAUCUCUUCUUGUUCUCUGCUAUUAGUGACUUUGAAGUGACUCUUUGUUGCAUGUUGAGGGAUUGUUAUGUGAUCCAAUUAUGUUACUAUUGUUGAGAGAACUUGCACUAGUAAAAGUAUGAACCCUAGGCCUUGUUUCCUGGCAUUGCAAUACCGUUUACGCUCACUUUUAUCAUUAGUUACCUUGCUGUUUUUAUAUUUUCAGAUUACAAAAACCUAUAUCUACCGUCCAUAUUGCACUUGUAUCACCAUCUCUUUGCCGAACUAGUGCACCGAUACAAUUCACCAUUGUAUUGGGUGUGUUGGGGACACAAGAGACUCUUUGUUAUUUGGUUGCAGGGUUGCUUGAGAGAGACCAUCUUCAUCCUAUGCCUCCCACGGAUUGAUAAACCUUAGCUCAUCCACUUGAGGGAAAUUUGCUACUGUCCUACAAACCUCUGCACUUGGAGGCCCAACAACGUCUACAAGAAGAAGGUUGCAUAGUAGACAUCAAGCUCUUUAUCGGUCAAACCGCAUAACAACAUACGUUGUUUCCUUUGUGAUCGGUAUGUUACUUGCCCGAGAUUUGAUUGUCGGUAUCUCAAUACCUAGUUCAAUCUCGUUACCGGCAAGUCUAUUUACUCGUUCUGUAAUGCAUCAUCCCGUAACUAACUCAUUAGUCACAUUGCUUGCAAGAUUUAUAGUGAUGUGCAUUACCGAGAGGGCCCAGAGAUACCUCUCCGACAAUUGGAGUGACAAAUCUUAAUCUCGAUCUAUGCCAACUCAACAAUUACCAUCGGAGACACCUGUAGAGCACCUUUAUAAUCACCCAGUUAUGUUGUGACGUUUGGUAGCACACAAAGUGUUCCUCCGGUAUUCGGGAGUUGCAUAAUCUCAUAAUCAUAGGAACAUGUAUAAGUCAUGAAGAAAGCAAUAGCAACAUACUAAACGAUCAAGUGCUAAGCUAACAGAAUGGGUCAAGUCAAUCAUAUCAUUCUCUAAUGAUGUGAUCCCGUAAAUCAAAUGACAACUCAUGUCUAUGGCUAGGAAACUUAACCAUCUUUGAUUCAACGAGCUAGUCAAGUAGAGGCAUACUAGUGACACUCUGUUUGUCUAUGUAUUCACACAUGUACUAAGUUUCCGUUUAAUACAAUUCUAGCAUGAAUAAUAAACAUUUAUCAUGAUAUAAGAAAAUAUAAAUAACAACUUUAUUAUUGCCUCUAUGGCAUAUUUCCUUCACCCGGGGCGUGGAGGAUAAGCGUCGGCGGGGUCCCGGUGCCACCGCUGCCCACCGGGGCGGCCAGGCUUGCGGAGAUCGCCCGUAUCCGUGCCUCUCUGCUGCAUGCGGCGAGAGAAGGGCCGAGGUACACCCCCGACAGCACGCUGUGGGAGCCGUACUUCCGUCGCCGCCACGCCGAGCAGCUCGAGGCCACCAACGGCGUCGUGCCCUCCGGGAGGCUCAAUGCCGACGGGCGUCGUCGAUGGUGGGGCGUGCCCGGCCGCACGCUGGAGACCUUCCUCGAGUAGAUUGAGGGCGGCAACACGCCGAGGCUGGAGUACCCCGCUCCCCCCACCUUCUCCCGCCGGCGUGGGAGCUCGUGGACGCCGAGAGGCAUGGACCCGGCAUCCUCCUCCUCGUCCAGCCGCUCGUCCGGCUCUCCCUCCCUCCUCCCCAUCAAGCCGGAGCCCCAGGACGCGCCGAUCAGCCGGCGCACCCGCAGCUCGGCGUCCGCAUCGCCGAGUCCUCCCCCACCUCUGCCCGGCUCGUCUGGCCGAAGGUGGAGUCCGGCCUCCCCGCGGAUUACGAGGCCAUAGCCUGGCGCGGCUUCUCCGACGAGGCCGCCCUAAAGUGGGCGCGGGACGACUACCUCCGCGACGAGAUGGUCCGGCAACGCCGAGGCCUGCAGGAGAUAGCCGCCCGCCAGCGUGGGCGCGAGGACGAGAACGGCGUGGUGAUCCUCGACAGCGACGAGGACGAGGACGCCCCCGGACCGUCCAACCCGCCGUGCGUCGGCGACCCUGGGCAGGGGUAUAGCAGGGAUGACGGCCGCGGACGAGGCGGCGACUACACGCAGUUCUACAGGCUCCUCGGCGUGUAGAGCUUCAGGGCGGCGGGCGGCGGGCGGCGAGGAACGGCGAGGGCGACGGCGGGUCUAGUAGUGUUUUUUUUCUUCUGUAAAAUAUUUUAUGAACUCGCCGAAGUUUGGUUAAAUUUGUGCCUUGUUUGUGCGAAUGUGGGGCCGGAUUUUAUUUUUUUAAAAAACAUGGGCGCGACGACUGAGGAACAUCACGCCCCCAGCACGUGGUUUAGCACCGGUACGCGCCGAGGCGGCGAUUUUUAGCGCCUCCUGAGGGCCAACGGCUGGAGAUGCUCUUAGGUGUGGUGUGUCACUAGACUAGGGUGUAGCAGCAUAUGCACCGCGCACUAUACCGGUACCGGACGCUAGCAGCUAGCGAGCUAGGCGAAACAUUUUCACGUGGAGUCGGAGACCAGCACGCAUGCAUGCAGAUAUCCUCCUAUCUUCAGCAUCGCUCGAACCAGAGCAGCACUGUGCGAGAUGCCGGCGAGUGGCGGAGCACGCACAUACGCGUCCCGGCCGUGCAGCGGCAAACGCACACACCAACAGUGUCUCCCUCUCCGCAUUUUGGAGGGUGUCUUUUCCGGAAGCGGCGCGGCAUGGCGUUAGGCCGCCGCGAGAUUCAACCGAUCGUUGCCCCGUUUCCUUGUGUCGUGUCUUGACUGUUCAUGUCACGGUUUGGUGAAGGAACUGAUCGGCCGGAGAUCGGUGGUUUGUCGUCGACGAUCAUGUGAUCGAUGUCGAGCGUCGGCUGCUGCUGUCUAGACAUAUAUGGCUGUGCUUACUAGCACGAGUGUAGGAUAUGAGUGGGGAUGGGGUGGUCACACACACACACACACACACACACACACGUCUCACCAGCGUAGAAAUGCGUAAUAUUAUCUCAUUGCUGAAAGUUGGCGCAGCACACAAGGCACGCACACAACUCUCACAAGCAAUAUAUAGUGAAACCAGAGAUUAGGUGACAAAGGUUCCAGUGGCUGAUCAACGUUUAAGACAUGGAAAAACUGUUGAUCUUUAAUUUCAGAAGGCGCCAUAGGAAUUCACUGGUCACAAGGUGUCUAAUUGACGACUUUGUGGUUCAUUUGUACCUUUUCAUUCCCUGUUGAUCUCUUGAUUUCGUAUUAAUAUCAAGUCAACUAAUGUGGAGCGGUGGAGCCUCACAUUGUCACAUGUAGUGCCAUGCAUGCAGUGGCGGAGCCAUGAAAAUCAAAUUGAGAGGGCCAAACGUUGCUAAACCUCGUUUGGGAGGGCCAGAUCAUUAAAAUGCAUUGUUUUAAUAGCAAAAAAAUUAAUGUUUAGUACUAGUAUUAGGCCUAAACCAGUGACAUUACGGGGGGCCAGGGCCCCUGCUGGUCCCCCGUCUCCGCACUGCAUGCAUGUGAGCACCGAUGACUAAAGUACGUGCCAGUCGAUCGCUCCGUCAAUGCAAGUCGGGAAAAUGGAGGGAGGAGAGACCCUCAAUUCGGCAGCAGGUACGACCGGUACGUACGGCCCACUUUUAUUGGCACGUUUCUUCUUGCCGUGCUAGCCAUAGCUAAUGGGACGGUGCAUGUUACGUUCGGCCGGAGUCUGUGGCGGAGCUAGCUUCAUCACUGGCUUGCCGGACAUGCCACGCGCGGCGAGGCCUUCGUUUCCAUGCAGGCGCACAUGGCUUGCCUAAGAUGAAAUCAAAAUCAAGUAGUACGUGGAGGACGUCGAUGGACCGAGCGAGCCAGGACAAAUUGAACGUCCGAUUUUCGCAACAGUGCAAUGCAGUGCCUCUGUUGGACUGUUGGAUCGCUGCACGCGAGUGUGGAACGCGUGACCCCAUUUUCGUCCGCCUGCAUCUGUUUGGUAGGCGCGGACAAAAAUGACGGCCCAGCGUGUUGACCCAAACCCAAAUCACGUCUGCGCUGACGCAUUUGCAACCCAAAUUUGUGCCCCAAAUGCGUCGGCGCGGACGCCGAACAGACGCUAUGCGCGCCUUCUCGCUGUCCGCCGCGUCCUCACAUGGCGGCCGUCCAACUACCCGCUGCCCACGCGUUCAGCUUAAUUUAUGACCACGGUUCCACACGUCAGCGACGGCGCUCGUCCUUUUUUAAGCCGACCGUGCGGCGGGGCCGUCCUCAUUCAAACUCGCCGUCCACAUCUAGCAAGCUUUGCUCCCCCGUCGCCGGCAAAUCCUAGCAACCACAACCACAGCGAGAUUUGGCUCUUCUCCGGCGCCAGCAGCAGCAAGGCCAAGGGCAAGGCCCCCGCCACCCCUUUCCUCUCAGAGUUCCUCUCGCCUCCGCUGGGCCGGCGCCUCGCCGGCAGAGGCAGCGCGUGAACGUGCCAGUGCACCAGGCGGAGUGGCACUGGCAGCACCGCCAGCCUCUGCCGUACCCCGACGUGACCCUGCCGCACGACUGGCAUCUGGAUCCAGAUAGGAUCCCAGUGUCGGCGGCGCCGCGGAAGGCUAGGACUCACGCGGAGGAGGUGCGGCGCCGGCGGGCGCUGCUGACGCCGGAGCAACGCCGCGAGGCCGCCUACGCAACCGACUCACCCAACUGGGCGAGGUGGUUCGCCUUCGAGCAUGAGAAGGUGAGGCGACGGGGCAUGCGCGAGGUUGACCGGAGCGUGCCGCCGCCGCCGCUCGGCGUCCGCGAGGAGGACCAGACGGCCCUUGCGACCGUCUACCGGGAGAGCGAGGAGGACGAGCGGCGCAGGGCGGAGGUGGCGGAGGAAGAGGAGGCUCGGUACGAGGCGACAAUGGCGCAGGCACUUGCCCUCUCCGCGGCGGGCGACUGCGUGGUGCCGCCGGUGGCCCCGCCGUCCCCUCCCCGAUGCCGCGUCAACCCGGAGCCGCAGCCGGAGCCCGAGCCGUAGCCGUCUCCCAUCGAGCGCUACUCCUGGACGGGAGUAGUGCGCGAGUGGGUACGUGCACCGCCGGUUUGGGUGGGGGCGACGCCGGCGCAGGAGGCGGCGUACCUCGAGCACUGGCGCCAGAUCCGGGUGGCCGAGGAGCGCCGCGAUGGCGAGUACCUCAAGAUGCUCGAGCGCGACCUCGAGGAGGAGCAGCGCGAGGCCGAGGAGGAGGCGCGCCAGGCCGCGGCUGUACAGGCGGCCGCACAGCCCCCCGCGCCGGCACUGCCCGCGCUCUGGAACACGGCAUUCCCCUAGGCCGGGCCGGCGCCGAUGCUCAUCGACCUCACGGACCCCGAGGACGACGACGACGCCUAGUGCAGCGCGCCGCCUCGUAGUUUAGGUUGUUUUUAUUUUUUUUAAAUGCAAAUGUGGACGUGUGGACUCUCGCUGGCUUUCGUGGCCGUUUUACUAUUUAAUUAAUGUUGUUUUUCAUUUUUAAUAUGCAUGCGUUUUUUUCUAGUGCCGUCAAAAUGGGUCGGGCCAGCAUUGGGCGCACGCGCCGAUCCAAACGCGAAAGCGGACAUCUGUAUCCGCCUAGCCGACCCAAACGGACAAAAAGCAGACAAAAGCGCCGUCCGUUUGGGUCGGCCCGUUGCAGUUGCUCUUAGAGCCUUCCAAUAAAAGAUGUAAAUGCAAAAGUAACUAUCUUUUACAUCUUUAUUAAGGUCUAAAAACACCUCUCCAAUAGAUGAUGUAGAAAAAUUUGCGUCUUCGUCUCCCGAAGAUUUAAAAUACAAGACAUCGCGAUGCAAAUAUGCAUCUCCACCUACAAGAGAUGUAAACCUGACGGUCGCGCACCAACCGCCCAAUUGCCUUCCGUUCUUCGGCGAUUUUCUCCCAAAAACUCGCAACCGCCGGCCGUCGGCCCAUCCCCAACCCGCUGCCUAUCCCCAUCACCGGUCGCGCCGCCGUAGCCGCCACCGACCCUAAGUCCGCACCUCCGACGACUGUCUACCUCCGCCGCCGGCUAUUUGUGUCCGGAAACGCCGUCAUCGCUGCCCGUACGUCCAUCCGCGACGCCGCGGCCUAUCCCUGCCACCACCGCAUCGCCGCUCCGCCUGCACGCCGCGAAUCGGCCGUAUUUCUCGCCGCUCCACCGUCAUCGCGCGGUUUGUCCCCGUCACCAUUUCCACCUUCGUCGCAUCCACCACCCGGCCGCCAAGCACCCGCCCAACCACCACCGCACCACCGCUCCGCCCGCACGCUGUGAAUCGACUGUAUUUUUCGCCGCACCACCGCCGCCACCCGGUACGUUCCCGCCGCCAUUUCCGCUUUCGCAACCGCUCAUUCGCCACCGCGCGCUUUAAUCGACCUCACCGACAACGACGGCGAUGGAAAGGGCAAGGCCGGCGCCUAGGGCAGCGUGCGGGCGUAGAGUUUUUUUAAUGUCUAAGUGGACUUUGGCCGGCCUUCACCGGCCAUUUAUGUUAAUGAUGUUAAAUCAAGUUUAUUUUUGCCGCGUGUUUCUCAUGUUUUUUUUAUGCGGAUAAAUAUGGGUCUGACGCUCAUUGGACGCACCGGCCAACCCAAUUCAGAAAAUGGAUGCCCGUCCGCUUGGCCGACUCAAGCGGACAAAACGGGCGUUCGGAUCACCGCGUUAGAGUUGCUCUGAAGCUCCACAGAUUCCCUGAAUAUAAACUUAACUGUCCCAUGUAAAUUAUUACUCGUCCUAGUUGAGAGGAAUAACCAACGGUGGGAACUGGGAACCCAACGGUAAAAAUGUGCUCCUACUCCACGUAAACCGUGCUCGUCACCGUACAGAUAAAGGCCACGCACGACGCCCGGGAGGUUCACCGAGCUUGCUAAACUGCGCCCACAGGCGCUCCGACGCACCACUUUUGCCACAACAAGUCACGGAGGGGCCAUUCGCCGCGAUUUUGGUAGCCACAGACUGUGGCAGGCGGUCCCGGGCCGCCUAUCUCGUCUUCCGUCGGUACGUGGUGAACACCGGUCACCGAGUGCACUCCGCUGAUGAUGGACCCACGAGUAAGUGAAACACAAAUUACAUCAAGCAAAGCGAUAGAGGGAGGCAUCUAGUGAGGCAGUGACAUGGUAACUGACCUAUAGCAACCUACUCCUAGGUAGGUAUACAUAGGUUGUCGGGGCCUGCCUGGGCGGCAAAAUUAUCAAAUUUGACCUAUGGAUGAAAUCAAAUCACAGAAUGAACUAUCCGUGAAACUAUUUCACGCGGCUGACCUUUUUGUGUGACGCCCGACACGAAGGCGUCACACUACACUGUGCAAGGCCUCACAGAUAUGCGCUACACACCUGGCCAGCAUCGCACCUGUAUGAUCCGAAAAUUAGUAAGUGCAGCGCCUGAGAGCUAGGCGUUGCAAUAGUGGUUGCUUCAUUUUGUAGUGCAACCACUAGUGCAGCGACUGAGAGAUAGGCGCCACACUAUACAGUGCAGCGCCUAGCUCUUAGGCCCUGCACAAUAACUUAGCAAUUUUUAGGCAAUCUGGGGUGCAACCUGGCCAGGCGUGUAGCGUCUAUCUGUGAGGCGUUGCACUGUAUAGUGUGGCGCCUUCGUGUCGGGCGUCACAUAAAAAGUCAGCCGCGUGAAAUAGUUUCACGGUCAGUUCAUUCUGUGAUUUGAUUUCGUCUACAGGUCAAAUUUGUCAAAUUUGCCUGGCUGGGCUUCAGUCACGGGCGCAUACAAGGGGCAGGAGGUUGUCCGAAACGGCGAGUUGGGUUCAUGGACGAUGCUGCUCUGUAGUCCAUGAUGCGGUCCACGUGGUGUGCUCGUUUGGAGAACCUGGCAUGGCGAUGGCAUGCAUGCAUGCAUGGAUCAUGGACGCACAGUCUCCCGCUCCAUGUGACCGAGACCGAGGUCCCGGAAACGGAAAGGCGCGCGGCUUCCGAGGCCAUCGUGCGCGCAAGAUCUCAUUGCUGGAGAGUCAGAUACGGUGCUCGAAUGGAUCCAAGUGGUAUUGCAGUGAUCGAUUUUCUGCCACUUCGUUGUACCGCAUCAUGUAGGCGUACGGAGUAGUACGUGGUGCACCGACAGUUUUUAAUCCAUGCAUGUGAAUCUAGUAUCGGUUAAAGGAUUUGAAGAAGCAUGCAGGAAGCGUAUAGUGGUAUAUAUGCUUUUAAUGGCGUCGGUUAAAGGAUUUGAAGAAGCAGGCCUCGGCAGAGAUGGCGAGAAAGGUGGCAUGGCGCCCCGACAAAGAGUGAACGGGCAUUUUGUCCAGCUGUUGAGCCAUGCACGUCCACAUGGGACGAGCCCCCACGAUGGUCCGGCCGGCCGGAGGCCCCUCGGCCACCGCAUGGCACAUGCUCCGGGUCCGGCACGGCACGGCACGUACGUGUUGGCCCGCACCCAGUGCACCUAAAUCGGAGCGCGUACGGCGAGCGCCAGUUGCCGUGCAAGACUGCAAAUUGCACUAUCCUCCUAGAGCACGAUUUGUUGGGACAGACAUGGAGAUGGAGUAUUAUCAAAAGGCGCGGUACGGAAAGAUAUGAGGACAUGGAGUACUCCCGAGACUAGCUAGCUUGGCUGGCGUGGAUCAGUGCAGGCACCGACGGAUCUCUCGACGGCACUUCCCAACUCUACUACCAGUGGCUGUUGCUUUCAUCGAUGGCAGUUCGGAGAAACGGCUUGCACACGCGGCGCACUUAAUCAAAGGACCUUUUCGUUCUCUCUCCCUGGCAAUUAUUUUGUCCUUGAAUUCUAUAUAUCUUUUGCAAUGGCGCAGCUGUUUGCACUGGCGUGUUCUCUAACAAUUAUAAAAUAAAAUACGUAUACUCGUCCAAGUUGUAUCCUCUGCAAAGCGCGUACAGUCACGUUAUUGGGGACGAUACCCUAUAGUAAUAUAAUUUGUGGCCAUAACCAGAUAUGAAAGUUCUGCGUCCGUACUCCUAUAGACAUAAACAAAUGAAAUUAGCAUCACAUGAGCCAGCCAGCUAGGAGCUAGCAAGCCGGUGUGAUGCCGCGUCCGGCAGUUCGUUGGAGUUAUAUUUUGGCACGACCGAGUCCGUCGCUCGGCACCAUGCAUGCACGCAUGAUGCUGCAUCACAUGGGAUUUCUUCUGUAGACUGUAGUCUAGUCGAAAAUCCAGUAAACAAAAAGAGCUAGCGCAGGUGCAGAGAUGCCCCGUACGUAUAUCGUACUCCUACGCACCAACGGCAUUUUGCCUAGUUUAUGCCAUAACUGUCCCAUCUCGCCAUUAAGGUGGGCCCGUGCCGUACAGUCCGGCAUCACGGGCAGUGCCACAGGAGUGGCCCAGGGGUGCUGUUCAAGUUUUCCGUUCUUGUGGACUCCGUUGUCAGGCCAACCAUAUUUUAGUCCUCUUUUUUUCUUUGUCACUGUCUGUGUGGAUGUCUUUUUUGGUUCAACUCUGCCUGAUGUCAGUCUCCAUCCCCCACUUGUAUCUGGACUUCUGAAGAGUAUAUGAUCCUUCCUGUUAAACUAACCACCCUGGCCAAACCCUAAAUAGAUGUUUAGUGGAUGUGGUAUUAUCAUACAGUGCAGCCACUGGCCCGUACAAUGAUGCUCGCUUAACAAUGAUGUUACUAUGUGGUUAACUUUGUUGGGACAUGCAUAGUGCUGUACGUACGCAGUAGUAUUCACGUGAAAAUGGAUUUUUGUAGCCAGCAGUUAAGAAUUAAGCCCGAUCUCUUUUUUUUUGUGAAAAGGAAUUAAGCCCGAUCUAUCCUCAACAAUCCCUCUCUCUAUAUAUAUGUUCCUGGCAAUGACAGUACUGUCAUUUUUAACUUGGUCAAGCUCCCCGCAAAAAAGAAAUUACUCGGUCAAGCCCUGUUGAAAGUUGAAAUUUAUUUGUGCAUCGACAUCAACGGACACUCAAAGACUGACGAAAAUCGCCCAACAGUUAGCUAGGCUACUGGUCAGUGGUCACGCAUGCAUGCAUCGGUCGAUCCAGACGGGCAUGUUCUUAUGAGGUUCUCCAAUGUUCCGCUGAAGAUCCUGACCGAAACUCAAACCGCAUCCAACGCACGCAAUUAGGACGCUAUUAUUGGCCAUGACAAUUGCACCCUCCGUUCCUAAAUAUUAUCUUUCUAGAGAUUUCAACAAGUGACUACAUACAGAGCAAAAUGAGUGAAUCUACAUUCUAAAAUAUGUCUAUAUACAUCCGUAUGUGGUAGUCCAUUUAAAAUCUCUAUAAAGACAAAUAUUUAGGAACGGAGGGAGUAUAUUGUUGAGACAUUCUUCUUUCUAAACGUAGCAUAAUGCAGUCCGGCCAAUGAUCUUAGCAAAUGAAUCAUGUUGCAGUCAAGGCAAGAAACUGAACUUCACGGGUUGGAUUUGAUGAUUGGAUGAAGUUCACAAUUUGGAUUGGAUAAUGGACAAGGGCCAUUUAAAAAUUGCAGAUAUUUUCGGCCCAGUUAGCCAAUCCCGUCGAACUAAUCAUCGGUUUUUGCAGUUGCUUUCUAGCGGUUUUGUCCUUGUACGGCACGUGAGCUGAUCAAGCAUUUUUCCCCGUUCACAUGCACGCAACGACCACGGCGAAGAAGAUGAGCGCAGCUCGGUCAGACGAGAGCGAUCGCUUAAUUUGGAGCAGCAUGUGGCCGCGUGGAGAUUUGCCUAAUUGUUGAUGUAGCUAGCCUAAGGAAGAGUUGGUCUGUUGCUCCAACCACUUGCACGUAGUAUAUGCAAAUUUAGCGGGUGAAAAGCAGUGCCUCCGCCCACUUAUAGACAAGCCAAAUUAGCUAAUCAAGGGGGAGUAACUCCAGACACUGCGACGACUGGACUUUCAGUUUCAUAUCUUGUGCGGUUAUGCUGACAUGCAUGCAAGCACGAUGUUUGUGGUGUGCUCUCUCAGCUUCGUAGUCAGCCUAAUUAACCAGCUGCCUUGAACUGGUCGUUCACCUAUCGUCAUAAUUAUGCGAAUAAUUAGGCGCCGUGGUUUAACUACCGAUGCUAUUUUUCCAUCGUGGGCAAUGGAAUUUACAGCCAAUCGCUAAUAACCUAUAUCUCAGAGAUUGCUCAUGCGCGCCGAGUAAACGGUAACGGAGGGAGUAGUUACAAUAUUCAGUCCCACGGUAGGAAGAUGGCCUGGGUGGGCUUAUUCUGAUGAUAUGGCACUUAGUUAAGUCCAAAAUCGAGACUGAUUGGCAGCAUCAUGCUCUUGUUGUGGCCUCCAGCUCCAUGGGAACGCCGAUGGAGCACACCUGUACACGUAGGAUGCAGCUUGCUAGUCAGCGUGGCCGAGUCAACCAAGCGCGUAACUGACAGGCACCGCUGGUGCUGCCGUGGUACGUACGGUACGGCACGCCGUAUCAUUGGGUCGUCAAUCCGUAAAAUCCCAAUCAUUUAGGGGGCCCGUACGGUACGUACGUCGCCCCCAUGUCCAUGUGGUUGCCUAGGUACUCACACGCAGAGCAGAGCAAAGCUUGUCCUGAAGCCCAACCGAAAGCGAGUGAAUCAAACCAACUAAACUAACUGUAGUAUAACUAAAUCAAGCACGACACGGCGCCUACGCAUGGCUGCGCUGCACAUGCCCCCGCCAGCCUGCCCAUCCGUCUAUCCGAUUCGAGCCUGGAUUUCUAAUGAAUUCUGUUAUAGUACAGACAGCACUGGACGGAUACGGUGAACCAGGAUGCUUCAGUGGUCUAGCUGUAUUUGGUGAUGCUCGCGUUCCGGAGGUUGAUGAGAUUCUUCACAUCUUAUCUUCUACUCCUACUGUACUAGUUCAAACAACGUCGAGGGUAGUGAGAACGCGACUUUGAGCCACAUGCCGGGGAGUGGCACACCGCCAUGCGUCAGCCCGAGAAGGAGAUCAAGGCAAGGGGAGGGAUGUGCGUGGCCUCGACGGUGAGUAAAUAAUUGUACCCCAACCUAGAGCUGAAAUAGACGUGGUAGCACCGCUGCGAUGCCCACAGUUUCAGUUCACACAAGUUUUUGUUUUAGGAAAAUCAGUUUUUUUUUGAAAAGGAUCAGAUUUAUUAUAAAGAUUCAUCGAAAGUAUAAAGCACCUUAAAUAUAAUAAAAAUUACAUCGAGGUCCAUGGACCACCGAACGACCAUUACCGCCGCCAGAACGAGCCGCGGACGCGCCGCUGUCGCUGCUCCCGUAUCGGAGCCGGCCCGACCUUGUCGAUGACAGCUGGGAAGUCUCCGUGGACGUGCCCCUAUGGACGAGCGUCUUGUAGCCGCAAUUGUCGUCGUUGAAUCCUUGAAUCGAUCUGAAGAACCUAACAACAAAUCUCGUCAUUGCAUACGCAUGGCAAGAAACAUUAAUCUCACCGUCCCAAGAAGCUGGCAGGAAUCUACACAGUUCACACAAGUGAUUAGCAGGGUCCUUUGUUUCUGUUUUCCUUCUUAGAUUUUUCUACGCCAGAGCUUGUUUGCUUUGCCGGCCCGUUUGGGAAUCCCUAUUUGUUCCUCCAUCCGUCAAAGUUUUGGUUGCUCGCACAGGCGAAUGCCCCCCUCCCCCACCCCCAAUAACAACGUGAGAAAUGGGUCCGCCCACUCUACCACAGCGAGUUAAUUGGUUUUGCGAAUCUUCUAGAAGGUGUCAUGAAUCGGCUUUAGUUUCUUUUACUGGUUUUCCGGUUCCUUUUGUUUUAUUCUUUUCUUUCUACUUUUUUUUAGUGAAUUCAUAAUAUUCUCCUAAAUUCAAAUCUCAAGAAAAUUAAGAAUUUCCUAAAGUGAUAGCCCUUUUUCGAAAGUGUUUUGAAUAACUGUCUUGGUUUUUUUAGAAUUUCAAAUAAUGUUUACUUUUCAAUAAAAAAAUGUUCUAAUCUUCAAAUUUUGUUUGCAUUUUUAUAAAAAUGUUAGGAAUAACAAAAAUGUUAAAAAUUAAAAAAAAUGUUCAUGGUUUCUCAAAAUGUCUUUUAAAGGAAUGUUCGGAAUUUCGUAAAAAAACACGUCUUCAACUUUUGGAAAAGGCGAUGAAUUUUUGUUUGUAUUUUCCAGAAAAAUUUGAGGUUUAAAAUUUGUUUAUCUUUUUAGAAAAAUGUUAGUGUUUUUUUUGCAUUUUUAGAAAAGGUUCAUGUUUUUUUUGAAAGGCUACCGACUUUGCUAAAAUAAAUCUACCUUUUGAUUGAUGGCGACAUGACAAAUCGGUGGUCUUGAAUAAAUCCAGCGAGAUAAACCGAUAGAAAAAAAAUCAUUCUAUACUGUCCAACAGGAAAAGAAAAAUCAAGGAUACAUAAGCAGAUUCCCUCCAAAAUCUCUUCUUUCCUCUGCCCGCUGUCAACACAUUUCCUUUCCACAAAAAAGGGGUAGAAUUCUAUAUAAAAUGCCACAGAGAAAAGAGAGAAAGACCUUUCAUGUGAUUAAUUGAUACGAGCACUGUCCCAUCCCCGUGUGCAUAGACGAGAAAUCUUGGCCGAGUACUAUAACGUACCAGAUCUCAAGGUUAAUUGGGAGGAGGGGAAGGAAGCACACAGAGGAGGAAGAAGGGGGGUCUGGAUUAGGAGGAGGUAGGUGCAGGAGAUCAGCUCCAUCAGGUCACAUUACAAUGCAUAACCCUCGCUCACGCACCCACUAGCCUAUAAGAAGCGCCCAAGCCAUGCUGGCGGGUUCCAGCCAAUCACCGUCUAGCGCCUCGUCAUUUCCCUCGGUUCACGCCUUGCUGUCUUCCGCGGGUCCGUCCUUGUAGGUGCACGGGUCCGUCUGAGGCUGGGCCCCUUCACCGGGUAGCGCUGGUUGGUCAGGCCUAACAUUCUCCCCCCCUUGGAACAGGGCUUGUCCCCAAGCCUGUGUAGCUGGAAACCGGCGGCCCAACUCCGUUUUGUCUUCCCAAGUGGCCAAGGAGGCUAGCAAUUUCUCCCAGCGCACCAACACCCGCAGUUGUUCUCUGUUGCUGUCUGGACCAUCUUCUCCGCCAGGGGCGCCAUCGGCCAGUGUUCCAAGCGGAGAACCUCAGUAUCUGCAGGCAGGUCUGUUUCCACGAGUACGUCGUUGCCAAUUGCUUUCUUCAGUUGGGACACAUGUACCACCGGGUGGAUCUUGCUGUCGGCUGGCAAUUGUAACUUGCACGCGACCUUGCCCACGCGCGCCGUGAUCUUGUAUGGACCAUAGUACCGGAAGGCCAGCUUCUGGAAGGGUCGCUGCGCUACUGAUGUUUGAAUGAACGGCUGAAGCCGAAGAAAAACUGCAUCCCCAACCUCAAAUUCUCGAUCCGUGCGCCUUUUGUCUGCUUGUUUCAGUUGUUGUUGAAGCAGUUCCAGCAUCACUUCGCGUUCCUGGAGCCAACUGGCUAAAUCCGGAACAGUACUUGCAUCAAUUUGAUUGACCCCAAAUUCCCUUGGCAUUGUACCGUAGCUCACCUCGAACAGAGUUCUUCCCAAUGCCGAGUGGAAAGAUGUGUUGUACCAGUAUUCUGCCAAGAACAACCACUUGUAGCAGUUCCUCGGACACGCGUGCACCAAGCACCGGAGAUACGUUUCAAGGCACUGAUUCACCCUCUCCGUUUGCCCAUCCGUCUGAGGGUGGUACGACGAGCUCAUGCGCAGCUGAGUCGAGGCCAACUUGAACAGCUCCUGCCAUAGCGCACUUGUGAAGAUCCUAUCCCGAUCUGAUAUGAUUGCCAUUGGAAGGCCAUGGAGCUUGAAAAUGUUCUGCAUGAAUGUGGUUGCUACUGACAGGUCUGUGUAUGGGUGUUUCAUCGCUAGGAAAUGGCUAUAUUUCGAGAACUUGUCCACCACCACCAAGAUGACAUCAAAUCCCCCAGACUUGGGUAGCCCUUCUAUGAAAUCCAAUGAUAUAACUGCCCACGGUCGUUUGGGUAUUGGUAGCGGUUGGAGGAGCCCUGCUGGAGCGAUCCGCUCGGUUUUAGCUUGCUGACAAAUUUGACAUUGUCGCACGAACUGUUGCACCAUGUUCUUGAGCCCUCUCCAUGCGAAUAUCGGGGGGGUGUUUGCUCUAUAUAGUGUGGUUCUACUAGCAUCAAAUUCUUGUGUAGUAUUUCGAUGCUAGUACAACCGGUUUUGAUAACAUCAACUAUCUUUGUGAUAUUUGAGGCUAUCAAAACCACCUCAAGUAUUCAAUUUAUUCUCGGAUAGAUUGCAUACUUGUUUUAAAUUCAUUAUAUAAACCCUCUUGUUGAGAUUGUCAUCAAUUACCAAAAUGGGGGAGAUUGAAAGGGCAUGUAGCCCCUAAGUGUGGUUUUGGUAAUUGAAUGACAAUCUCUAUGGACUAAUGUUUUCAGUGAGAUAUAUUUGAAGGUUUUGUCCAUACAUGGUGCCUCAAGGAAAUUGGAUGGAAUCAAGGAUGAAGUCCAUAUAUAUGAAGAUAAUGCCUCAAGGAUAUUGGAUGGAAUCAAGGAUGAAGUCCAUAUCGAUGAAGUUAUAUUUGCUCUAAGCUUUGGUAUUAAAUGACAAUUCCUAUGGAGCAUCAAGUGCAUUGGAUCUUAUAUGAAGAUAUGUUCCAUAGUGAUGCUUGAAGUUCUUUGGGUUGUUAUGUGAAGAUUGCCAUCAAAGCAUCCGAAGAAGUCCUCAUGGUAUCCCUCUCUGGAUACCCCAUGCACACGGGCUUAUACCGUGCGCACGGGGUCGAGUGUCAACUCUCUGGAUACCCCGUGCUCACGGGGCCUAGGUGUUGGCUCUCGAGAUUCCAUAUCCAGCGAGGUUUCAAGUUGGUCUUCUGAGGAUCAAGGCUUGAGAGAAUAAUCAAAGAGAAGAAUUCGAGUUAUGGUUUCAAGACAAGAUCAUGGUGAGCUCAUGUGUUGGGUUUCGGUUGAUCAAGCCUUGAAGCAAGCAACUAGAGUGAAGAAUUCAUUAUGCCUCUCAAGACAAGAUCAUGUUGAUCAAGUCUUGAAGCAAGCAACUAGAGUGACGAAUUCAUUAUGCCUCUCAAGAGUUUGGGAUGGAGUUUUUAGAAGGGCAAGUGGUGACCAAGAUGAUAUUCAUAGUGGAACUUGAUAUGGUCAUGAAAGAGUCUUUGGUGAUAUUGUCUUAAAGCAAUGAAGUGAAAUUCAGAGUUCAUUGUGGCUUUCAAGAAACCAAGAUGGAGCUUGAGGUAAAGAUGUUGGUUGACCAAGAUGAAGCUCGAAGAGUAUAUCUAAGUGGUCAACUCACAAAGCACAAACAAUGUACCACGUGAGAUCAAGUGAUCUAGUGGUAUGGUAAGUAAUUGUGAAUUGUGCUUUGUUACCUAACCCAUGCUAUAUGUUUGUUAUGUCUAUGUGGGUUAGGUGUUUCUCAUAGGUUUGCAUCAAAAGGAAAGAUCUCAUGUAGCCUAUGUGUGGAUGACAUCAAGUGGUGAUGGUCAUCGGAUUCGAGGAGUCCAAGUGCAAGAUGAGAUGACAUCAAGUGGUGAUGGUCAUCGAGUUCGGGGAGUCUAGGUGCAAGAUGAGAAGCCGGAGGUUAUAUGCUUUGAAGCUUGUGGUCCACAUCAUGAUAAUGUGCAUGUGAAGAUGGGCUUGAGAUAAGGCUUCCCUCAUUGCAUCAUGAGGAAGCAAUUCGAGUAUCUUCACCAAGUGGUCGUGGACAAGAAAGGGAUUCCAACUUGAGGCAAGCAUUAAAGUCAUCAUCAAGCUCAAGUUGAAUGUGCAAGGCAAAGGUAUACCUUAGCUAGGUUUUCCUAGUUUUGCCGGUCUCAUAGUGCUUGGUGGGAGACCGGAUUAUAGGUUUGAUAGCCGUACUAUCAAGAGGGACUCUCGGGCAAGUAGCUUGAUCACGUCGCAUGUAGAGAGCUCAAACCUUUGCAUUACUUGCAUCAUUCUUUCUUGUUGAUCUUGGGUGGUUCUCUAUGUGAGGACCUUGGGCUUUUCCAUAGCUUCAAAAUGAUCCCAAGAUCAUCGAAUUCGGAGUCUGUAUGCCCAAGUUAUCGAUGUUUUAGUGGGCUGCUGCUGGCUGUCCUGGGGACCCCGUGUGCACAGGGUCUUUGACCCCCGUGCGCACGGGGUGUCCAGGAUUCUGGGUACUCCGUGCACACGGGCUCGUACCGUGCACACGGGGUCUCAACCCCCGUGCGCACGGGGUGCCCAGGAAAUGCCCGUUGGAGCCCCAACGGCUAGUUUCGGAGUUUGGCUAUUUAAGGGCCCUUUCCUCCCAUCGGUUGGGGGUUGGUUCACACACAUUCUAAACACCAUUUUGAGCCUCUCUCGACCUCUCCUAAACCCCUAUCUCCCCUCUAUGUGAAGGGGGAUUUGUGGAUGGAUUAGUGAGCCAUUUGUUGAUCAUAUCCAAAGCAUCCCCUCUCUUCAAUCUCCUACUUUCAAGAGUGCAUCUUAUGAGAUUGAGAGAGUGAGUUGAGCAUUUGUUGCUUGACCUUGCAUUGCAUUUGUUGCAUUGGUUUGAGCUCCCUGCGUCGAUUUGUUCGAGUGUGAGCCCGUGAGUUUAUUACUCUUGGAGGCCUCCGCCUCCUAGACGGUUUGGUGAUACAUUGAGAAGAUUGUGAAAGAGGCCUAUGUGGCCAAGGUUCCCCCGGAAGCUUCCUCUUGUGGUGUGCUCCGGGGAAGGGUGUUGAAGUGGCCUAGGUGGUCAAGUUCCUCCGGAAGCUUCCUUGUUUGUGGUGUGCUCAGGAGAAGUUUGUAAAGGUGUGGUGGUCGCCUUCAAGACCAACCCCGAGUGAAUCGAGGCUCAUCCGUUGGGGGUGACUCGAAAAGGAGAAUACGGUGAGUCACUUGGUGACGCCCCGGAGCUUUGGCUUCGGCACCGCUCUAACGGAGAUUAGCACUCUCACGAGUGUGAACUUCGGGAUAAAUCCACGUCUCCGACUCACUUGUGGUUAUCUCUUACCCACACCCUUUACUUACCGCAAUUCAUACUUGCUCAUAUUGAUAUAUCUUGUGCUAGUUGAAUUGUUUAGUUGUUCCUACAUUUCCAUAUCUUGUGAUAUAGUUUGUGCUUGCUAGUUUCCUUAAGUGCCUAUCUUGUUUUGCAUAGGUUGUUGGUGCACUUAGUUGAGCCUAGCAUAUUCAGGAUUUGUGCUUGAAAGGUAUCCGUUUAGUUUAAUUCCGCAUUAGGAUAAAGCCAAAUCCGUAACAGUUUUAAAACGCCUAUUCACCCCCCCUCUAGUCGUCAUCUAGAUCCUUUCACUAACCAUGCUAGCUGUGCUAUGCCAAUUGCCGCUAAUUCUUCUGCCCGCCCGUGAAAUCGUCUGGACAGGGCAUCUGCCACGUGAUUGCUCACUCCUACCUUGUACUGGAUCUGGAAGCGGAGCCCCGCCAACUUGGUGAACGCUCGCUGCUGAAUGGGUGUAUUGAGGCGUUGAUCUGUCAAAUUGAGCAGGCUACGUUGGUCCGUGCGAAUAAGAAAUUCAGAGUGUUGCAGGUAUGGUCGCAAGUGGUCCACAGCCAGCAGGAGCGCUAAUCGCGGGGAGCCAAGCUCUAGCUCAGGUAUGCGACCGGGUGGCCAGCCUGCAUCAACACCGCGCCGAUGCCCGUUGCGCUGGCAUCAAUUUCAACCACGAAUUGUUUCGAGAAGUCGGGAAAUGCGAGCACGGGUGCUGAGGUGAGUGCUUUCUUGAGAGCAUGAAAUGAGGCUUCUGCCGUCGGUGUCCACACAAGCACUGUGUUCUUUUUGAGCAAGUCAUUCAGGGGCCUGCUGAUGGGUCCAAAUUUUUUGACGAACUUCCUGUAGUAUCCCGCCAAUCCUAGGAAUCCUCGAAGUUGUUUGACGCUCGUGGGCUGCUCCCAGUCUUGUACAUUUUGGAUAUGCUCUGGUAGGGUGGCCACCCCUUGUCCACUGAUCUGGUGGCCUAGGUUGGUGAUUUGGUUCUGGGCAAAUGAACACUUAGAGCAUUUGGCUACUAGCUCGUUGUCCUUGAGCAAUUGAAGUACUUGCCGCAGCAGUUCUAGGUGUCUUUCCAGUGUGAUCGAAUGCACCAUGCUAUCAUCCAUGAAUACCAAAACUCCUUUGCGCAAGAGUGGCGCCAUCACUAUGUUCAUGCCCCCUUGGAAGGUGCUCGGGCCCCCUGUCACCCCAUAUGGAGGCACGCGGAACUGGAAGUGUCCUUGAUGAGUUUUAAAAGCAGUUUUCUCCUCAUCCUGCUCGUCCAACCUGAUUUGAUGGUAUCCCGCCCGUAAAUCAAGCUUCGAGAACCAGUAAGAACCUGCCAACUCAUCGAGGAGUUCGUCAAUGAUGGGCAAGGAGUAACAGUUCUUAACUGUGAUGGCAUUCAGAUGCCGGAAAUCCACACAGAAACGCCAUGUCUGAUCAUUCUUCUUGACCAACAGCACAGGGGAGGAAAAGGGGCUGGUGCUUGGUGCUAUUCGUCCUUGCCUCAACAUCUCUGCCACUUGUUUUUCGAUCUCGUUCUUCUGCUCCGGUGUGUAGCGAUACGGCCUAAUAUUGACCGGCUUAGUGCCUUCCAGAAGCUGUAUUCUGUGGUCCCAUGCUCUAUGCUUCGGCAGUGUGGUGGGUUCUGCAAAUACCAUCGUGAAUUCCUCCAAUAAUGCUUGCCCUGUAGGGUGCUCUGAGUUUUUGGAAUCACUGUCUGUCGUGGUGGAAAUACCAUAAAGUAGCACCAUAUGGGCAACCGCAUGCUGGUCUUCCAGUUCUUGUAAUUGGAGUGCCGAGAUCUGCGAUACAACCGCCAUCCGCGGUUGCACCCCCACCAGUUCCACCCACUGUCCAUUAUGUUGGAAUUGCAACAAUUUCUGUUCCCAAUCCACCCACAUCGGUCCACAGCUUUGGAGCCAGUCCAUGCGUACCACCAUAUCGUAGCAGCCGAGGUUCAACACCCUUAGAUCAGUUGUGAAAGUUUGCCCCUGUGUUUGCCACGAGCAUUUGGGAAUCAUACUGUUGCAAGUGAGCAGCCCCCCGUCUGCUAUCUUCACUAUCGAACUGGGUUUUUGCCUUACUUGAGAGGGCAUUGCGGCUGCCGCGGCAUCGCUGAUGAAGCUGUGUGAACUGCCCGAGUCGACGUGAAUCAACACUUCUUUGUCCUUGAUCCUGCCCACCAAUCGAACGGUAUGAGGUGUAGUCUGCCCAGUUGUAGCUAGCUUUGAAAUUGACAUUAGGACCUCGUCAUCUGAAUUUUCUGCGGGCUGUGCUUGGAAAUGAUCAUCGGCUUGCAGUAAGUCGAGCAACUCCUCGACCACAUGAAGUUGCACUGUGGCGGCGCAUUGAUGCCCUUGUCCCCAACGCUCCCCGCACUUGAAACAGAGGCCGCGGGCGCGUCGAUAGUUCUGGAGCGCAGCCACGCGAUCAUCUCCAGCCCUGGCGCGCUCGGGGGAUUCGCCGCCUCGAUUCCCCGUCGAUCCUCUGCAGCGCGAGCUGGUGGUGCUCCCAGCGUUACUAUUGGUCUUGCUACCACUCGGGGCGGUGGCGCCUCCUGCCGCCUGUACUCGCGCCGAGGCAGCGCUUCCAACAACUCUUCCUGCAUAGAAGCCAAGGAAAAUGCAGAGUCCAGGUCCUUUGGUUGAUGUAAAACGACACUAGCACGAAUUUCAUGUCGCAAUCCUUCUAAGAACUGUGUGGUGAAAAAUACUGAAUCAACAGAGGGGUUAUGCGCGAGUAACUGAUGCAUAAGUUCCUCAAACUGCAACAUAUACCGAUGGACUGUGCUACUCUGACGGAGCGUGCGAAACUGUCGCAAAUGGAACUGAUAUUGCUCCCUGCCAAAUUUCCCGCUCAACACCGCACACAACUCUUCCCAUGACAUUGAAGCACUCUGUGCUUUGUGCAAUUGCAGCCACCUUGCUGCAUUGCCGGAAAAAUGCAGAGUGGCCACUCUCACCCAUACUUCCGGCGGAACCCCAUACACUGAAAAGUAUUUCUCACAACGAAUCUUCCAGAUCUGUGGAUUCUCCCCAUCGAAGGACGGAAAAUCCAACUUUGGAAACGACCAACUAAGGGGAGUGGCGUGCGAGUUGCGCUGAUCGAAUUCGACCAGAUGCGAUGGUGUAGGUUAGAGAGCUGCUGAUUGGAAAUUGGUCAGGGACGUACCCUUGACUGGAGGUGGCACAUGGGUGGUGACCACGCCAUAUGCCGGCCCUCCGGUGUCAUCGAUCUCGCCGCGACCUCUUGGCCCGUGGUGCUCGGGGGCGUCGUGGCUCGAAGGCGCCUCCGGCCGCACCACCGCGUCGCCCUAUGGGAUCGGAUCCGGAGGCGUCGCCAGGGUCGGGUGGAGGGUGAUACGCCCCACUUGGGUACGCAGCUCAUGCACCUGCUGUUAGAGAUGGGACACCGCCGUUCUCCAGAGUUCCAACGACGUCUGGAUCGCGUCGAAUCGGGCCUCGCUAGCCGCCCUGCCGUCGUUGACUGACUUGAUGAGCGCGGCGAGCUGCUCCUCCAUCGCCGCCGUCUUGAGUGCUUGUUUGGUUUGGUAGCGGGGCUUGGGGUAUGCGGUCUCCAGAUCGACGGCUGGACCUCUGAUACCAGAUGUAACGUACCAGAUCUCAAGGUUAAUUGGGAGGAGGGGAAGGAAGCGCACAGAGGAGGAAGAAGGGGGGGUCUGGAUUAGGAGGAGGAGGUAGGUUCAGGAGAUCAGCUCCAUCAGGUCACAUUACAAUGCAUAACCCUCGCUCACGCACCCACUAGCCUAUAAGAAGCGCCCAAGCGACGCUAGCGGGUUCCAGCCAAUCACCGUCCAGCGCCUCGUCAUUUCCCUCGGUUCACGCCUUGCUGUCUUCCGCGGGUCCGUCCUUGCAGGUGCACGGGUCCGUCUGAGGCUGAGCCCCUUCACCGGGUAGCGCUGGUUGGUCAGGCCUAACAAGUACGCCGGCGCGGCUAACAACUGUGCCUACUGGCUGAACUCACAGUGAACAUGAUACUCCACCUUGGAAGAUCUAGAACAAAAUCUUACUUGUACUGUACUACUUUGGGUGCACUUAGAAGCAACUAAUUCUAGAAUUAGUACCCCGGAAUCAUUGUGUCAGAAACCACUAACCGGAAAUGACCAAAACAUGAGCCAUCGUACUUGACAGGUGCACUCGCUAGGCUCUCCCUGCAUUAUUCAUUCGCAUGUGCCUGUCAUUCUUGUGCAUUUGGGAAUUUCCGCGGCGGCCUCUUGGUUGGACCCCCUUUAUUUAUAUAUAUACUUCCAGGUUUGAACAGAUGUGAAAGGCACCAGGGAAUAAACGGUAUUGGAGAUGGGAUCUUCUUUUCUGCCGAUUUUAUAUGCAGCUCAUAAGUUUUUUUUGAUAAUUACUUCCCCACUUUAUUUAGACUAGUUCAGGUAGUUCAUUGUGACGCCCGGAUAAUUAAGCUACAGUAAACCUCUGUUAACGAUGCCACGUCACCAUGAUUACUGUUAUUAAUCUGGUGUUAGUCCAAAACCGAUUAUAAUUCAAAAUUCAAAAUCAAGCAAACAAUAAAAGUUUUCAAAUAUUAAAACUAAAAUGUUCAAUAAAUAGUAGAUAAAUCAGAGGCUAUGAUAAAAUCGUAAACAACAUUAUUGAAAUUUGAUAAGUGACUUAAACAACCUCAAACAGUGGAUGAAAACAUUAUUUAAUAACCUUUUAUUAAUGCAAAAAAAAUAUGAAAUGAUAUUUACCCCAAACUAGUUUUUGGUGGUAGGAUAUAUUGGGCUGUGAAUUGUGGGCCAGCUCUCAUAUUUUACAAAACUCAUUUGAUGCCCAAACAAUUAGCCAAAACAGAACAGAAAUAGAAUAAUAAUAAUAAAAGAAAAAAAGCAGAANNNNNNNNNNNNNNNNNNNNNNNNNNNNNNNNNNNNNNNNNNNNNNNNNNNNNNNNNNNNNNNNNNNNNNNNNNNNNNNNNNNNNNNNNNNNNNNNNNNNNNNNNNNNNNNNNNNNNNNNNNNNNNNNNNNNNNNNNNNNNNNNNNNNNNNNNNNNNNNNNNNNNNNNNNNNNNNNNNNNNNNNNNNNNNNNNNNNNNNNNNNNNNNNNNNNNNNNNNNNNNNNNNNNNNNNNNNNNNNNNNNNNNNNNNNNNNNNNNNNNNNNNNNNNNNNNNNNNNNNNNNNNNNNNNNNNNNNNNNNNNNNNNNNNNNNNNNNNNNNNNNNNNNNNNNNNNNNNNNNNNNNNNNNNNNNNNNNNNNNNNNNNNNNNNNNNNNNNNNNNNNNNNNNNNNNNNNNNNNNNNNNNNNNNNNNNNNNNNNNNNNNNNNNNNNNNNNNNNNNNNNNNNNNNNNNNNNNNNNNNNNNNNNNNNNNNNNNNNNNNNNNNNNNNNNNNNNNNNNNNNNNNNNNNNNNNNNNNNNNNNNNNNNNNNNNNNNNNNNNNNNNNNNNNNNNNNNNNNNNNNNNNNNNNNNNNNNNNNNNNNNNNNNNNNNNNNNNNNNNNNNNNNNNNNNNNNNNNNNNNNNNNNNNNNNNNNNNNNNNNNNNNNNNNNNNNNNNNNNNNNNNNNNNNNNNNNNNNNNNNNNNNNNNNNNNNNNNNNNNNNNNNNNNNNNNNNNNNNNNNNNNNNNNNNNNNNNNNNNNNNNNNNNNNNNNNNNNNNNNNNNNNNNNNNNNNNNNNNNNNNNNNNNNNNNNNNNNNNNNNNNNNNNNNNCGCCGUCGUGUCCUUUCCCCGCCGUGGCUCGCAUCCGCCCCGCUCGCCGCCCCUGCUUCACUCCCCGUCCGCCCUUACGCCGCGCCCGUCUCCAGCCGUCGCCGCCUCCUGCCACGACCCUCUAGUGCCAACCUCCACUCAGCCACGCCGGCCCCGAGCGCGACGGCCGCAUCCCGCUCGCCCGGCCUGGCCGCGCCUCCUACCUCCCACUUCCCGCCUAACCGUCUGCGCCGCCGCGACCUUGGGCCCGCCCACACGGGGGCCGCACGCGCUAGCCGCUGCCGGCUCCGGUCGCCGUGGCCCUGGGCCCCCCCUCCACGCCUGGUGCUGGCGCUCGUUGCCGACGCCUUCUCUGUGCAAGAGCGCACAGCCAGAGACGCUUGGCCGUGUGCCACUGGCCAAUCAGGCCCGUUCCCUGAAAAGGAAAAGAGACAAAAACAAGAGAGAGAAAAAGAUUUGGUAAAAAAAUAAUAAUAAAAAAUAAUAAAAAUAAAUUUAAUUAAUUAAUUAAGUUAAUUAAUCCUGUUUAAAUUAAUCUAAUUAAUUAGUUAAUUUAAUUAAACAGUAAUUAAUUAGCUAAACCCGAAUUAAACUAAGCAGUGUAUGACAUGCAGGACCCGCACGUCAGUUUGACCCAGUCAACGCCCUGUUGACUGCUGACGUCAUGCUGACGUCAGCAUGCACUGUUCUGGAUAAUGUUGUAUUAAAUUAAUUAAAUAAAUGCUAAAAUUAAUUUAAAUCUUUUAAAAUUCAUAUAAAAUAAACCGUAGCUCGGAUGAAAAUACUUUGUACAUGAAAGUUGCUGAGAACGAUGAGACGAAUCCAGAUACGUAGCCCGUUCGUCCGCCACGCGUCCCUAGCAUAGUGAACCUGUAACAUUUCACCUCCGGUUCAUCUGUCCGAAAACGCGAAACACCGGGAAUACCUUCUCGGAUGUUUCCCCCCUUCGUCGGUAUCACCUACUACCGCGUUAGGGCACACCUAGCACCGCGUAUUGUCAUGUCACGCUUUGUGAUGCUUUGAUUGCUUUGUUAUUUAUUGUGUUCCCCCUCCGUUACUUCUUUCCGGUAGACCCCGAGACUGCCGGUGACCCCAGUUCGACUACGGAGUUGACGACCCUUCCUUGCCAAAGCAACCAGGCAAGCCCCCCCCUUGAUCACCAGAUAUCGCCUAUUCCUUCUCUAUACUGCUUGCAUUAGAGUAGUGUAGCAUGUUACUGCUUUCGGUUAAUCCUAUACUGAUGCAUAGCCUGUCAUUGUUGCUACAGUUGUUACCCUUACCUGCUAUCCUACUGCUUAGUAUUGGAUGCUAGUGUUCCAUCAGUGGCCCUACACUCUUGUCCGUCUGCCAUGCUAUACUACUGGGCCGUGAUCACUUCGGGAGGUGAUCACGGGUAUAUGCUAUAUACUUUAUAUACAUGACACAUGUGGUGACUAAAGUCGGGUCGGCUCGUUGAGUACCCGCAAGUCAUUCUGAUGAGGGGGCUGAAAGGACAGGUGGCUCCAUCCCGGUAGAGGUGGGCCUGGGUUCCUGACGGCCCCCGACUGUUACUUUAUGGCGGAGCGACAGGGCAGGUUGAGACCACCUAGGAGAGAGGUGGGCCUGGCCCUGGUCGGCGUUCGCGGAUACUUAACACGCUUAACGAGAUCUUGGUAUUUGAUCCGAUUCUGGCCAUUUGGUCUAUACACACUAACCAACUACGCGGGAACAGUUAUAGGCACUCGACGUCGUGGUAUCAGCCGAAGCUCUUCUUGACGUCAGCGACGGAGCGGCGCACGCCGAAUUGGACUGGAACACCUGCUAGGCUAGGUCUGCUUCCGGCCGCGUACGCAAUGUGCAGGUGUGCAAUGGGCGAUGGGCCCAGACCCCUGCGCGCAUAGGAUUUAGACCGGCGUGUUGACCUCUCUGUUGAGCCUAGGUGGGGCUGCGACGUGUUGAUCUUCCGCGGCCGGGCAUGACUCAGAAAAGUGUGUCCGGCCAAACGGGAUCGAGCGUGUUGGGUUAUGUGGUGCACCCCUGCAGGGAAGUUUAUCUAUUCGAAUAGCCGUGUCCCUCGGUAAAAGGACGACCCGGAGUUGUACCUUGACCUUAUGACAACUAGAACCGGAUACUUAAUAAAAUACACCCUUCCAAGUGCCAGAUACAACCCGGUGAUCGCUCUCUAACAGGGCGACGAGGAGGGGAUCGCCGGGUAGGAUUAUGCUAUGCGAUGCUACUUGGUGAACUUACCAUCUACUCUCUUCUACAUGCUGCAAGAUGGAGGUGGCCAGAAGCGUAGUCUUCGACAGGAUUAGUUAUCCCCCUCUUAUUCUGGCAUUCUGCAGUUCAGUCCAUUGAUAUGGCCCUUUACACAUAUACCCAUGCAUAUGUAGUGCAGCUCCUUGCUUGCGAGUACUUUGGAUGAGUACUCCCGGUUGCUUUUCCCCCUCUUUUCUGCCUUUCCCUUCUACCUGGUUGUCGCAACCAGAUGCUGGAGUCCAGGAGCUAGAGAUCCCGAGGAUGAUUCUACAUGGAGUUCGUCUUCGAGGAGUAGUUAGGAGGUCCCAGGCAGGAGGCCUUGCCUUUUCGAUCGUUGCUACUUUUGUGCUAGCCUUCUUAAGGCAAACUUGUUUAACUUAUGUCUGUACUCAGAUAUUGUUGCUUCCGCUGACUCGUCUAUGAUCGAGCACUUGUAUUCGAGCCCUCGAGGCCCCUGGCUUGUAAUUACGAUGCUUGUAUGACUUAUUUAUGUUGUAGAGUUGUGUUGUGAUAUCUUCCCGUGAGACCCUGAUCUUGAUCGUACACAUUUGCGUGCAUGAUUAGUGUACGGUCAAAUUGGGGGCGUCACAAGUUGGUAUCAGAGCCAACUGCCUGUAGGAAUCCCCCUUUCCAACUCCUUGGCCGAAGUCGAGUCUAGACAUUGCAAAAACUUUUACUAACAUGGCUGUGUGUCUUACGGGCCCACGUCGCCAUUGGGUGGUAUUAGGAUCUUUUACUCCUUGUCUAUACUCUAGGACUCUGAUCUCUCUUCUAUUUGGGUUAAGUGAAUUUUGCUAAAUCUAACAUUCGGAUCUCGUUAUCACUUUCACCCGGAGAGCCCCUUAUUACUGAUGAUCGUCUGCUGCACGUGAAGACCCUGAAGAUACUCUCCGCUGAUAACCCGAGAACUUGUGUUCAUCGCUUUUGCAAUUCCCUUUCAUCGAUAAACUCCUAUGGAUAACCACGUAUACUCGCCAUUCAUACAAUGUUUCCCAGUUGAUCUUGUUAUUACAAGAUACCCCGAAAUUCUCUCUGUUGUUCCGAGAAUCCUUUGAGCUUACUACCUUGCUCUUCUUUGUCAACUGAAUACCCCUACAGAUAAUUCUCGCACUUACCGAGUAUCCGCUCAUCCCCGGUUGAUUCAAGUAUUUCACAAAAGUGUUCAAAAUACCAUUCGAUCUUCCGAAAAUCCUCAGGAGCCUUUUUGCUCUUGAAAUUCUUGCUUACUUGCAUUAUGAUUAAUCUUAAGUCUCGUAAUCUUAUUGGCAUCUCUUGUCAUUAUCAUUUUGAAUCCGUUGAUUCAGUUUGUUGCGAAUGCUCGCAAUCCUCAAUCAGAGCCUAGAAUUCAUCCUUCCGGCUCAGAUGUCAUAUUAAACAUGAGUUGGUUCUCGACCAAUCAAAUUGCCGUCGAUUGUACCCCAAAGGCUAUUCAACUUGUCCAUCCUUAAUCAGAGCGUUUGCUUGUGAUCCCUUGAUUUGGAAAUCAUAAUUCCUUUGCAAUUGAGCUCUGAGUUAGUCAGUUGUUUCUAUAAUUCAAUGUCUUUGCAUUGUUUCUUGCUCUGGUUUUGUGCUGAUACUCACAUCAGAUCCUUUAUGGACUACCAGAUCCUUUGUUGGAUUUUAUCCGACAAUGUCCUUCAUAUUCAAUAUCCUUGUGAGCCUUUCCACGGAUAUAUAAUGCCUUUGGUAAAUUGUAUCCUCUGCUUUUUCAACCAUGCUCUACUUUCGAGCCUGUGUUUAUUACUCCUGAAGGUUGUGUUAUAUGUCCCUACAAUACCCCGAUGGGUUGAACCUAUGCCUUCCUUGAUAUGUGUGAACUUGAAAUUUGCACGAGUCAUACUCUUCUGCUAUUUUGCCAGAUAAAAUUUCAACACUACAACUUCUUCGAAAAUGAGAAGUGAAUGGAAGGUUAUACAUUGAAGAAGUGGGAGUCGACCUUGAACUUUGUGUUCAUGCCCAUGGACACGAUGUAGAUCCUACCGUAGAAGCUUCUUGUAAUAUUAACUGUUUCGUUGAUAUAAUAUCAUCUCGUAUCUAUGAAUUGAUCCUUUGCAAUCGUGGUUCCGACCAUAUUUUCUCCUUGAAUUCCAUUUCUCAAGCAAGUGGAAACACUUGUCUUCUCCAGAUCAAUACAUCUUCGCAACCUCUACGUCGAUCUUCCUUCGAGUAAUACCCUCCAGUACCUCGAGAAUAUCAAAGAAUUGUGUUGCUUCCUAUGAGUCUUCAUCUAGUAUUGCUUCUCACCGAUUUCAGAAUUCCCCUGGGUUCUGAGUUAUUUCACUCGAGAACACCGAUAAGUGAAUCGAUUCCACACUUUGAUUAGAUAACUCUAAGUAAUUUUUGUUGCUUAUGAAUUUAAUAAUCCUUCAAGCCAUUCCUAGCCUGAUCGGCUAUAUCCUUAUCGUGCAAACUUUUUACUGUGCUACAUGGUCCUUCUCGGAGCACAAUUUUCGACGAUGAGCUAAGCUUAUGUUGAUUUUCCUCAUCAUAUCAUUUCUCCUUGAACAACUAGCUUGAUUCCGAGUUUGUGUCAUAUCCGUGGUUUUUCAAUAACUUUUCGCUCCAUCCUUUCUUUUGCUUGAUGUUGUCGAUGAGCGAUUAUAUCUUUAUGAAACCUCUCGACAAAUGUGUCAUGAUCAUCAUCAACAUUCCGAGCUCUUCAAGGAUAUCGAUCGAAUCCAUGUUGAGAAAUACCAUCCUUGCCCCUCGAUGAAUUGUGUUAUCAUCGACAACAUUCUUGCCCCCCCCCCCAACACAAACUUCUUCAUGUUUUGUGUUAUACCUCGAGAUCCUUGCUAUCCAACAUUUGUUCCUCUGUACUUUGGAGUAUUACCCUCUUUUAUAUCAAGAAUGUCCUGAGAAUUUCACCACCUCUUGAGAAUUCUCGAUAUAAGUGAUACUUCACCAUCACCAUUCCUUUCUUGGUCCCCGUGUUGUUCCUAACAGGAAUACCGACAGAUGGACUAGUAAUUUUAAAACUGCUAGCAACCUUAUUGCUUUGAAGUUAAUGGUCAACAUUUCAAUCUUAGACCAUGGGUUAUCGAAUCGCCAUUCUAACAUUGUUUGUGCUACCUAAGUCCGUAUUUCGGGUGCACCGUCAACCAAUGUUUAAUCGUGUAUGUUUCCUCGAGCAUACCUCAUUAUAUCAUUUGAACUGACAAAAGCUAUCUCCUUGUUCACAUAAUUGUGGAAAUCCAUCUUCUGGAAAUCUCGAUGAAUUGUCGCUGAGUCCAUCAGCCACCUCCUAACCCUCCCCUUGAAUUAAUGAUGAACUUUUGUUUCAGAACUAGCUUCCAUGGUUCAUUUCCCGAGAAAUCUUACGAUGUCUUAUCGUCAAUUUGUGUCGCACCUUUUUCUUCUCAGGCAUCCUAAGUCUGAGGUAUCGUGACACCAAUCAGAUCUGAAUCUCGGUCAGAUAUGAUGGUUGGAACAUAUUUCCAAGAGUUAUAACAUUGGUCUCUACAUAACCCGGUAAGGUGGUGUCUUUGCUUAGCACCCCUAGCCAGAGGACCUUUUGUUAUAAUUUCCUUUUUAGCAAGGUUAACUAUUCUUCCAUGAGGAAAUUGUAAGACUUACUCUAUAAGUUGUUCCUGAUGGAUCCUUUGUGUAUCCAUGGACUGAUCUUACCUAUUGACCAUGUCAAUGCUAUCUCGAAGCAUGUCUAUGAUACUCUGAUUUUCAACAGGAACAUUUGAAUCCCAAAGCUAAUUGUUUCCUACUCAAUUAUCCAAACACCGUUGUAUGGGUAAUGUUGAGGAUAUAGACCUUAGAGUCACCCGCCAGGAGGGGCCGGGUUACUCAUAUGGUCAUUGCCAGAAGCCCGGCGCCAAGCUUAAAGACGGUGGGCCAAAGAUGGGUUUAAGACCCGGAUAUGGCUUAAGGCCUGUAGUUACAAUCAUUAUUAUGGUAGAACUUGUAGUGUAAGGCAAGAAUAGUUGAGAGUCCGAGCCGGACACUCUUAUGAGCCGGCCGGGACUCUGAGAGCUGCAGGGCGUCAGCCUCCCUAUAUAAAGGGACGACCCGGCAGCAGUUUGACGGCGACAACAAUCUCAUCGAGAGCCGGGCAUAGAAGUUUAGCUCCCUGGUCAUCGAAACCCUAAUCAACACCACCUCAACUGGACGUAGGCUUUUACCUUCAUCAUAAGGGGCCGAACCAGUAUAACCUUCGUGUUCCUUGUCCCGUUUAACCCCUUCAAGCUUCCUAGCUGCGAUGGCUCCACGACUAAGUCCUAGCUCAAGGACAUCUGCCGUGAUAACUCCACGACAGGUAAUGUCAUGAAAUUUCUCUCCCCUACCUAAAGAGUUUUCUACCUUAUAUCCUGUCAUGGAUACCAUGCUCAGCUUGUCCUUGGGAAGGAUAUACCCUUGAAAUAUGUGUUUAAACACAUUUUCCUUUCCAUUGUUCUGUUUAAUCUGAUGAUCACCCUUUUCCUUUCCAUUAUUUUAUUUAAUCUUUCUUGUGGUCUAUAUGAUCUAAGCAGUAAUAAUUCACUGCUUAUGUAAACACCUCGAUGUACUACUCUGUCAAUAAGACCCUGUUACUACUGUUGAUGACAUUCCGGUAGCCACCGAUGGACGAGAACCUUGCCUAUUGGUCCGCCUCGUUCAACGAGCAGGAAAAUGGUUCUCUUCGUCCCUCGCCCUUGGUACCGAUAUUGUCGCCAACAUAAUUGGCAGGCUAUCCUCUGACAUGCCUUGCUUACAUGAUCAUGCAAGAUGUCAGCACCCUUUCUAGUUUAACCCACAAGGUGGGCCCAUAACCCACAGUUCCACAGGAUCGAAACCUGACUCUCCUGUACACCCCUAUUUUGAAAGUUGUCCCUUACGCUUGGCUUCGUAUGCAAUUCAUGAGCCACCUUCCUAGUGAUCUGUUCUGGUGUCAGAUGCAAUACUUAAUCUCGAUGCUCUGAACCCCUUUCACACACUUUUUCAGACAUCGAACGAUUGCCUAUCCGCUUGGAACUUCUUAUUGCACCUUCUUACCUUGCUCUCGAUGACUUUCUUGAAUUUCAACUCGAGAGAUGCAUCUACGCCUCGUUCACUGAGAUAGCCCCCAGGUACCUAGCAUGUGUUGAGCUUCGUCCUUCCCGAGUCUUCCCCCUUAACCUUUUCCGUAAGUACGAUGGUGGCCCUGAAGAAAGGAUGCCGGCUUCAUCACGAUGACUUCAAGCAGAGAAAUGAAGACAUCGACAUAGUGGAUCGACCUCUUCGAGAUGAGCAACCAAGACCGAGGAGAAUCAUUAGAAUUUCGUAACCUAGUCUUUCCCCCUUACCCCACCGCUUAAAUCUCGGGACGAGAUUUCUUGUAGUGGAGGAGAAUUGUGACGCCCGGAUAAUUAAGCUACAGUAAACCUCUGUUAACGAUGCCACGUCACCAUGAUUACUGUUAUUAAUCUGGUGUUAGUCCGAAACCGAUUAUAAUUCAAAAUUCAAAAUCAAGCAAACAAUAAAAGUUUUCAAAUAUUAAAACUAAAAUGUUCAAUAAAUAGUAGAUAAAUUAGAGGCUAUGAUAAAAUUGUAAACAACAUUAUUGAAAUUUGAUAAGUGACUUAAACAACCUCAAACAGUGGAUGAAAACAUUAUUUAAUAACCUUUUAUUAAUACAAAAGAAACAUGAAAUGAUAUUUACCCCAAACUAGUUUUUGGUGGUAGGAUAUAUUGGGCUGUGAAUUGUGGGUCGGCUCUCAUAUUUUACAAAACUCAUUUGAUGCCCAAACAAUUAGCCAAAACAGAAAAGAAAUAGAAUAAUAAUAAUAAAAGAAAAAAAAGCAGAAGANNNNNNNNNNNNNNNNNNNNNNNNNNNNNNNNNNNNNNNNNNNNNNNNNNNNNNNNNNNNNNNNNNNNNNNNNNNNNNNNNNNNNNNNNNNNNNNNNNNNNNNNNNNNNNNNNNNNNNNNNNNNNNNNNNNNNNNNNNNNNNNNNNNNNNNNNNNNNNNNNNNNNNNNNNNNNNNNNNNNNNNNNNNNNNNNNNNNNNNNNNNNNNNNNNNNNNNNNNNNNNNNNNNNNNNNNNNNNNNNNNNNNNNNNNNNNNNNNNNNNNNNNNNNNNNNNNNNNNNNNNNNNNNNNNNNNNNNNNNNNNNNNNNNNNNNNNNNNNNNNNNNNNNNNNNNNNNNNNNNNNNNNNNNNNNNNNNNNNNNNNNNNNNNNNNNNNNNNNNNNNNNNNNNNNNNNNNNNNNNNNNNNNNNNNNNNNNNNNNNNNNNNNNNNNNNNNNNNNNNNNNNNNNNNNNNNNNNNNNNNNNNNNNNNNNNNNNNNNNNNNNNNNNNNNNNNNNNNNNNNNNNNNNNNNNNNNNNNNNNNNNNNNNNNNNNNNNNNNNNNNNNNNNNNNNNNNNNNNNNNNNNNNNNNNNNNNNNNNNNNNNNNNNNNNNNNNNNNNNNNNNNNNNNNNNNNNNNNNNNNNCCUGCUCCGCUGCUGCGGCCUCACCGGCCGCGUGCCCCCCACCGCGCGACCACGCUCACCCCGCCUCGGCCGCGCCCGUGGCUGCGUCCAGCGGCGCCGUGGCCUCGCCGUCGUGUCCUUUCCCCGCCGUGGCUCGCAUCCGUCCCGCUCGCCGCCCCUGCUUCACUCCCCGUCCGCCCUUACGCCGCGCCCGUCUCCAGCCGUCGCCGCCUCCUGCCACGACCCUCUAGUGCCCCCCUCCACUCAGCCAUGCCGGCCCCGAGCGCGACGGCUGCAUCCCGCUCGCCCGGCCUGGCCGCGCCUCCUACUUCCCACUUCCCGCCUAACCGUCUGCACCGCCGCGACCUUGGGCUCGCCCACACGGGGGCCGCACGCGCUAGCCGCUGCCGGCUCCGGUCGCCGUGGCCCUGCCCCCCCCCUCCGCGCCUGGUGCUGGCGCUCGUCGCCGACGCCUUCUCUGUGCAAGAGCGCACAGCGAGAGACACUUGGCCGUGUGCCACUGGCCAAUGGGGCCCGUUCCCUGAAAAGGAAAAGAGACAAAAACAAAAGAGAAAGAAAAAGAUUUGGUAAAAAAAUAAAAAUAAAAAUAAUAAAAAAUUUAAUUAAUUUAUUAAUUAACUAUAUUAAUCUUGUUUAAAUUAAUCUAAUUAAUUAGUUAAUUUAAUUAAACAGUUAUUAAUUAGCUAAACCCGAAUUAAACUAAGCAGUGUAUGACAUGCGGGACCCGCACGUCAGUUUGACCCAGUCAACGCCCUGUUGACUGCUGACGUCAUGCUGACGUCAGCAUGCACUGUUCUGGAUAAUGUUGUAUUAAAUUAAUUAAAUAAAUGCUAAAAUUAAUUUAAAUCUUUUAAAAUUCAUAUAAAAUAAACCGUAGCUCGAAUGAAAAUACUUUGUACAUGAAAGUUGCUGAGAACGACGAGACGAAUUCAGAUACGCAGCCCGUUCGUCCGCCACGCGUCCCUAGCAUAGUGAACCUGUAACAUUUCACCUUCGGUUCAUCUGUCGAAAACGCGAAACACCGGGAAUACCUUCCCGGAUGUUUCCCCCCUUCAUCGGUAUCACCUACUACCGCGUUAGGGCACACCUAGCACCGCGUAUUGUCAUGUCACGCUUUGUGAUUGAUUGCUUUGUUAUUUAUUGUGUUCCCCCUCCGUUACUUCUUUCCGGUAGACCCCGAGACUGCCGGUGACCCCAGUUCGACUAUGGAGUUGACGACCCUUCCUUGCCAAAGCAACCAAGCAAGCCCCCCCCUUGAUCACCAGAUAUCGCCUAUUCCUUCUCUAUACUGCUUGCAUUAGAGUACUGUAGCAUGUUACUGCUUACGGUUAAUCCUAUACUGAUGCAUAGCCUGUCAUUGUUGCUACAGUUGUUACCCUUACCUGCUAUCCCACUGCUUAGUAUAGGAUGCUAGUGUUCCAUCAGUGGCCCUACACUCUUGUCCGUCUGCCAUGCUAUACUACUGGGCCGUGAUCACUUCGGGAGGUGAUCACGGGUAUAUGCUAUAUACUUUAUAUACAUGACACAUGUGGUGACUAAAGUCGGGUCGGCUCGUUGAGUACCCGCAAGUGAUUCUAAUGAGGGGGCUGAACGGACAGGUGGCUCCAUCCCGGUAGAGGUGGGCCUGGGUUCCUGACGGCCCCCGACUGUUACUUUAUGGCGGAGCGACAGGGCAGGUUGAGACCACCUAGGAGAGAGGUGGGCCUGGCCCUGGUCGGCGUUCGCGGAUACUUAACACGCUUAACGAGAUCUUGGUAUUUGAUCUGAGUCUGGCCAUUUGGUCUAUACGCACUAACCAACUACGCGGGAACAGUUAUGGGCACUCGACGUCGUGGUAUCAGCCGAAGCUCUUCUUGACGUCAGCGACGGAGCGGCGCGCGCCGGAUUGGACUGGAACGCCUGCUAGGCUAGGUCUGCUUCCGGCCGCGUACGCAACGUGCAGGUGUGCAAUGGGCGAUGGGCCCAGACCCCUGCGCGCAUAGGAUUUAGACCGGCGUGUUGACCUCUCUGUUGAGCCUAGGUUGGGCUGCGACGUGUUGAUCUUCCGCGGCUGGGCAUGACUCAGAAAAGUGUGUCCGGCCAAACGGGAUCGAGCGUGUUGGGUUAUGUGGUGCACCCCUGCAGGGAAGUUUAUCUAUUCGAAUAGCCGUGUCCCUCGGUAAAAGGACGACCCGGAGUUGUACCUUGACCUUAUGACAACUAGAACCGGAUACUUAAUAAAAUACACCCUUCCAAGUGCCAGAUACAACCCGGUGAUCGCUCUCUAACAGGGCGACGAGGAGGGGAUCGCCGGGUAGGAUUAUGCUAUGCGAUGCUACUUGGUGAACUUACCAUCUACUCUCUUCUACAUGCUGCAAGAUGGAGGUGGCCAGAAGCGUAGUCUUCGACAGGAUUAGUUAUCCCCCUCUUAUUCUGCCAUUCUGCAGUUCAGUCCACUGAUAUGGCCCUUUACACAUAUACCCAUGCAUAUGUAGUGCAGCUCCUUGUUUGCGAGUACUUUGGAUGAGUACUCACGGUUGCUUUUCCCCCUCUUUUCCGCCUUUCCCUUCUACCUGGUUGUCGCAACCAGAUGCUGGAGUCCAGGAGCUAGAGAUCCCGAGGAUGAUUCUACAUGGAGUUCGGCUUGGAGGAGUAGUUAGGAGGUCCCAGGCAGGAGGCCUUGCCUUUUCGAUCGUUUCUACUUUUGUGCUAGCCUUCUUAAGGCAAACUUGUUUAACUUUUGUCUGUACUCAGAUAUUGUUGCCUCCGCUGAUUCGACUAUGAUCGAGCACUUGUAUUCGAGCCCUCGAGGCCCCUGGCUUGUAAUUAUGAUGCUUGUAUGACUUAUUUAUGUUGUAGAGUUGUGUUGUGAUAUCUUCCCGUGAGACCAUGAUCUUGAUCGUACACAUUUGCGUACAUGAUUAGUGUACGGUCAAAUCGGGGGCGUCACAUUCAUAUGAUACAAUACUGAGGAUACAAUCUGGGGGAGCUAAAUCCCACGAAACCGAAACAGUAUUACAUAAACCAAACCGAGCUAAUUCAUGGGCCGCCUUAUUCGCGCUCCUCCGGACCCAUGUAGCCUUGAAAUCUCCCAAAUUCCUCGCCAUCGUCUUGAUCUCUUAUACAAUAAUGCCCACCGUCGACAGGUUUCUUUCUUUCUUAUUCAGCAUCCUAGCCACCACCAGGCAGUUAGUUUCCACAUGCAGUUUUGGGAUGUCUUGCUGUAGCGCCAUUUGCACCGCUGUUCUGCAUGCCAACAACUCAGUGGUCUCUGCCUGCGAAAUCCCAGGAAGGAAAACAGAUGCCGCACCUCUAAAUACGCCCAACUCGUCCCUGAAAACAACACCCGCACCUCCGUCCUGUCCCGACCGAGAAGUAGCCCCGUCGACGUUUGCUUUAAGCCCGCCAGUCGCCGGUGGUUCCCAUAUCGCAUGUUGAGUUGUUCUUGAUGAAGUUUAUUCGCGAGCACGCACCCUCUUCCAUUCGUCCAUCAACGCUGCAACCCGCCUCGCCACCGAGUCCGCCUCUUCAAUGCGUUUUCCAUCCCUUGUGUCAUUCCUUGCCAUCCACAGGGCGUAUAGACCUUGGAUCAUCGCAGCCUUGUCAUCAUCGGAUGCCUCGGACAUCCACUGGAGCAGCCACGAUGCAAGCUAGCUCUGGGUGCAGAACAACCGAGGUGGGGUCGCCACCCUCGCACCCAAUACCGAACUCAACUCUUUCCAGAAGCACAUGGAAUGAUAGCAGCCCCAAAACCUGUAAUGCACCAUUUCUUCGCGCCCGCACGCCGGACAGAAAACACCUGGUUUGAUUUUCCUCCGGAGUAGCUCAGAACCCACCGCUAGGCUGUUCCUAAUCAGCCGCCAUAUGUGAAUGAGUGCCUUGCCCGGUGCAUUUGUACUCCACAGCGCCAGCCAGCCUCGAUGUGUUGCUACCGAAGAGGACGAGCCGGGCUGUCCCGAUCUCGUCCGCUUCUUUUCCAUACCCAGGUGGUAUGCUGACUUGACCGAAAAAUGACUGUUCUUUGUAAAGUUCCAAGCAAGUGUAUCUUCUGUUCCCGCACCCCCAACACAAAUUUGCAGAAUAUCAUGAACGUCUCCCUCUGAGAACAUCGCCUCCAGCUUGGGGCGAUCCCAUCCCGAAGCAUCUGCGUUGAGGAGAUCGCUCACUCGCGUGAUUCCUGGCACAAAAACUUGGCCCAGCGGCCGAAGGCUACCUUUGCGUGGUAUCUAGCUAUCAUGAUGUAUGUGAAUACUCGAGCCGUCCCCCACUCUCCAUAUAAGUCCCUCAAGCAACAAGUCCCUGCCAAACAAAAUGCUUUUGAAGGUGUAGGAAGCACCACUCGGACAUGUUGCAUUGAGGAUAGUCCCAUCAGCAAAAUAGCAUGCCUUGAGGACUCGUGCACACAGCGAAGAGGGGACAAGCAUAAUUCUCCACGCUUGCUUUCCAGUAACGCUUGAUUAAAAACCUCCAUAUCCCGAAAACCCAUGCCACCUUCACGUUUGCUCGCACACAUUUCCUGCCAAGCGAUCCAGUGUACCUUUUUUUCACCGUUAGCUUCACCCCAUCAAAAGUUAGAAGAGAUAGAUGUCAGGUUCCCGCACAAUUUCUUGGUGAGUUGGAAGCAACUCAUGGUGAAAGUUGGGGUAGACUGGAGCCCCGAUUUAACCAGCACCUCACGAGCUUUCUUGGAUAAACCUUGGCCCUUCCAUCCCGUGACCUUUCCCUUAACAUUCUCCCUAGCAUAUUUGAAAGUACCUUCUUUGGACUUGCCCACUGCGGUAGGCAGACCCAAAUAUUUCUCACUCAGUGCUUCCGAAUUGAUUCCGAUGGCCGCCUUGAGCUGCUCUUUGCUCUCCUCGUACUCCCCUUCCCAAAAAAUAUGGCCGACUUUUGCAGUACUAGUAUAUGUGUAGCAUAUGGCGUGUCAACACGACCACAGCUCAGAUCUCCCGUUUUAAUUUCCGCAGGAUGUACGUACUUGUUGGCGAGUCAACCACAUUACCGUACCAAUAGGCGAGGCAGCAUUCACUCUCCAAAGACUUGAAUGCAAACCGGCACAUGGGCGCCGGCGAUCUCCAAGCUCCUCCUCCGGUCCGAGUCCAAGAAGAAAGGACACCGCCUAGCUAGCUGGGAUUUACUCUAUGACGAGCUGUGAGCCGACGGGGGGUUGACGACGACCUGCGUCGCGCUGCAUGCAUGCAUGCAUAGAGCUUGAGUGGCAUAAAGAGCAGGGGCAGGGCAAGCCAUGUGCACGCAGAGGAGGGAGGCAGGGUGUGAAGGCCACGGACGUUGCCUGCCCCGACCGGCGAGCGACGACCGAGAAAGGCAGAGGCGACGACCGCGACGCUCGCCCUCGACCGGACCCGGACAACCGUUGCCAUCAACCGCGCGGAUGCGCCACCGCGUGGCGUCGCCGCGGCACACGUAGUCACGUAGUUCGAUCGGCCGUGCGCUCUGGCUGGCGCCUGCCGCUGCCAGGCACGGCAUGAAUUCCUCCUAGCCUCAUCUUGUUCACGUGAACAGUGAACCAGCAGGCAGCAACGAAGAGAUUUUAUUUGCUGGUGGGUGUGAUGGGGGAGCAGAAGGGCAGCGACGAGUGGGCGAUGGAUUCUGCUGCUGCGAUCGAUCGAGAAACGGAGAGUGUAGCACGGGCAGGCAACACAGGCUGGACGGUUCGCGAGCUAUCCCUGGUGUCGCCGGAAAAGGCAUUUUUUCGUAUUUUUGCUACCAGGCUCCAGGUAGCAUUUUACUUUUUUUGUUUUUUUGCGGGGUAGCAUUUUACUUAUUUUCAUGAAAAACUUUAUUUUUUACAUUUAAAAAAUUACAGGGAAAAUAUGUGCAUAUGCGUAUACAUGUAUAGUAUCUAUGCAUGAAUUUUCGUCAAAAAGGAUAAUUUCAUAUGAGUGCACACAAAGAGACAUAUACACCUAUCUGAAGGAGCUUAUAUUUUUUCCGUGUGAAAGAUUAUCCUUUCAUUUACCAGAAAAAGAGGAAGAAUUAGUAGGGGAUUUCUGAACAAAGAGAGAGAAUGAAUCUCCUUAUUUAUAGGGAACAGGACGUGUGACUUCCUCAAAUGAAACGAAUAUGGCUUUCGUGAUAAGGCAAAAAAAAUGGGGCUUAUAUAUUCUUUUCUAUUUAGACCAAUAUUUGACUUUAUGUGUAGCCUACAAAUGAUUAAAUUACUACAUGGAACUUGACAGGUAUGUGAAAAUAAGUAUUUGUAUUAACCGGAAAUUUUUAUUUUUUAAAACUUUAAAAUAGUUUUCCCAAGCAACACAGGCACACAGCUGCCAAACUUCUUAGGGCAUGUACAAUGGUUGAUAAAGGUAGUCUUAUCUUAAGUCUUGCAUGUAAUUUAGAGAUGACAAAAUAUUUUGUCUACAAUGGGUUAUCUCUUAGCCUUAUCUUCAAUAACUAGUCAUUCCUAAAAACAUGGUGAGACAUAUUGUGCUAAGAGAUCAUCUCUUGUCUUUUCUUAAAUAAGAGAAGACAACUCUUUUCUUAUAAGUUCUCUCUCCUCCACCUCAUCACUUAUCCUAUGUGGCACUGAUAAGAUAGCAUCAUUGUACAUAACCUUACUCAUGGAAUCCACUGAAGCGUCAGAUCGGUGGUCCCUGCCGAAAACAAAGGAUUAGAUCGGUGGGCGCACUCCCACGUUAAUUUUUUUAAGCAAUGAUAUUCUUACGUAAGGAUUCUACAAACAUAAGAUUACAUACUAGUUCAUUUUAUGCCAGUUGGAUAAAAUCAUGGAAGCGGUUAUAGAUGGGAACACACUUGUACGUAGAGAUUUUGUACAAACUUUACGUAACAAUAGCAUUUUCGAUUUUUUUUCAAAAAAUAGUUUCUUAGAAAUAUAUUUAAGAAAUCAGAUAUCAAAUAGAUAAUUAAAUAUAUUUGAAGAUAUUUGUCUUUUAUUUUCAAAUAUUUUUCUUGUAUUUAUAAUGGUCGUUCUGUAUUUUCUAUUUCAUUUUUUCUAAUUAAUCAAAACGUUAUAUCAUCUAUUUAUAAAAUGCAUGUACAUUUUUCUUGAAAUGGUCAUCCGGCACUACUAGGAAAAGGCUAAUUAGUGGCACACAUGUUUUGGCCAUUAAUGGCGCACUACAGGUGCGCCACUAUCAUCACGCCAUUAGUAACUAAUACUAAUGCCGCACCCCUGGUGCGCCAUUAGUAUACCAGACAGUAGUGGCGCAUCAGGGAGUGCGCCAUUAGUAUGUCAAACGGUGCGCCAUUACUAUGCCUCCCAGUGGGCCAUAUUUACCUUGUGCUCUGGGUUACUAAUGGCGCACUACUACAUAGUGCGCCACUAGUGUGUUUAUUGCAGUGCGCCACUAAAGUUCUGUGUGGUGCGCCACUAGUAUGAAUAUUAGGAAUUUUUUUCUUUUCUGAUAUUUGCACAGGUUACAAAAUAUAUUACUGCACAAAAUAUAGACAGCACAACAUAUAAACAGCAGAUUUAUCGAAUACAAUAGAAGAUUAGUCUCCGAAUACAAUUCAUCAUAUUAGUCUCCGAAUUCAAAAGACCGAACAAAGUUAGAACAUUACAAGUCUCGAGACCGCGAGUAGCGAGUUUGUCUUCACAUUACAAGUCGAUAUCGAUCAUCUAAACUACCAUCACAUAGAAGAGAGCUGCGGUCAUCACGAUUAGCAUCAUCGCGAUGAAACUGGUCUUCAUCCGGUUCCUCCUCCGAUCCCUCCUCUCUCCCGCUAGAUAGCGCGCGUAUCUAGCUUCCGCCUCCGCCCUAGUGGUGUACCCUUUGUAAGUGUUACCGCUGAAACGGUGAACCUGUCUCCGACACUCCUCCCAGUCGUCGUAGACUCCGAGAACCUUACCUUUGUACACGACAUACGACGGCAUCUCUAUGCACUAGCCAAACAAAACGUUAGUAGCAAUUCACAGACAAUACAUAAGCAAUAUAUAAGUAUGCAACGAAAGGAUCGGAAGAGAAAAGCAAGACAUUAAUAGCACGAUUCAUGGUCCUACUAAUAAAUAGCAUCGAUUACAUAUAAGUUGAGCGACUGUCCAAACCAAAGAGACAUACAAAUUCAUUAAAGUUUAAUUACAACAUGAGCUAAUCGAUAUUUCAGAACUACAUAGCAUCACUACUUUCAACUCGACUCAGGGACCGGAGCGUGGAUGAAGCCGCCGUCUGUCGUGAUGGUCAUGAAAUCGCGGGCGUUGUCAGCCUGCAUUUGUAGCGUUGUUUCUAUCUCACUGUUGGACGGUUGAUAUCUGAGGUAGAACUGCCCCGAGGUACGAAGGACAUCUUGAUGGAUGAUUUCCGCAAACUCCGACUAGAUGCGAAAGAAUUCUUGUCUGAUGUCCGCGUCCUGGAUUGCCGACAAGCGUACGGCCCAAUCUUUGAGAUUAUUUGGUAGCAGAAGGUGAUUAUGGUCCCGUACGAUCGCCCACAUGUGAUGGAGGGCGUAGUAGGCAUCCUUCUGACCGCCAGGCGGCUGCUUGACGCAGGGGAACGUCGUAUUGUGGGUGAACACGUGCUUGCCGUACCUACAAACUGGCCUGCUGAAGGUGCCUCCAGAUCUGGCGUAGCCGGGGAGAACAUCAUCAAGAACUUUCUUGAUAUUUGUGUAGUCUUUCUUCGACUGACGGUCCGAGUCGAAAUACGUGGCCAUGGAAUAUUUCGGGCUUAAGAGGAUGAGUGUGCAAUGUGUGUCACUACACAAAACACGGAAUGUUAGAAAAAAAAGAACGAUCGAAAUCUAAGAAAUCAUAUGUUAUGGGGCGGUGAGGGGAUGACUUACUCGGGAAAGUAAGGCACGAGGAAGUUAUUCUUAUCUGGGUUUGCCAGAAUGACGCCUUCGAGGUAUGAACUCGCGACUUGCCGGUCCCCAGCGCUGCCCAAGAUCUUGGCACGCAUGUAGAAGGGGUCGACUAUCACGAUGUCCGGGGUCUUGUCUCUAAUGAUCCGCAUCUCCAUACUCAGCGAAAAUAGCCGAACAAAGGUGUAGUGCAGCGGAUGAAAGUUAAAUAUAGCGAAGACGUCAUCAAACCGCAGGACGAUCGUACCCCCGAUGGCGCUAUCCACAAAGCCCUUGCCCUCUGGCACCUUGGCCACGAAAACCGGGUAUGCCCCAUCAUUCUCGGAGAGACGCUGCUUCUCCAAAGAAAGAACACUGUCAUGCAGACUCCGCAUAGCACCGGUUGCAGCAUUGAGCAGAUUAGUCGGUAGCAUCGGCCUACCCACCACAUGCACCCUCCUCGAGAUAUCCUUAGGUGAAGGUGGCCCGUCCUGAGCACGGAUCGUACUCGGUGCCGGCUGGCUCGCACCCUUGUUAGUCUUUCUUUUCCGUCCCUUCUUCUUCUACUGUAAUGGGAUCGAGUUCUGCUCAGAGACCGCCUUCUUGAGUGUGUUCGGGCUGAUAAUAUUUCGCACCUCGGCUAUCUGAGGCUCGGUGAAGGCAGCAGCUGGAGGCGUCUCCUGAGAACUGAACGCCAGACGACGCCUGUUGCAAUUGGGUUUCUCCGCGGUACCAGCUAGAUCGUCUUUUGCAGGGUUGGGUUCUUGAGAAGGAGGCCCCAAGAAUUCGUCACCGUACCCAUGUUCGUUGAAGUACUUCUCGACGUUGGUAUAUGUACCGUCGUCGUUGUCCGGAUCCUGUGCCAUAUGCUUGUCCGGAUCCUGUGCGAUAUGCAUGUCCAGCAUGUCCGGUAGUGUUGCGGGGGUCUUGCCAUGGCUUGGCGCCGGCACGACUGGCGGUGUUGUCUGUGGGGUGGUGUCCCCCGCCCCCAAACGAAUCUGGCUCUUCGGCCAAAGCAUGGGCCAGCUUAUGCAGGCGCAGAGGGUCAUCACAUCAUCUUCGUCGGCCCUAUGGGGUCGAUACGAAGGUAAUAUGUCGUCGAAGCCCAGCAGGACCCGAACCAGUUGAACCCUAUAAACGGUGGGUGGCAUCUGAUUACCGUGGAACACGCGGCUGCCCGGUCGAACGAUUCUUCCCUUGGCGACAUCGACCAACUCGUCAUUCACGAAGUGCAGGAUAGUGCACGGAACGUCGGCGGCGCCCUGCGAAAACAUGUAGGGCGUCAGGGAUGCCCAGUCAAAGGCAAGGAGAUGAAGUCAUUGGCCGAGAGGCUUAAUUAGUUACAGUGAUGGCGUCGAGCUCGGCUAAUGUCGAGGCACCGCCAACGGCGGGCGUGCAAUUGACGGAGGGGCCGCUUGCUGCCGAGGUGCCGGCCGGCGUAUUCUUCCCACACCCGGGUGCAUUAAGCUGCAAUGCCGGCGCCACCGCGGGAGACACAAAUGCCGCCUCCGCCGGAGACACCAAUGGCGCCGCCGCGGGAGACACCAAUGCCGCCUCCGCCGGAGACACCAAUGGCGCCGCCGGCGCGUUGCGCGAGCUGCUGGCUGUGAAGCUGGGAAUCGGGGGCGGCCCUGUUGGCCGCCCGCCAUCCAUGCCUGCAGCCCAGAAACCAAGGUAGGUAUAAUGGCGGUGAUCGUCGCUCCCAGUUGGUCUCGCACUUGCUCUUCGACCAUCUCUGGAAUCCGCGCCACUUGUGCCUUGAGUUGUUGAACCUCGUGCUCCUGGAUUUCCGAGCUGUUCUUCUCUCCUUUCGCCCAGCGGUAUAGUACUCCGACCAUUUCGUGGACAAGCCUUUGCCGGCCACACGACCAGCUGACGACGGCUUACUGAGCUUAUCCUUGUUUUUCAUUACGUUCAACGCCCUAUUUAAAGGGGUGUCGAAAGGGGAGCUCUGAGACGACCCCGCGCUACUUCUUUCAGUGUCCUAUGGAAGGAACGUGAACCAUUUAGAAAUUUGGCUUCAUUAAUUAGAAUGAAACCAUAUGGAGCUAAUUACGCGGGGGUGUAUUCCUUACCAGAACACGCUCAAGUGCCUUGGUCUUCGGAUCCAUGGUAAGCUCCUUGGUUACCGGGUCAAUCUUGUACCGGGCCCUGACAUAGUUCCUGGUCUGCUUGUCACGGUAUUUCUCGAAGAGGGGCGGUAGGCCUUGCUCGGCACGCUCCGCGUCCUCCUUGUCCCAUAUAGGUUCCGCCACUCUGUAACCGCCGGGACCGAGUUUGUGGACCCCUAAGUUCAAGUCCCGCAUAUCUUUCCCCCACUGACUUGAUUCCGCAGAUGCGUUGCUCUCGCACUUGAUCUUGAACUCCCGGUUGUCAUCUUCGCUGAUCGAAGGAUUAUUCUCCUUGAUCUUCUCAUAACUAUCACCUUUUUCAAUCAUGCUCUUCACCGUGGCUCUCCAAGUAGCCAGGGCCAUGCUCAUCUUCGUUAGGGCGGCACUGUUCACUUUAUUCCCUGAGAGGUGUGUGUUUGCGAAGUCACCGGGGAACUUGUAUCGUUCGUGCAGCUUCGUGAAGAGGAGGUUGCGCAAAUUCCCUCGGUCACGAUGCCUUAGGUUCUCGGUGUUGAUCGAGACGGUGCUCCGGAGAAUGCACCCGAGCUGUCCCGCGUACCCCUUGACUAUUUCUUUGGGCGCCGUUGGAUGCCCCUCGGAGGACACUUCAGUAAAUUCCUCCUUGACGGUGCCGAGCAGGUUCGGGCGCCGAUCCUUCCGUUGCCUCUUCGGUUGGCUGUCAUUUGUGCGUGCGCUGGCAUCAUCAGUGGUGGCAUCCUCGGCGGCACCAUCAGUGGUGUCAUCCCCGACGCCACUAGGGGUUCUGUAGUCAGGAUCGGUGUCUUCCGCGGCGUCCUCAUAGCGGUGAGGUUCUUCCUCCAUCUCCUGGGACAGCUCCCAGAAUGCCUUGCCCGAACUGCCGGCCUCAUCGUUGUGGGCCAUGUUUCGCUCUAAAUAGGAAAAAAGUUUGGUCAAAAAGUUGGUUAUUGUCAAGGAACAAGAUCAUGGUCUCAUCAUUUAGGGUUUGUCGACACCGAGGCAUCCUAAAAGCUAAGCUUUUAUCAUUUAGGGUUUGUCGACGCCGAGGCACCCUAAAAGCCUAAGCUUUCAUCAUUUAGGUUUUUAUCGACACCGAGGCACCCUAAAAGCCAAGGUUUUAUCAUUUAGGGUUUGUCGACGCUGAGGCACCCUAAAUGCUAAGUUAAGUUUUCAUCAUUUAGGGUUUAUCGAUGCCGAGGCACCCUAGGUUGACUGAUAUAUAUGGGUAUCUUCUAAUAAUAUACCCUAUCAAGAAAAGGGAAGGAGAAUUCUAAGUUGGGCCUAAUCACUUGGCUCUAUUGCCACCUAUGGUUUAAUGCAGCAAGAAUAAAGGGGUAGUUGUCCUACUUAAUUAAGUACUAAGAUACCCCGGCCCAUGCAUUAGUCGCAAGUACCCCAUAUGUCCUAUUUUUAGCAAAGUCAUGCUAAAAUUCACGGAAAAUUUCAGCAUGACCUUUGCUGAAAAUAGGACAUAUGGAGUACCCGAAUUUGCCGGAACGGAAGUUAAUCGAAAUUCCGACAAACUCAAGGGCCUCUCGGGGUACAGCGACAGCAUCACAAGUUGACAAAAUUCCCAAGUAGUACAGCAGCAGCAUCACAAGUAGUACCAAUGAACAUAUAGUCCAGCACAUUCUGAAUUUGUUUGUCAAAGUGUUAGUAAGCAUCACCCCCACAAUGUGCAUCCCUUGAUUCCCUUCUCACCAGCAAACCACACCAAUGCUCUAACUAGUGUACAUAAUUCAUUCACCAUGACCACAUUUUCUUUUCUUUAUACAGAAGCCUUUCACUAUAACUGUCUGAUCCUAGCAAAGACAUGCAUGACACAUAACCACUCCCACCAAACCUGCAGAAGUGCAAUAACUAAAAACGCUGAAGUUCUCAGCAUGAAGAAUCACACAACACAGCACCUACAUUAUGAUGAUACAUUUGGAUCUUCAUAGGAGCAUACAACAAUGCAGGGAAAAAGAAGGGACUUAAUUUCGAUAGUAAUUUGACCAAGUUGUGUUAUAAAAUGCGGACCGAGUAUCACAGAGCAAACAUGAUACUACCACAAAACCUAUAGUUCUUGCAAAAGUGGAAGAAAAGUAUGGGAGGCAAAGCAAGUUCAUUGAUCACAAUAUGAUAUAUAAAAUUAUCAACUGCAGACCUGAAUGCAUGCAAUUCGGCCUUUCCCAAGCAGUGAUGGUAACUGAAAGUAUAACAACUAAAAACUCUGCUCUAGUGCAUGUGUCCAAUAGUGCCAUCAUAACAGAACUUGGAAAACUUUUCCCAAGGAAUGAGAGAAACUGAAAGUAGCAAGUAAAAACUCUGCUCAUCAUAACAGAGCUUGGAAAAUUUAUAGGUCAUUUCAUACUACAUUCAAUUAAAAACAGAUGCAGGAAGACAAGAGAAUCUUGUCCUACACUAAACUAAUACAACCAAACAAAUUAAUUGAAGAAAAACUACUGAAACUAUACAAGCACUACAGUCAGAUUACACAAAAGUACUGAUGCAAGCAGUAUAGUACACAAAACUUGCAAACUUACAAGCACUACUGCAACUUAAUUAAGCUACUGGAGUAAGUGAAUCAACUGCACUUAAUUAAGCUACUGGAGUAAGUAACUCCAUGGAGUACUCACUGGAGUACAGCUAAAUUUUCAGGAGUACUUCUCUAGCAUAAGCAACUGCUGACAACUUUCAUACUCCAAUGAGCAGUGGGUACACAAUUCAUAGUUUGUACAACACAAUUCAUACUUACUAUUAGUUUGUACAACUACUGUAUAAUAUAGGAGUAUGUGUGAAGAACUGCCACUUAAUAUAGGAGUAGUAGAAAAAGAAAAAGAAAAAAGCUGCCUUGCAGCAUAAUGCUCCAUCCAUAUAUAAGGACCACUAAUCAUUUACUCUACUUAAUUACCCAGAUUAACUAGUUGAUGAUGAGAGAAUUAUAUAUAAAUGCAUCCAUCCAUCAUCAUUCAAUUCAAUUAAAGAGGAUGACAAUGUCUCAAGAUAUCAUCAUGCAUGAUCUGCUCUGGUCUGGUCUGGUGUACUUAAGCCCUAGUUAGUGGAGAGCGCUUGGUUUUAGUUCAACUGACUGACUGACUGAAUUCAGCUGAACUAGCUUGACUAGCUUUACAGGCAGGCAGAGGCAGGUACAGUAACUAGAACAUGUCACUGUCUGUCUCUGUCACCUCUUCUUCUACUACUACUACACUACACUAGUUGUACUACGUAGUUGGCAGCAGACCGAUAGACAGACUCUGCACUUCACUGCAUGCCAGUAUCAAUUAAAAGUAGCGGGAAAAAAAGAUGCACCGACAAAUCAGAAUGCAAGAAAAAUAUGCACAAGUAAUCCUGUUGAACUUGAAGCCAGUUUCAGAUGGGUAAUUAAGUAGAGUAAAUUAAGUGGCAGUUCUUCAUACAUACUCCUAUAUUAUACAGUAGCAAGCAUCACAUGUUUCAGAUGGUUUUCUAGCAAGUAUUUUCCAGAAAAGUGGAUUGGUGGCACACAAUUGCUGCACUCGGUCGAUCUACCAAGCAUUAUCAGCAUGGAUACCAUUGAGACAUGAACAGAAACUCUUGGAUAAAAAACAAGAACAGCCAAAUUAGUUGGGAUCCGGCUUAGAUUAGAUAAGCAAGAAGGAGAAGGGGACGAACUGGGGUAACUGCGCUGACCUGCGGUGGUUAAGGAGCUGGAUCCGGCAGCGGAGCCCAAGGGGGGUCAUCGGAAUGGCGCCUGCGGCAGUGCCGGAGACGAGGAACUGGGGAAGGGAAGGGAAAUCCGGUGAGACGGCAGCAGGGAGCGAACGGAAGGAGAGGAAAGGCGGAUCCUUUAGUACCUGGCUUGCUCGGAGCCGAACAGGAAACCCUGGCCCUUGUGGCACGACGACGGCGACGGCGAGGAGGCGGGGCGAGAAGGAGAUGAAGCGAAGCAGCUUGUUGCGGCGGGGGCAGGGGGUCGUCGGCGGCGAGGUGGAGCGGGGGAGGGUGUGGGNNNNNNNNNNNNNNNNNNNNNNNNNNNNNNNNNNNNNNNNNNNNNNNNNNNNNNNNNNNNNNNNNNNNNNNNNNNNNNNNNNNNNNNNNNNNNNNNNNNNNNNNNNNNNNNNNNNNNNNNNNNNNNNNNNNNNNNNNNNNNNNNNNNNNNNNNNNNNNNNNNNNNNNNNNNNNNNNNNNNNNNNNNNNNNNNNNNNNNNNNNNNNNNNNNNNNNNNNNNNNNNNNNNNNNNNNNNNNNNNNNNNNNNNNNNNNNNNNNNNNNNNNNNNNNNNNNNNNNNNNNNNNNNNNNNNNNNNNNNNNNNNNNNNNNNNNNNNNNNNNNNNNNNNNNNNNNNNNNNNNNNNNNNNNNNNNNNNNNNNNNNNNNNNNNNNNNNNNNNNUGAGAGAGAUGUGAGAUUGGGGAUCGGGGAUUGGGGAUUUUAGUCGGGGGAGGGAUAGCAAUGGCGCACCACCUAGCGGUGCGCCAUUAGUAAAUUUCUUUGGAUAGCAAUGGCGCACCACCCAUUAGAAAAUUUUUUUGGAUUUUUUGUUGCAUUAAUUUGUGAAUUGGUAAAACAUUUAUGAAUAUGAAAAAAUAUCAUCAAAUUUCAAAAAAUAUUCAUGAAUUCAAAAAAUGCCCAUGAAAUUUAAGCAGGAAAAUGAACACUGCAAAAUAAAAUACAAGAAUAAAUAUAAAUAAAAAUGUGUAUAUCAAUGGCGCACCUCAUUCGGGUGCGCCAUAAAUACCUUCAUAGCAAUGGCGCACCCUCCCCUGGUGCACCAUUACUAUCUGUUUUUUAUUUAUUUUUAGUUGCAUCUAAUAAUUUUUUAGAAAAUGACGAUCAAAUUUGAAAACAUUUAUGAAUAUGAAAAAAUAUCAUCAAAUUUGUUAUUUGAAUUUUUUUUGAAUUUUUAGUUGCAUCUAAUAAUUUUUUAGAAAACAUUUAUGAAUAUGAAAAAAUAUCAUCAGAUUUCAAAAUAUUCAUGAAUUCAAAAAGUGCCGCCCAUUUCCAUAUGUCAAAAUACAAUCGAGAAAUGAAGACUGCGAUUUAAAUACAAUCGAUCUUAGCUAGCUAUCUUUUCACAAUCUUCUUGCCCUUCUUUUUCGCAAAUGGAGUUCUUCUGUUGAACGGACGUCCUUUAGGUAGGGUGGUCCUGCUUCUUCUUGUGGUGUAUGACACUUCAUCGUCGCCGUCAUGUUCCAUCUUCGGGUCGCCGUACUUGUCGAAGUCUUGCUCAUUGGCGACUCCAUCCAUAUAGAUGAUCUUCCUUUUGCCUCUCCUCACGACUGGGCUUUGACGGGUCUGUAAUGAAGAAGCAUUGGUCCACUUGGGAAGCCAGUACCCAUGGCUUAUUUUUCGCGGUGACGUUUGCGUCCGCGGUCUUGGAUUUAGCUUCGGGUAUAACCAUGGUGGUGAAAUACCGGUCUUCUUUUAUGACGCUCUUGGCCCAUCUGACACGGAACAUCGGGACCUUCUCUCCAGCGUAGCUCAGCUCCCAGAUCUCCUCAAUCCUUCCGUAGUAUCUAUCAUUGUCGUUACCGGUGUAGGAUUCCAUCGUUACCCCGGAGUUCUGAUAACCAUCGCUCUUCAUGUCCUUGUCCUCGGUGUAGAAUGUGUAGCCAUUGAUAUCGUACGCCUCAUAGGUCAUCAGGUUGUGCUCGAUGCCCUGUGACAAGGCGAAUAUGAGUUUUUCUUCCGCGGAAGAAUCCUCAUGUAAAGGGUACGACAGAAGCUUCUCCUUGAACCAACGCGUGAAACAUGAGUUGUGCUCUUUGAUUAUAUCUUCGUCCGUCCUCUGUUGGCCUCGGUCAUUGUACGUCUUCUCAAUAAAGGUUUUGUGCUCUACCACCCAAGAAUCGACCACGUCUAUGUGUUGUAGCGCGACUAGGUUUGCUCUUUCAAAGUCGGCGAGUUGACCCUCGAAGUCGACAUGCAUUUCGCGGCGACCAUCGCGGUGACCCCAUGCAGCGAGCCUGCCGAGGUGCCUGUUGACGGGCAGACCAACGGGGUUCUCGAUGCCUAGAUAAUUCGUGCAGUAGGAGAUGCACUCUUCGGUCAGAAAGCCCCUGGCUAUGCUUCCCUCUGGACGUGACAUGUUGCGAACGUAUCCUUUGAUGACACCAUUCAUCCUUUCGAACGGCAUCAUGCUGUGCAGGAACGUCGGCCCGAAUUGGAUGAUAUCCUCCACGAUAUGGACCAGCAGAUGCACCAUAACAUCGAAGAAUGCGGGCGGGAAGUACAUCUCAAGCUCGCAUAGUAUCACCACGAUCUCUUCCUGUAGCCUUCUGAGUUGCCUCACGCCAACCGACUUCCGAGAGAUGACGUCGAAAAAGUUGCAUAGGCCAAAUAGCGUUUCACGGACGUGCGCGUCCAUGAUCCCACGGAUUGCAACUGGAAGUAUCUGCGUCAUCAGCACGUGACAGUCGUGAGACUUCAUCCUGCUGAACUUCUGCUUCGUUGAGUCUAGGUAUCUGCUUAUCUUCCCCGCAUAACCGUAAGGAAGUUUUACUCCUACGAGGCAAGUGAAAAACUGCUCGAUCUCCUACUGACUUAGAGUGAAGCACGCGGGAGGGUAGUCAUUUCCGAUCUUCUUGGCCUUUUUGCCUUUGCGAUGACUUUCCGUGUCCUGCUGCGCCUCAUCAUCAUCAUCAUUAGCGUGAAGCUCCUCCCUGAUGCCCCAUUGAUUUCAAGUCUGCCCUUGCUUUCGGCCCAUCUUUGGUCCUCUCUGGCAUGUUGAGCAGGGUACCAAGCAGACUCUCGCACUUCGUGAUAUGCAUGACAUCAAGGCUGUGAGGCACAAGGUGGAUCUUCCAGUAUGGCAAGUCCCAGAAAACAGACCUCGUUUUCCAUACCUUCAGCAGCGGCUCUGCCGCCUUUCGCUUCUUUCCCGGCUCUGGCGCCUUUUGCUUCUUUUCCGGCAGUGGGCAAUCUUUCCAAUUUUUCAACAGCUCGUCUAUUUCCUCGCCGCUCCUCGUACGCGGGCGUCUUCGGGGUUCGGUUUCACCAUCGAACAUAUCCUUGCGUUUUCUCCAUGGGUCAUCGUCGCGAAGCCACCUUCGAUGUCCCAUGAACACGGUUUUCGAAGACCCGGGAUCUCUAUCUAGCUGGCAAUACGUUGUGUCAUCCAUGCACCUGACGCAUCCAGAAAAUCCGUGGACCACCUGCCCCGCGAGAUAUCCGUAACCGAGAUAGUCGUGCACCGUCGUGAGCAGUGCGGCUCUCAUCGGGAAAUAUUCUUUCUCUGCGGCGUCCCAUGUAUUGGCUGGCGUUUUCCACAGCGUGUCUAGCUCCUCUUUCAGAAGCCCCAGAUACAGAUUGAUGUCGUUCCCUGGUUGUUUCGGUCCUUCAAUUAGCAUACUCAUGUGAAUGUACUUCCUCUUCAUGCACAACCAGGGGGGAAGGUUGUACAUCCACACAAACACAGGCCAGGUGCUAUGUGUGCUUCUCUGGCUGCCAAACGGAUUGAAUCCAUCGGUGCUCGCGCCCAGCACGAUGUUCCUUGGAUCGUGCCCAAAUUCUGGGUGUUCGAAGUUCAACGCUUGCCAUUGGCUCACAUCCUUAGGGUGACUCAGCAUCUUGUCUUUUUUUAUUUAUCUCCGGAUCAUUUCCGUCAUCUUCUCGCUUCUUCUCCUCCCUAUCCGCGUGCCAACGCAUGAGCUUUGCUAGCUUAGGGUCCGCGAAAUACCGCUGCAGAUGAGGAGUGGUCGGAAAGUACCACACCACUUUUCGAGGAGCUUUCUUCCUCUUCUUGUAUCGAGUGACGCUGCACACCGGACAGAUGGUAGACUCCGCGUGCUCGUCCCGAUAAAUGAUGCAAUUGUUCAUGCACACAUGGUAUUUCAGGUGUGGUAAAUCCAGAGGUCACGAUUUUCUUCGCCUCCUCGAAACUGGUCGGGCACUUGUUCCCCUUGGGAAGACAUUCGUGCGAGAAUGACAUGUUCUCGUCGAAGCAUGCGUCGGUCAUUUUGUGUUUUACCUUCAUCUCCAGAUCCAUGAGCGUUACUUUUAGGCGGGUAUCCUCGGGCCUGCAUCCUUCAUACAAUGGAGUAACCGCGUCUAUCUCCAGUUGAUACAGCUUGGCUUUCUCUCGGGCGGUAGCUCUUGCGUUAUCCGUCUGCUUGAGAAGCAGCUCUUGAAUAUGAGGGUCUUGCACCCAGCCCAUCGAUGGUCCAUCGUCGUCUGCUCCGGCAUCUUCAUCUUCAUGAUCAUGCCCUUCGUCUUGAUCUUCCUCAUCAUCAUGUCCGGCAUCUUCUACAUGAUGACUGUGUACUGCAUCACCGUCGUGAUCAUGUCCUGGAGAUUCUUCGUCUUCUCGCCCGCCCUCGCCGCGGUUGUCUUGCUGCCCUUCCUCAUUUCUUGCCCUGCCCCCAUGGACGACUUCAUAGUCAUCUUCAUCACCUUGCCACCGAUAGCCAUCCAUGAAACCACGCAAGAGCAGGUGGUCCCACACCUGUCCGGAAUCCGGGUCCGCAAUAAGGCUCUUCAGCUUGCAUCUUCGACACGGACAUCUUAUCUCCGUCUCGUUUUUUUGAAGCAUCUCGGCCUUCGCGGAGCUCAAAAAUCUAUUCACGAUGCCUUCGGUCAUCGUACGGACCAUGGUCGCCUGCGGGGUAGAGCAAAACGAUAUUUUAGAACCAAGAAAAAAUUUGGCAUGACUUUGCCUAAAAAUAGGACCAAAAAGAAUGCAUAGUGCCAAAUUCUCAUCGAAACGAAAAUGAAUCAACAUUCCGGCAAAAUAUUGGCAACUAUCGCAUUUCAAAUACCGGUACCUGCAAACACAAAUAUAUAUGCAACACCACAAACAUGCGUAGAUCUAGCUAGGCCAUAAAAAGUGCAUUUGCACGUUGUUGGAGGGAGAAAAAAGUAGAUCUACAACAUAAAGAAAGCUUUCCCCUUACUUACCUAUCAAAAAAAGGUAAUUUAACCACUUAAGUUGGGUGAAUCUAUGGUGCAAAUGAGGUGAGGAGGAGGAGGCAGCCGAGACAAGCUUGGAGGAGAAGGUGGAGAGAAUGAAGUAGGGAAAGUGAGUGUGGUAGGUGGCUUUCCAAAAUAUCUAGCUGGUCUCAGGUUACUAAUGGCGCACCACCUAAAAAUGCGCCAUUAAUAACCCUGGUUACUAAUGGCGCACCUAUUACGUGGUGUGCCAUUACUAGUUUUGCAAAAAAAUUAAAAAAAUUGUUAGUAGUGGCGCACCGUGAUGUGGUGCGUCAUUACUAGUUUGAACUAGUAAUGGCGCACUUUACACAGGUGCGCCAUUACUAGUUUUGAAAAAAAGUAAAAAAAAAUUGUUAGUAGUGGCGCACAGAGCUUGUGGUGCGCCAUUACUAGUUAAAACUAGUAAUGGCGCACUGUGCCCUGGUGCGCCAUUAAUAGUUUUGAAAAAAUAAAAUUUGCUAGUAAUGGCGCACCGUGUGUCUGGUGCGCCAUUAGUAAUGAGGACACUAAUGGCGCACCACAUACAUGGUGCGCCAUUAAUGUCCAUAUUAGCUAUAACCCUUUUCCUAGUAGUGCGGGGAGGGGGGCUCCCCACCUGAAUAUAUUUCAAAAGGAGAUUGGGUUUUACGCACGUCACACAUUGCGUGAUGAGAGGUAAUCACGCCACAAACCGGCGUGAUCCAUAAGUGUUGCCGUCUUUAGGCGGUGAGCCCAAAUCUAGGAUAGCUUUAGGCGGGUAGCUUCUAGCAUUCCAGAUAUUCCUUAAUGUGAGCAGCAACAUGAAGGGGCGGACCAUCGUGGGAAGUGCGUCAGGAAUCGUUGUGUUGAAGAAAUCCGUGGUAGGGCUGAAACGGGGGGCGGAUUCCGGUGGCACGCCACACCCGACGAGCUGCUGGGCAAGUGAAGAACAAGUGGUUGCGGUCCUCCACCGCAUGAUCACAUCUCGGGCAGGUCUCUCUCAUAGCUGAGAAUGUGCUUCUUAUGGAGGUUCUUCCUGGUGUUCAUGCGAUCGAGGUAGAACAACCACCCGAAGAUCAUCGCCUUCUUCGGCAGCUUGGAGUCCCAAAUCAGAACGAGAGAGCAUGUACAUUUAAAAAGGUUCACAUAUAAAAAAGAUGAAUUCUUAAAUGAAAGAGAAAAAGAGGGAAAGAAAAGGUCAAAAAAAUACAAAAUAGGCUACAACUCGAACAUGCCAUUGCACUGAGAAUGACACGUUAAUCUUUAUCUGUCUUGGAAAAUAGACUUAUAUAAGAGUCAUUUCAAAAAAAAAGAGGAUAAGAUGAUAGAGAUGGUCGUGUUCCGCUACUUCUUCGAGUUCCACAAGAUGAAUGAGGGUUAUGAGCGACGCUGCUACUCUUUUCCCUCAUCUCAAAAGGCACAAUUUUUUCUUUCUUCAAUGUGUUCGUGCUUCACUCUCUUUGUGAUGCGAUGAGGUGGUGCUGGUGUCAUCAAACAUUGCUUUGUCACCUUUCAAUAACACCGUCGGCACCCCAUUGCCCGAUAGUUGAGUGUGUCCCUUGUUUGUCAACUCUAUUUGUGACACUGGCUUUGUUUCUUGGAUAUCCUUGAUGGUGAGAAAACAAAGAAGCCGUCUAGGCCCUUUAAAUACGAGGUCAUCACCUUCUUGGGUGGAGUUUCCAACUCUUAAGCUGACAUGAAUGUGAUUAUAAAUCAAUGACCACAUUUUUCCAUCGCCCCAUUUUUCUCGUGCAGGUUCUUGGUAAUGACCCAACUCGCUCAUUGUCAGGCAUGUAUAUUACAUUGUAAACUUCUUAUCUGACAUCUGUGUUCUGAUGCCAUGGUUAAUAAGUCCUUAUCAUGUUUUGUUCUGAUGCCAUGGUUAAUAAGUCCUUAUCAUGUUUUGUUCUAAGAUGGGUCUUAUCUUAGCGCUUAUGAUAUCGUGUCGAACCCACUUUGGGGGUUUCUAAGACGAACAAUGUCUGUUUUUGCUUGGUCCUUUUUGUUUCGAACGUGAGGUUUUCUCUUUGAGUUGCUUCAUGCGAGAUUCCUGAUUGCAUAAUCACUAGGUAGUUUCACCACGAGAGCUAAGCGUUGUGGUGCCGAUGGACGCGGCGGCAAUCGCAGAGGAGAACCAAUUCUAGUGACUCAAAUCUGACGUGAAUGUGUGAGGUCCCAUCACCGUACGUGCCUAUGCGGUCCUUUACUAAAGGUGGUACGUAGGGAUGCCUGUUGGCGGUUUCAAUGUCGACAUCGUUAUCACGGGAGAUGGUGAAUUCCACCCUAUUUAUACUAAACUCUUUUGCUUCGUGGGAGCUUUUCUACCAUGUAAGUGUAGUCUUUUUUAUGGAUACAUCUUUUGACAUAUCAGAUUACUUCAUAAAUUGUUGUACACAUUUAUCAAUGUAUUACAGUGUGUUUUUAUAUAUCCUUGCACACAAUAUCUUUGAUAUAUCUAGAGAAAUUUCUAGAGUGUUGCGUUUAUCAGUUUAGCCAAUAAAUAUUAGGGAGAAUAACAUGAAAAGUGUUUUUUUAGAUCAUGUUUGGUCAUGUGAGAAGCCUGUGGGAAAAAAAAUUGGCCCCUCAAAGAAACAAAUCUUAUAAAAUGAACAUAUUGUUAGCGUGUUAGAGCAUCUACACCCCGCGCCCGGACGCGUCCACGGAAGUGACCGGCCACCCCUCAAAAAACACAUUUCACAUCCGGAUAUCUCAAAUUAGAAACCUCAAUUCCAUAUUAUUACAUGCAACGCAGCGAUCUUUGACGGGAGCUUCGUCCGGUUCUGCUCCUCGCUCGCCCGGCUCCGCCCUGGCCAUGUCCGCCGCCGGCUGUGCUCCUCAGAAUGUUGAUUCGGUCGCCGGCAAGGUAGAGUAGGGCAUGGGACACGAGCUGGCUCGGGACUCAAGGCGUCGCCGUCUCCCAUGCCUUACUCUUCCUCGUCGAAGACCGGAACCCGAACGGUGCCGGUGGAUGUCAGAUCAAUGACGGAUCCGUCCGGAGACGAGCCGCCGGCGUCCACCAUGAUGUGGUUGCGGCGCCCGAACUGAUGCAUCAUACGGGGUGCCGGAGAAUGCGACUCCGCCUCGCCAACGUCCACUGCCGCCUCCCGCGCCUAGUGCGCCAUGGCCUCGUGGGACGAUGGUGCGUCCCGAACAUCGGCGCGCCACCGGAGGGAUUAUGAGUCUGCCAGCGUGUUCGGACGCCAGACGGACCGCAUAGUCUCCGACGAGGUAGCUACGGCCAGCCUAGCGCCGGAUCCAUGCGGCAUUUGGGCGAACGCAAUGGAUUCCCGGCGGAUGGAGUCUGAGCGCAGCCGUGCACAGGCCUUCUCCCAAGCGUUUCAAGGCCGUUUGAGGGAUCCUUCUGGGUCAAAAAAUCAUGACCGGACAGUGACCGGACGGCUCGUCCGGACGCAUGAGGUGGGUUUGAGGCGCCCGGCUGUAGAUGCUCUUUGUUUAAGUUUUAGUGUUCACUAGAGUAGGCUGUAGCAUAUGCAUGCGUGCACCACUACCGGUGCCGGACGCUAUAAGACGACGCUAGCUAUAGCUACCCCAAACAUUUUCACGUGUAGACCAGCACGCAUGCGUGCAGAUAUCCUCCUAUCCCCAGCAUCGCUCGAUCCAGAGGAACACUGUGCAUGAUGCCGGCGAGGGGCGGGGCACGCACAUACGCUCCCCGGCCGUGAAGCGGCAAACAUACACAUCUACAGUGUUCCCCGCAUUGUAGAGGGUCUUUUCUUCCGGAAGCGGCGCGGCAUGGCGUUUGGGCGCCGCGAGAUUCGACAGAUCGUUGUCCCGUCUUCCUGUGUUUUUUUGAACCAAAAGGGGUUUCCCCUCACCCCAACUUUAUAUAAAGCUAAGGCAAAACGUCAACCAACAUAAACUGUUAACAGCGUUCGGCGGCAAUCAGAGUAGCUGCCAUAGACAGAAAGCAGAGAUUAAAUUGCCCUAUUACAAGUCUUUUUGGGCGGGUCUAGCCAGAAAUACAUAGCCAGGGAUGCAACAUGCCAGCCUACUUUAAUAAGAUCAAAGCAAAGACAUGUAAGCUAGCAGAGCAUAACUCAGCGAUGCCCCUGACCGCAGUAUCAGCGCCAGGCAAUCCUAAGCAAUUCUCUUCUUCGGUGGUCCAACAGCCUUAAACAUCGGAGAAGAAGCGCAUCCUGAGCCUCUGAACACAGUGUUUUUCAUUGUCUGAUCGUUGCCCCCAACAAGUCCAGGACACAACGUAUACUUCGCCAUCUUCUCCCCUGGAAAACAAAGUUAUUUCGAAAACGCCAUAAGCUCCACAAGGUAGCAGCAGUAACAAUGUUUAAUGCUUCAAAAUAUUUUCUCCUCUUCCAGAAGGAAGCCAACAGAACAAAUGAAUCAAGCACAGUAACAUUAAAGCUAUCAGCUACCAGAUCCCAGAUGUGUCUAGCAACAAUACAAUCAAAGAAUAAAUGUUGGAUAGUUUCAGGUUCACUGCAAAAGACACAUGACAUGUCAUCUACAUGCCUGUGCUUGGCAAGAUUAUCUCUGGUUAAGCUCUUAUUAUAGUAUAUCAGCCAGAGAAACACAUGGAUAUUAGGUGGAACUUUAAUUUUCCAGAUAUCAUCUUUAAUUACAGAUCCUAUUCCUCCAAAGUUUAUCAACUUAUAAAAGGAUUUCACAGAGUAUUUGCUAGACGAAUCUAGGAUCCAAAUAGGCUGAUCUGGAGAGCCAGAAAGACACACUGGUUCAACAACCUUGGUGAGCUCCUUCCAUCUAACUAAAGUACUUUCCCCAACACAUCUUCUAAAAGUCAAGCAUAAUUCACCAUCCACCCAGACCUGUGCAAGGGUAGAGUCUUGUUGUUGACAAAUGGUGUAUAAGUCCCAAAAGGUAGUUUUAAGAGAACAAUCCCCAACCCAGAUGUCAUGCCAGAAGGCAAUGCUUACCAUCACCAGGAAUCCAUCUAUAAAAAAAUUUAGAAGCUGCAAGAGCCCAUGAUAGACUUUUCAUAAAUGGAGACCCUAGGGUUACCCUAGUAUUAAAAAAUUGGGGCUGGAAGUGUUAUACUUGUAAGUCAGUAUCUUCUUCCAGUCACUAUCCCUGUCAUCAUAAAAUCUUUUUCCCCAUGAGGCCAAAAGGGCUAUGUUGAAUUCUCUACGGUUGGGAACCCCCAUACCCCCAAACUCUUUCCUCCUAGAGAUCAAUCCUCAGUUAGCAAGGUGAUAUUUAUGGUUAUCACCCAUAUUCCCCCAGAAGAAGUGAGACAUUUGAGAGGUGAUCAUAUAAUAGCCAAUUUGGGAAAUUUUACAAUAGACAUUAGAUAAGCAGGAAUGCUGGCAAUACAGGUAGUAAGCAGGAUCAGUUUUCCCCUAUAUGAGAGAAAUCUCCCCAACAAUCCAGAAAUGUUUUUGAUAAUCCUAUCAAUAAUGGGUUGGAGGUCCUCCCUCCUAAGUUUUUUAAAGUGAAGGGGAACACCUAAAUAUUUGAAGGGGAAAUCCCCAAGCUGGCAGCAGAAAACCUAAGCAAAACCAUUAGAUAAUUGCUCAGAAAUGUUAAUAGCAUGCAGAUCACUUUUAUGAAAAAUAAUCUUCGAGCCACAUAGAUUUUCAAAGCAUUAGAGAAUCCAUUUCAAAUUCCUGGCAUAAUCUAGUGAGUUAUCCAAGAAUAGAAUGGUAUCAUCAGCAUACUGUAGGCUGACUACCCCACCUGGGAAGGCAUGAGGUAGCAGACCACAAAUUAAACGAUUACUGGCAGCCUUAUGAAGCAUUUUAAAAAAUACAUCAGCUACCAAAUAGAACAAAAGGGGUGACUGAGGGUCACCCUGUUUCAAACCAUUCCCCCCAGAGAACUGGGGACCAGUAGAAUCAUUAAUUCUAAUCUGAAAAGUCUCUUGGUGAAUGGUAGACAUCACCCACUCCACCCAUUUAUUACCAAAGCCUCUAGAUAGAAGCAUUUCUUUUAAAAAUUCGUAGCUAACCCUAUCAUAUGCUUUCUCAUAGUCUAGUUUAAGAAUCAACCCAGCAGACCCAGACCUAUGAAUUUCAUGAAUGACCUCAUGAGCCAUAACCACACUUUCCAGAAUGAAUCUACCCUUAAUAAAUGCAGUUUGGUUAGAGGAGAUAAGCUUGUCACAUAAGGGGGAGACCCUAGUAGUCAUAGCUUUUGAGAAGAUUUUAACAACACAAUUGCUUAGGCUGAUAGGCCUAAAGUUCAUCAUAUCUUUAGCCAUAGGAAUUUUAGGAAUAAGAGUAAUAAUGGCAUGAUUCAACUUAUAUAUAUCAAGCUUACCAUUCUCAAAAUCUCUAAUCAUCCACAUAAAAUCUUUUUUAAUCAGAUCCCAAAAGGUUUGGUAAAAUAGAAAGGAUAGCCCAUCAGAGCCAGGAGCACCACUAGCAUAAGAGCUCAUCACAGCUUGUUUAAUUUCCUCUUCAGAAAAAGGUUUCUCAAGCUGCUCCCUCUCAGCAUUACUAACCAUUUCAUCUUCAGACCAAAAGUCAGCAUCCAAAUGGAUGUCAGGUUUAGGUUCAAAAGCAAACAACUCUUUAUAAAAAGAGGUGGCAACCUCAAGCAUCUCCUUGGUCGAAGUGACCACACCAGUAGGACUAUUUAAUUCAGAGAGAUGGUUUUUCCUAUGUCUGUGGUUAGCCAGGGUUUGGAAAUAAGCAUUAUUCCUAUCCCCCUCUAAAUUUUUUUUGUCCCUGGAUCUCUGCCAAAGAGCAGUCUCCUCUUUUUUCCACACUUCAUCUAAUUCUUUCUUAAUCUCCUUCAUUCUGUCGUAGUCAGACACAAAUAAUUGUUGGGUUUCAGACAUGACAUCAAGGAUGUCAAACUCCAGAAGGAGUGCCCUCUUCUUUUUCUUCAAAGCUGCCUCUCUAUUAAUAUUCCACCCUUUAGUUUUCUUUCUGAGCACUCUAGUCUUAAGCAUCCAAUUAUCAGCUGAGGAUUUGGAAGAGCACACAGAGUUCCAAGUUUCUGUGACCAUUUGAUGGAAGUCUGGUUGGGAGAGCCACCAUUUCUCAAACCUAAAAGGUUUGGGGUUGGAUGGGGCUCUAGCACCAGUGUCCAAGACCAGUGGAGUAUGAUCACUCCCUACCCUCGGCAAGGCUGACAAGGUGGAAAAGGGGAAAUGGGUGUCGCAGUCCACAGAAAUGAACACUCUAUCCAGUACAGCAAACACAGGGAGAUCUGGUUAUUAGACCAGGUAAACACCCUAUUAGAGACAGAAAUCUCCAUCAAGGCCCAUAUGUUGAUCCAAUCAUUAAACAGAAAUGCAGUUUGUUGAUUUACUAAGCCACUACUUUUCUCCUUUUCAUUCCUAAUCAGGUUAAAAUCACCACAGAUCAUGAUAGGAUAGGAAGCAUUUGAUAAAAUAUCAUGCAGUUCAGCUACAAAAUCCAUCUUAAGUUUAGGGUAGGCAGACCCAUACACUAACACCAUUUGCCAAACAAAGCCAUCAGAUUUAUUUUUAACAGUAGCAAUAAUAGAAAAUCUUUGGUUAAUAAAACCAACUACCUCAAAAAUCAUCUUCUUCAAACCCACAAGGAUCCCCGAGCAGUAUUUUCAGCUGGCAGGAAAUGCCACACAAAAUUGUCAAAUCUAUCAAUAGCUUUGAGAAAACCCUCAGAAAUAUUCUCCUUCUUUGUUUCUUGAAAACCAAUAAAGUCAGGAUCAGACUUAGCAAUAGUAUCACAAAGGCACUGUCUCUUCUCAUGUUGCCCUAGACCUCUAAUAGUCCAAAUAAGACCUAUCAUUAAUUAAUUUUGAAAGGAUGGGAUAAGCCACAAGGCUUAACUUUAGUUAGAACAGCAGGCGUUUCCCUAGUAGCAUCAGCAGUGCCCACUGGCUCCAGGGGGAAGACACCAUCAGGUGUACUAACUAAUUCAUUAGAGUCAAUGUCAAGAUUGACAGGAAGGACAAUUUCAGGGUUAUUAUUGGCAAACACCAAACAUCUCUCUUUCUCCACAGCUAUUAUCUCAUCAAUAGCAAGAUUCUUUUGGAUAUCAUCCCCCCCCCCCAAUUAUCAAGUUCAUUUGGCUCAUUUGAUUAGUAAGGAUGGAUUUAUCCAUAGUAGAGAAGGAUUUACCUUUGAAAGUUUGUGGUAUCUCCAAGUUCUUCUUCCUCUUCUAUGCAGCAGCCUUUUCCAUGAUGUUAACAUUACCAUGGCCUCUAGUAGCAGGCCUUUGAACUAGCACAGGCCCCCAUCUUGUUUUCUUCUCAUGGAUGGUUUCCUCACUUUGGGUCUGGUUAAGUGAUUCCAGCAGGGACCUCCUCCAGGUCUCACUUUGUAGGAUUUGGAUAACCUCAAGAGGGAGAACCCCGAAUUCUUCUUCUUUUGGUCCCUCAUCUUCAGAAUCAUAAACAUCCACUGAUCUUAACAGAUCCUCACAAUAUUCCAUACUAUCACCAUUCUUCUCAGGAGUUGUGUGAGUAACACACUUCCCAGAGGGAGAAGGGGUUUUGUGGAUAACCACUCCUUCAUUCCUCUUCUCCUCCUCAUCAGUAUUUUUGUUCUGUUCUGUAAGGAUACCAACAUAGCCAGCCCUAGAUUCAUGCCCAUCAGAAGAUGCACCCCUAAGGUCAACAGCAGCCAAAGCACAUUCCAGGAUGAAUUCCUCCUGAUCAAGAUCAUUUCCAUAUUCCACGGUUGUAUCCACCAUCUUCUUUUGAACACCACACUUGUUUGUAGAUCCAUGUUUGGUUGAGAAGUUAGCUUUAUCUAAUUCAUCAAUGGCCAAAUCACCUCCAUAUGACCCAUCAGCAGCAUGUUCUCCAUGAGAUCCAUUAUCUUUUCCAGCAUUUUCUUUCUCAGUUCUCUCAUCCUCCUCAUUACCAUCUUCAUCCUCAUCUACAUCAAUGACAGAGUCAACCCCACCUGCUUGUUCAAAGCCCUCAACAGUGAAACCAAGUAGAAACAGUUUCUUCUUCAUCUCAAUCAGUCUCUCAAAAGGAAUGUUGGUUGGAUUUCUGCAGGCUAUUUUGAUUCUGACAUUCUCAAAAAAGGAUCUGAACAUUCCAUUCCAAUCCACAUCUGUAAGUACCCCAAAUAGGGAAGCAAUUUGGACAAACACUUUCCAAGUGCACCACUUUGGGGGAAUCCCCUCAAUCAGUACCCAGGCUUCAAUUAGCUCUCCAAAAGGUUCACGUACAUGUCAUGGUUUCUUGACUGUAAAUGCUGCCGUCUAGAAAUAUACAUAUGGCAUGCAUAGUGAUCGCCCUUAGUUUCUGAAGGGGCCUAAUUUUGAUCGCUAGCUUGCUGGACAGGAGGCCUUUUUUUCCAUGCAGCCGCACAUGGCAUGCCUCGGACCAAACCAAGUAUAGUUCGUACGCGGACACCGAUCAGUCGAGCGAGCAAGGACAAAUUAAACAUCUGAUUUUCACAACAGUGCAAUGCAGUGUCUGUGUUGGGUCACUUGACGGGAAUUUAUUCAACUCAAAACAUGCAUGCAUCAUGCAUGAUGAGCAAGAGCAACACUGAGCUACACUUUGAGUGAGAAGAAAUGAGAAGGCUAUGCCAGCUUGUACUGCCUUUUCAUCAAUUGUUCUUAAUCAGUUCAAUGGCUUCGAUCGAUCCUAUAUGUCCAUAUAUUGCAUAGUAACUCAUAGCACUGUAGACUAAUCGUCCAAGAGUAGUGGGCAGCGUAGUAAUUUGAGCGCAGUGGUAAGAAUUGAAAGAUUGCGUGGAAGCGUAUGCCUCUGGCAGGGACGUGUUGCGUGUUAUAUAGCCAAGGAUAAGUUACAAAGAUACGGUAGUUAGGUCGUGGAUUAAUACUCAAGAAAACUAUACAAGAUAUAAGGAGAAACCCUAACAACCUAACUACUAGAUUACAACAACACACGCAUGCAAUCUAACCCUACCGGGCGGUGCAUACGGUUUAUACAAUACCGUAUACACAUAGUACAAUACUUUCUAACACGCCCCCUCAAUCACAGCUUCACCAAGUUGAGAUUGGUCUUGAAGUCUUCUAACUUCCGCCAUGAUAAGGCUUUGGUAAAACCGUCUGCAAGUUGAUCACCUGUGGGAAUAAAAUGAAUGUCCAGCAGUUUGCUAGCUACUCUCUCUUGAACAAAAUGAUAGUCAACUUCUAUGUGUUUUGUCCUUGCAUGAAAUACUGGAUUUGCUGAUAGAUAUGUAGCGCCAAUGUUAUCACACCAGAGGCGUGCAACUGGUGAAUGCAUAACUCCAAGUUCACGUAGCAAAGUUUGAACCCAAAUAAUUUCAGCAAUAGCAUUAGCUAAAGAUUUGUACUAUGCCUCUGUACUGGACCUAGAGACAGUAGCUUGCUUACGUGCACUCCAGGAAAUCAAAUUAGGACCGAAGAACACACAGAAACCUCCUGUUGACCUUCUGUCAUCUGGACAUCCUGCCCAGUCAGCAUCUGAGAAAGCACUAACAAUAUUGAAGGUUGACUUGGUAAAUUUCAGACAUGUACUCAUAGUACCUCUGAGAUAUCUCAAAAUUCUCUUAACUGCUGUCAAAUGCUGAGAAGUGGGAGAAUGCAAGUACUGGCAUACCUUGUUGACAGGAAAACAAAUGUCAGGUCUUGCAAGUGUAAGUACUGCAAAGCACCUACCAUACUCCUGUACUUUGUUGACUCCUCGGCCCCCAAGGGCUCUCCUUCUUCUCUUGACAGUUUUUCUGGCAUAGAGAGAAGCAUGUUUGAAACCUUGCAAUUUACCAUUCAUGCACGCUUAAGCAUAUCCAAGACAUAUUUUUCUUGGAUGAGAAGUAUUCCAUCUUUCACCUUUUUAACUUCAAUUCCCAAGAAGUAGUGUAGAUCACCUAAAUCUUUCAAGGCAAAGUCCUUCUUGAGAUCUGCUAACAAUGCUACGGUUGCAUCUUGUGAUGAGCUAGCAACAAUAAUAUCAUCAACAUAGACCAACAUAAAAAUAGUGAUAUUUCCUUUUCUAUAGAAGAACAAAGAAGUAUCUCCCUUGGAUGAUUUGAAACCAAGUGCUUGAAGUUUUUCACUUAACUUGGAGUACCAAGCCCUAGGUGCUUGUUUUAAUCCAUAUAGGUCCUUAUCAAGUUUGCAAAGAUAAUUUUCCUUGCCUUUUAUCUCAUAACCAGGUCGUUGUCUCAUAUAAACUUCUUUCUCUAGAACACCGUGAAGGAACACAUUCUGUACAUCCAAUUGCCUCAAGGUCCAGUUUCUUGAUACUGCAACAGAAAUAAAAAGUCUGAUAGUAGCUGCUUUCACAACAGGACUAAAGGUAUCUUCAUAGUCUAUACCAUAUCUCUGUUUAAACCCCUUUGCUACUAGCCUUGCCUUAUACCUAUCAACUUGACCAUCUGCCUUUCUCUUAAUUCUGUAGACCCACUUGCAAUCAAUAACAUUUUUGUUUUGUGUUGGUGGAACUAGGUGCCAUGUCUUAUUUUUAAUAAGAGCACCAUACUCAUCAUUCAUAGCCAUUUUCCACUUAGUCUCACCUAGAGCUUCAUGUAAACUACUUGGUUCACCAGUAGUCGUUAAACCUCCAAAACGAACCUUAAGCUUGUCAUACCUGACCGUACCAUCUGUACAAACUUGUGGUUUUAUAAUACCAUGUUGCGAUCUUUUUCUCCGAGUCGGCACAUCAGCAGCUGUAUGCGGUUGCGGCGCAGAGGAUCCGGCGGAAUGAGACACAGCCGCACGAUAUCCCACGUCGAUCCCGCCAUCAGCCGCGCGAGAUCCCACAUCGAUCCCGCUGUCAGCGGCAGGGGACCCGCCAUCCCACCUUGUCGCUUCUGCGCCAUCUGCGGCAGUUGAUGCUCCCGCGCCAGGUUGGGCCACCUGGCAGUCAUCGAGAGGCGGCGUGUGACGCGAGGAGUUGGUCGGCUGGUCCCGCGACAUAUGCCCGCCAGCGGUUGGCCCACCUGGGGAACCGGUGCCCGCCAGUCGUUCUCUAGGUGGAGUGCGCAGACCCGAGGCAGAUUCGCCUGGACUGCCUGCGCCAGAAUCAGACUCGGGAUCGGCGCUGGCAGCACCUGAAUCUGCUCCGUGUCGUUUUCGUCUUGUUCUGUCUGCAUAAAAUGAUGCACAGGAGCUGGAUUUUCACCAGGAUUAGCAGGAAACUUAGCAUGUUGAUCAAAAUACACAUUCACCCCUGUGAUCAAUAGGCUCAGAAGGAAUAGUUUCAGGAAGCAACAAGACUUCAGAGCGAAGAGGGGUGCCUGCAUUUGGAUUUAAAGCCUUGAAAGGAAAAACCAUCUCAUCAAAAAUAACAUCACUAGAUAUAUAAACUCGGCAGGCAGCAACAUCAAGACACUUGAAGCCUUUGUGAAGGUUACUAUAUCCGAGGAAAACACAUUGUUUGGAUCGGAAUUCUAAUUUUCCAGAAUUAUAUGGACGGAUAUUUGGCCAACAAGCAAAUCCAAAAAACUCGAAGUGAAUGAUAGUUUGGCUGUUCAUGAAACAAACGACCCAAGGGACUUUCAAAGUUGAUCAAUUUGCUAGGUGUGUGAUUUAUCAGAUAUGUGGCAGAAAGAAAUGCCUCGUCCCAGAAUUUGAGGGGCAUAGAGGCAUGAGCCAAGAGGGAAAGUCCCACGUCUACAAUGUGGCGAUGUUUUCUUUCAACUGAUUCGUUCUGCUGGUGAGCAUGUGGACAGGAGACAUGGUGGGCGAUUCCUAGUUGGCGAAAAAAGGAAUCUAGGCGUUCAUAUUCGCCUCCCCAGUCUGUUUGCAUGGUGAUAAUUUUUCUAUUGAACAAUCUUUCAACUAACGCUUGGAAUUCAUGAAAGAUCUUAAAAACUUCAGAUUUGUACUUGAGAAGAUAGAUCCACGUGAAUUUGCUAUAAUCAUCAAUAAAGGACACAUAUAGUUUUUCCUAUUGAUAGAAUCACGGGCAGGCGCCCAUACAUCGGAGAAAAUUUGCUCUAAAGGAGCUUUAGAUACACUGAACGAACUAGGGUAGGGAAGUUGAUGACUCUUGCCCAAUUGGCAAGCAUCACAAACACCUUAUUUAUUCAACUCGCUACUUGAGAAAGGAAUAUUGUUGUGGCUAAGGACAUGACGAACUAUGGUGGAUGAAGGAUGCCCUAGCCGACUAUGCCACCUGUCCGUGGACACUUUAUUGACACCAAAUGCGUGCUUGCUUGAAUUCAACGGAGCCGGUGAUAGGGGGUAGAGACCAUGUCUACACCUGCCGUGGAGAAGGGUUUUCCUCGUUCCCUGUUCCUUAACGAAAAAGAAACGUGGGUGAACUUUAAGAAAAGUAUUGUUGUCAGUGGACAAACGAUGAGCUGAAAUAAGAUUUUUGGUGGCAUCGGGGUACAUGCAAUAUGUUUUUGAGAAGAAGAUCACGAGUAGGGGUUCGAACAGUGGAUUGACCAAUAUGACUAAUUUCCAUACCUUCUUCGUUUGCGCUGUGGACUUGCUCGUUGCCGUUGUACUUGUUGUGGACAGUCAGCUUAUCAAGCUCGCUGGUGAUGUGAUCUGUGGCCCCCGUGUCGAGGUACCAGUUGGUGUCCAGUCCAUAGGACGAGGUGGUGGCUGAUCCGGCACUCUUUUCAUUCUUGGCGAAGGAGAUGCCGAAGAGGCGGUAGCACUCGACGCCGGUGUGGUUUGGCUUCUUGCAGAUCUGGCAGACAACCUCAGGGAGAUCGUUGCCUCCUCCAUUGCCGUUGCCACGGCCUCCAUUGCCGCGACCGCCACCUCCGUUGCCACGGCCACCAUUGCCGCGACCGCCACCUCCGUUGCCACGGCCGCCUCCGCGACCUAAGCCACCACGGCCACGGGAAACGGCGUUGGCCGAGGACUGAGAGGACUGGUUUCCUCCUUCAAACAUGGCAAGGCGCUUUUCAAAACCGAUCAGCUGGGAGUAAAGUUUAGCUACCUUGAUGGGCUCGGUCCUUGCAGCGCAGAUGGACGAGACGAACGAGAUGUAGUCGAAGUCGAGUCCGGCGAGGAUGUAGGAGACCAUGUCAUCAUCGUCGAGCGGCUUCCCUGCUGAAGCCAUCUCAUCGCCCAGCGCUUUCAUGCGCCCGAUGUACUCGGCGAUGGUCGCGGUGCCCUUUUUGGUGGUGGAGAGGGCGAUCCGCGUGUUGAUGAUGUUGGCCUGCGCUUGGGAGAGAAACAUCUCCCUGAUCGCGGUCCAUGCUGCGGCGGCCUUGGUGCAGUGGGCGACUUGGAUCAUCACAGGAGCAGAGAUCGAAUUGAAGAUAAAACUCAGCACCUGGGAGUCUUGCGCCAGAGCAAUCUGAUACGUCGGGUUUGGCACAUCGGUGGGCUUGCCGUCCUUGUCUGCAAGCUUGGGCUCCGGGAACGGGUGAUCGGGGUUGAGGUGGUCGAUCAGUUGGGCUCCGCAGAUGGUGGCUAAAGCCUGCGCGCGCCACACGAGAUAGUUGCCGCGGUGAAGCUUGUCAGCGAUGGGAAUGAGGGCAUAUGGAGCGGCGGCGGUGCUGGAGCUAGCCAUGACUACUAGAUUGGAUGCGGUAGAGGAACUAGGGUCUGAUACCAUGAAAGAUUGCGUGGAAGCGUAUGCCUCUGGCGGGGACGCGCUGCGUGUUAUAUAGCCAAGGAUAAGUUACAAAGAUACGGUAGUUAGGUGGUGGAUUAAUCCUCAAGAAAAUUAUACAAGAUAUGAGGAGAAACCCUAACAACCUAACUAUCAGAUUACAACAACACACGCACGCAAUCUAACCCUACCGGGCGGUGCAUACGGUUUAUACAAUACCAUAUACACAUAGUACAAUACUUUCUAACAAGAAUGUGCUCCUCUUCCUCCACGUACUCGUGACCGUACAGAUAAAAGGCACGCACGACGGCUCCACCAAGCUGGCUGAACUGCACACACAGGCCUCCUAACCGGUACCGGCCGCACCGUCGGUACGCGAACACUAUCGCAGACUGCACCGCGCUGACGUGGGACCCACACGUCAGUGGAAGUAGAAAGUAAAACAAGGCAGAGCGAUAGAGGUAGGCACCAGUGAGACAGCGACACAGUUACCGACCUACAGCAGCCUAUUCCUAGGUAGGUGUACUGUACAUAUGAUGCAUUUGUUGGGGCCUGGGCGUCAGUCACGGGCGCACCGAAAGGGCAAAGGAGGUGUCCAAACAGCGAGUUGGAUCUACUCUAGACGAUGGUGCUACUGCUGUGUCCAUGAUGCGGUCCACGUUGUGUGCUCUUCUGGACAUGGCGUUCGCAUGCAGGCACAGUCUCCCACUCCUUGUGACCGAGGUCUCAGAAAGGUUCGCGGCUUCCGAGGCGAUCGUGCCCAAGAGCUCGCCGAUGUGGAGUCGGAUACGGUGCUCGAAUGGAUCCAAGUGGUACAAUAGUGCUCGAUCCGUGUCAUGGUUUUCAGACACUUUUCUUUUGCAUGUUUUCUGACACUUUGUUGUACCGUAUCGGGUACGCGUACGAAGUACGGUACGUGGUGCACCGAUCGCUUUUGACCCAUGCAUGUGCAGGCAUGCGGGAAGCUCACAUGGUACUUGGACUAUGCCUAGUAGCAUCGGUCAGAAAGGGAUUUAGAGCAAGCAAGCGUGAGCACAAGAGAUGAGGAGAAAGGUGGCAUGGCAAGCCGACAGGAGUGAACGGGGUGCGUUCGUCCAGCUGUUGAGCCAUGCACGUCCACGUGGGACGAGCCCCACGAUGGUCCGGCCGGCCGGAGCCCUGCCCCUCGGCCCUCGCAUGCAUCGCUCCGUAUAGCACAAUAUACUUAUCCCUAACCGGACCGCGUACGGCGACCGCCACUUGCCGUGCAUGUUGCACUAUUCUAGCGCAUGCUUUGUUGGGACGAACAGGGAGUAUAUCAAUUGACGCAGUACGGAAAAGAUAUGAGCCCCUCCAACUUUCACAGUCAGAGCCAAGUAUAAGAGCGCUGGUAUGUUGAUAGUGAUACAGGAACGUGAUCCUGAAAAUGAGCCAGUCAGCUGCACGUCGGUCGCCAUUGUGCCCCCUCGCUAGCUGGGCCGGCACCGUCGCGUGGAUGUAUGGGCGUGUUUGGUUGCUCGUAUUGAGCCCAACCAGGCCCGCGCGGGAUGGGAGAGGCCUGUUUGGUUGCCCGGUUUUCCUGUUGGGCCUGCAUCGCACGCUCCUCAAAGCAGCCUAGAGCCUGGCUCGCUGGAAAUGCUCGGAUCGGCAGUUUCUCGCGAGUCAGGCUGAGUGCAACGCGAGGUCGCACGGGCGGGAGCGAGGCGAGGGCGAGGGGGGAUGGCGGGAGAUGGAAAUCUGGCGCGCCGUCCCGGCACCAAAUUAGCCUCACCAACCUUUCACUCGCUCACCCAUAGCCACUGCCCCCCUUUCUUCCCUACCGCCUCACCACCGGCGGCGGCUGCGAUUUCAGAUCUGAGCUAUAGGAGGCGGCGGCGGCGGAAGAGGCGGCGGCGUUUGCGGCGGAUCUGGUGCUGCCCUUGCUGUUGGCCACCGUCUGGUCGACCUAGUAUGUGCCAUGGCUCCCCCUACGCCGUCCUUGUCUCCGAUGCCGGUAAGCAGCACCCCCUCCCCCCUUUAUUAGCUCAGUGGUUAGGCCGUUAAGCUAGGUGUAGGAUCGAUUUCCUACUGAACGAACCGUCGAUGUCGACUAGGUUAUGGACGCACGGAUGAGGCUGAUAAUCCAGGCAGCAGCACUGAUUAGUGUGAUUCAGGCAUGGGUCAUGUUCAUGCACCAGAGAGCUAUUCGUCGUGCUGGGAGACCUUUGAUCCGCUAUGGUCCAUUGUUUCCCCGAGAACAGGAGAGGAUCCAAAAGCUGAACUACAUCCACAACUGCAAUGACGUCGAGGCUCUGUGGAUGCUUAGAAUAAAAAGAGCACCAUUUGCCAUGCUUGUCGAGACCUUCAGGAGCAGGGGGCUGUUACAAGAUAGCAUCAACACCAGUGUCGAAGAGCAAGUGGCCAUGUUCCUCCAUGUUGUUGGCCAUAACCAGAGGUUCAGGGUCAUUCACAACAUGUUCAGGAGAUCAAUGGAUACCAUCUCUAGGUACUUCAAGCAGGUGCUUUAUGCUGUUGGGGAGCUUAGAGGAGAGAUGAUCAGGAGACCAUCUGGCCAGACUCCAUCCAAGAUUCGCGGAAGCCUAAGAUGGUAUCCAUACUUCAAGGUGAGCAUUGACAAUAUACACUUUUCAUGGCUUGAUAUGCUUGUAUUGUUCAAGUUGAGCACUAACACAGGCUUGUGAUGCCAUUUUCAGGAUUGCAUUGGGGCAGUAGAUGGUACUCAUGUCACUGUCGGAGUUCCUAGGAAGCACUACAUAAGCCAGAAUGUGCUUGCUGCUGUUGACUGGCUGGGAGGGGUCAACGCAUGAUGCUAACAUUCUCACUAACAGCAUGAGUCAACCUGAUGGGAUCAACAUCCCCGACGACAAGUUCUACCUUCGAGAUGCUGGCUAUGCAUGUCGGCCGGGUAUUCUUCCACCCUUCAGGAAAACAAGGUACCAUCUCAACGAGUUCUCUGGUAGGAACUAUCCUAGGACUGCACAUGAGCUGUUUAAUCUCAGACACUCUAGCCUUAGAGUAACUGUUAGAGGGCAUUUGGAGCUCUGAAGAAUAGGUUUAAGAUCCUGGAUCAGAAGCCAUUCCACCCAUACUCCACUCAGGUUAAGCUAGUUCUUGCUUGUUGCAUUCUGCAUAACUGGAUCCUCCAGUGGGGCUUUGAUGAACACAUGCCUGAGGAGGAAGAUGUCGAGCCUGACGAUGUUGUUAGCUCCGGCCAUGGUGUGGAGGCAUUUGACAAUGACGCUUGGAAGAAGAAAAGGUUGGAGUGGACAAAGGCGAUGUGGCUUAACAAAGGUCAGUGCAGGAUUUGAAGAAGAUGGAAGAAGAAUAAGAAGAAGCAGCAGUAGUAGCAGAAGCAGAAGUAGAAGAAGAGGAGAGGAAGAGGAAGAUCUGGUAGCACCGAUGAACUAGCCCCUAUUUAGCCAAUGGCUCUUAAUAAUUUGAACUGUCAUUUGAUAGUAGUUAGGAUGAAUUAUCAUUUGUUUAAGUAGAUGGCGCUACAUGUUCAGAUUCUGUGUGAUAAGCUCACCACUAGUUAGAAGUGGUGACAACACCUUAUACAGGUUGCAACCAAACACCAUGUCAUAUGUGCGCCUAAUGCAAUGCGGGCAACCAAACGCCGGGUCGAAAAUAGUUGUCUCAUGCAAGUAGGAGCAUGCAGGCAACCAAACUAUGUGCAUCUAGGGUUUUUUAGCCUGCAUCCCCUGAAACCGGCUCAAUAAAACCAGACUUGUCGGGCCAGGCUGAAUCAGCAAUGUAAGCAAACACGGCCUAUAUGAAUGGGUCGCGGAAGGUACAGACAGCCCCGCCGCCCGACAUAUUUUACGAGUCCGCGUAUCGCCGUGUACAGCUCGAUCACGCGCACGAACAUGUGGUUCGACCAGCCCCUGGUUUCCAUGCGGCGCUGCCCGUCUGUUGUCCGCCGCACAACCGUCGUCGACCCAGCAUGAUCAUCACGUAUGCUUCCCAGCUGUACUAGCAACCGUUGCUUUCUCAGUGGCGGUUCGCUUUUGCCGCGGGGAGACGACUUGCAUUUGCACUCACUUAAUGGGUCCUUUCUCUCACCGGGCCAUACAAUCUCCCCCAAUGGCGCAGCUGUGUUCGCGCUAGCAUGUUCCUUAAUUCUCGUCCAAGUUGUGUCCUGUGCAAAGCGCGUACGUAAGUUGCGUUGCUGGCGACGAUGAUAUAAUCUAAGCUAGUAAAAGUUUGUAGCCAUAACUGGUAAUGCAAAGUUGUGCGUCCGUACCACUCUACGCUGCCCAUAGAAAAAACAAUUUUGCUAAAGCACAUCUACAUGUGCCUUAAGUAUUGCACAUCUAAAUCCUAUACCAUUAAUUUUACAUGAAGAUUCGUGCAAAUAUUUUCAUUAGUCUCUUUCUUUUUUUUUCUAAUUUGAUUGAGUCACUUCAGUGGCGGAGCCACCAUCGGCUACCAUGGGCAACUGCCCAGGCUCUGUCACUGAUUCUAGUUUAAACAAUAGUAGUAAAUGGAGAGCUAGCCAUCGUUUUGUAGGGGCAACCAACCAAUAGACGAGAGUGUAGUGUACUUUGCCCAGGCUCUCCGGCUAAGCUGGCUCCGCCACUGGGUCACUUAGAUGUGCAAUAACCAGAGCACAUCUAGAUGUGUGCUACACAGAUUCAUACAAAAUGAGAGACGGCCAGCUAGCAAGGCGGUUUGAUGCCGCGUUCGUCUGUUGGUUCCAAUUAUUUUUUGGGCACGACCGAGUCCGCCGCUCAGCACCAUGCAUGCUUCCAUGCAUAAUGCUCAUUCACAUAGAAGUACUCAGGGGCGGAUCUGGGCCCCAGGCCCCCAGGGCCCAGGCCCGGGGCAUGGCAAUUUUUUUAGUUAUUACCUAUGCAUAUUUUUGAAUGGGCCCAGGGCUUAGCCCAACACAUACCCAGCCAUCCAGGGCCCAGGCAGCAAGGCCAGGUUGUCCAUCUUCCCCACCGCACGGUCGCAUCAGCCCACCGCUCGCCCGCCCCAGACCUAGCGAUAGCGACGUGACCGACGCAGGCAGCAGCCGCCACCCGCCGGUGACUCCCCUCCGCCCUGGCGCUCCCUGCUCGCCUACUCUGUCGCUCCCCACCCACUCGCCUGCUCCGCGCCUCCGCCUGCUACGCCGCCCGCCCGCGCUCUCCGCCACUAGCCCAGCCUGGGCUGGUCUCCUACUGCUCCGGCCUCUGGCGCUCGCCGGCUCGCCACCUCGACCUCUCCUGGCUCCACACGGCCACGCCGUCUUCCCUCUGUUGACUGCUGCCCAUAAUUGGUAAUGGGGUAAUGCUUGUUGUCUGUUGAUACAAAUUUCAAAGUUUAAACAUUUUUAUCUGUAAUCUGCUUAUGAAGUUGGUUGAUGCUGCUGCCAAACAUUCAGUUUCACUUGAAUUAUAUUUGAAUGUGAAUGUUGUUGUUGCUACUGUUAAUGUCAAAGGAAUUUGCAAAGGUGGAUGAUGAUGCUAUUACAUAUCGCUUUCAAUCCUAUAGAUCUUGCAAAGGAAUUUUACCUCGUCGUAGUAGUAAGUUUUCAACUCUGUACAAUGUUAAUUCUUUCACUUGAUGAUUAUUUCUUCUCUUAUGAAAUUUUGCUUUUCAUUUCUCUAAGGUGUUGGCUCUUCUUCAACUGUUGAUCAAGUUAUGGAAGACACUGAUGAAGCAAGCCAUUGAUUUGGUACUCUUUUUACUGCACGUAUUGUUGUUUUUGUCAUCUUUUUUAUCUAUUUUGUUGUAUCUUUAAGCAUUGAAUUUAAAUUCUAAUUUUUUGAUGCAAUUGAGCCAUAUUUGAGCUAGCUAUAGUUUGAUGCACAUUAAGUUUUUCUCUACAAAAAUUAUUUUUUGGGUCCGGGGCUUGCUCCAAUCCUGGAUCCGCCACUGGAAGUACUGCUAGUCAAGCAUCCAGUAAACAAAACGAGGUCGCGCGGGUGCAGAGAUGCCAAUCUACGGUAUGGUACGGCUAACCCUAGUACCAAAAGCUUUGCCCUACCUAGUUUAUGCCAAAACUAUCACAUCUCCCGUGGGGCCCAUGCCGUACAGCCCGGAAUCACGGGAAGCUCUCCAGGAGUGGGAGAGCUGCUUUAAUUUUCCGUUAUAGUGGACUCCGUUCUGUACUCCAAUAAUGGUGUCCACCAUGCCAUAUUUUAGGCCUGUUUUGUCAUUGUUUGUGCUUAUGUGUGUUUUGGUUGUACUCUGCUUGAUGUCAGUCUCGAUCCCCCACCUUUGGAGCUUACUCGUGAUCGCUCCUGUUAAAUAAUCACUCCUGCACAAACCCUGAGUAGAUGUUAAAUAUUGAUGUGCUAUAUACCAUCGUACAACAUGACUAGUGAUCCGUACAAUGAUUAUCGCUUAACAAUGAUGUUACUAUGUUAUUAACUUUUGUUGGCACAUGCAUAGUGGUGUACGUACGUACGUAGUAUUCACGUGAAAGUGGAUUUUUGUGGCCAGCCAGCAAACAGUUUAAGAAUUCAUCCAUCUUCACAAUCACUCUCUCUCUAUAUAAAAUCGUAGUGAUGACAAGUUCAAAGUUGAACUUAUCUCGGCGUACAUGUCAAAGUAGACGGACAUUCUUAGAGUUUGACGAAAAUCGCUCAGUUGUUACCUGGGCUACUCGUCAGUGGCCACGCAAGCAUGCAUCGGUCGAUCGAGAUAGGCAUGUCCUUAUCAGGUUCUCGAAGGUUCUGCUGAAGAUCCUGACCGAAAUUCAAAAGCCCGGCACCCCACGCAAUUAGGACGCAAUUAUUGACGACGACGAUAAUGUCAUCGAGACAGUCUACUUACAAAACGUAACACUAUAAUCCAGCCCGACUGAUGACCUAAGCAAACUAAUCAAGUUGCAGUCAAGGCAAGAAACUGAAGUUGACUGGUCGGAUUGGAUGAUUGGAUCAGCAACGUUUAAAAAAUCCCAAACAUUUUCGCCCUAAGUAGCCAAUCCCGUGGAACUAAUCAACGGUUUUGGCGUUGCUUUCCGGCGGUUUUGUCCAUGUAUGUACGGCACGUGUAGUGGUGGGGCAUUUCUUCCCGUUCACGUUCACACGCAAGCAACGACCGCGGAGAUUUGCCUAAUUCUUGAUGUAACAGAUGGCCUAAGGAAGAGUUUGUCUAGCUCCAAGAACUUGCACAUAUAUGCAAGUAAAUUUAGCAGGAAAAACUAGUGCCUUCGCACCCACUUACAGAGAAGCCAAAGAGCGGUUGUGCCGAGUGACUGCACACACUGCAGCUACUGGACUUUCAGUUUCAUCUCUUGUGCUCUUGUGCCGACGUAUUACACUUUCAGUUUCGUCGAUUUCGAUCGUACUCUGUCUCAGCAGCUGCUUUGAACCUGUAAUUUACAUUGGACCGAUCGAGGGACAUCGUCGCCGGCCACUGUCACUGAGCUGGCUGCGACGGAGACAAGCAAGAGCUCCUAGAGCACGCGUACACUUACGUACGUACGCCGAUCCGUACGCAUUUCAAUCUUCUUAUUCCUAAUAGUGACACGGCACUUAGUUAAGUACGUACGUGUCCAAACAAAGUGCAGAGACCAGACCGAAUGUUCUUCUGGCCUCCGGGUCCAUGGGAAGGCCGAGCACACCUGUACACGUAGGACACAGCUAAGAUAGCCACCGCGACUGAAUCAACCAAGUGCGUAACUGAAGGGCACCGCCUCAUCAUUGUGUCCUUGAUUCCAAUCAUUAGCGGCCCGUACAAUACGUACGUCGCUCCCAUGUGGUUGCCUAGCUACUCACACGACGAGCAAAGCUUCUCCUCAAGCCCAACCGAAAGCGAGUAUAUCAAAUCAAACCAAUUGAACUAAACUAAUAAACUAACUAAACCAAGCACGACUCGGCGCCUAUGCACGUACAUAGGUACAUACAGUUGUGUUUUUGCUGCGCUGCACAUGGCGUCUCUUUUAUCCGACCCCAAAUGGCUGAUCUUGAUACGUACAGCACUCGACGGACACGGUGAAUCUAAUUGUUUUUCUAGAGAAUGUGACGACUAGUUCUGAAGCAAUACAAAUUCUUCAAGUUGUCCCUUGCUCGAGGACAAAUGAUGGCGAUGACACCUGCUUGGAGAGAAAGUGAUGAAGAGUGCUAUCUGGACGAGACUCUCUUCACAGAGUACGUGGACUAUCCUAUGUGCGCUGUUCAACUGACUGAGUUCUAACCUGUUUUUUUUUUGUUAAUUACCUUGACAGUUUUAUUAUACUUAAUGGAUGAGGCACAUUUUUUGACUCCAUUUUGCAAAAAAAGUUCUGGAAAAUCCUAUACACACGAACUGUAUGGCUCUAUAUGCACGCAGCUAUUUUGAGCCUGCCCAUAAAACCUAGAUUUUCAUGUUAAAAAAAAACAUCCACAGGCCCAAGUAGUUUAGUAGUAUUAUCAAAUGGUCAAUCAUUGUAGUACACCAUUGUCCUCCAUGACAGGCUGCCUGAACUGCUAGAGCUAGCUGGAGAUCCAUGGAAGUGCAUUGCAUUUUACACCACCAGAUCCUGGAUCAAACAUUUGCAGUGGCAAAAUCAUCCAUAUCACUCACAUGAGGCCAACCUUGCGGCUUACAUGAUGUGUUAUCAAGACCUCAAAAUCCCUAGCAAAAGAAGAGGAAGAAGAAGCUCCAUUGCAGCUACCAGAGCUUGAUCUAGAGCUAGCUAGAAGAACACUAAGAAGAAGAAGAAGAAGAAGAAGAAGAAUUCCCACAAGACAGCAGGUCCUAAAAUUGUUGAGCUGCAGUAGAAAAUGCGGCGGAAUCCCCGUCCUACCCUCCACCAACCUUCCUAUGCACAUCAUCCACGCAGGGGCAGAUCGGUCAGAACGC